UCAAGAUACAACGUCUUAUCCGUUGAUUUUAGGACAACCUUAUAUUAUAGCAACACGAAUGGAAACAAAAGUACUUGACGAUGGUUUUGCUUAUGCAAGGGUAUAUAGCGAAGAUGGGAGGAAAGCUGUACAAUUUCUAACAGUACCUCUUAACCAUGAACGAAAUCGAGAUAGGUUGAGGGAGAAACCAUUGCCAAAGAUUGUUAAAGGAUUUAAGGAUUUUGGAGAGGUACCACUAUAAAGCGAGGUUAUAGAGGUACAAAAGAGGAGGUACUCUUACGACAUGAAGGUGCCUUUGAUGCGAAUUUUAUUGGUAUUUUUGAGAAUAGAAAUAUUAUGUAUAAAAAAGUUGAUGAUUUUAAAAGAAGAAAAAGAAAAAGAUUAUAUAAUAUUAAAGAAAAAUUACGCAAAUUAGGUACGCAGCAAGAAGAUGAAAUUGAUUUGGAUAAUGAAGAUGACAAAGACGAACUGGACAAAGACAUAGAAAAUAUAUUUUAAAUCAAACAGCAAUUGGGUAAAUUGGUGCAUACCGGAGGAUGCACAGGUUCAGAGGGGGUGGAUGUCGUGAUGUAACAUGACUGUACUGUGAAAAUAUAGAGAAAGAAAACUUUUAUUAAUGUUCAAUUACCUCGAAUAUUGGGAGCAAUGAUCGAUUGCAGUGCCAAUAUUCAAGGGCCAGUUUAGACACCCCGUCACAGUUGGUCAGGGCACAUUUACCAGUAACGAAAUGCUCUGUUCGAGUCCAAUAGUGGAAGUCAACAGAAUUGAAAGGACUAAAUCGAUGACUGAGUGAGCUUGACACGAAGGACCAAUUUGACCCAAUUAUGAGAACAUUCAGGUCUUAUUACGGGCCUCUUAGCCAAUCUGACGCGAAGGACCAAUUUGACCCAAUUAGGGGAACAUCCAGGUCUUACUACGGGCCUCUUAGCGAAUAUGAGACUUGAAUUACUCGGACGACUCAAUGUGGUCCCGAUUACGGGGGUUUCGAUUCCGUUUCAAGCUGUCCUGUUCUUUGUACUGUUUCAGGGAACGUUGUUUCCAGAAAAAGAACCUUUUAAAAGGCAAAAAAUGGAGGAAAAAGCUCUGACAGCGGAGCCAAUUCCGGAUCCAAGAUAGAAGAUUGAAGAAAUUCAAAGGUUAGGGUUUGAAAGAGGGAAGAAUUAGGAUUAAAGGGGAGGAUGGAUUAAGAAAUAAAGAGGGGAAAAUAAGGGUUUGAAGGGUGGAAGAGCUAGCUUCAUGCUUCGGGAGGGAGAAAAAAGACAGAGAAUUGGAUUUUUUUUUUUCAUAGGGUUUUGGGAAGACUGAGGCAAUCGUUGCUGAAAUCAGUGUUGUAUUGGUGAAUCGGGGUUUUAAUGAAGUGGGUGUGAUUAUUCUUGACUGUUUUGUGAAAUCGAAGUUACGUCUGUGAUUGAAGGAUUAAAAGGGUGUCUAUAGGAUUGAGUAUGGGGAGUGAAUGAAAAUUUUUGGAUUAAUCUAACAAGACAGUCAGUGGAUACAAAAUCGUGAGUAUAAAGCGGUAUCAAAGAUUAGUAGUUUCGGUUGUUUGGGAUUCUCUGUAAUGUCUAGAGACCUAUCGGCUAGGGCAAAAAGGAUUUUGGCGAGCAGUUAAAGGACAUCCGUAUAGAUUUAUGGUAUAUUCUUACAGUCAUUUAUAUUCCAACAGUCAAAAAUCGAUAGACUGCUUGAAUAUUAGCGAAUCUCUAUACUACCUUCUAUAGCAACACGCCCGACACGUUCUUGAGUAGGAAAGCACGUAAUACGACACCGCUCAAUCUGCCUUUUGUUUUACAAUCCCUUUGCUUAUUGGCCCUCAGAAACUGAGAACCUUAGCAUUAUUAGAUUCAGGAGUAUCUGCUUGUUUCUUAGACGAAGAAUUUGCAAAGCAUCAUAAGAUCCCUUUAGUACAAAAAUCCAAACCUAUUCACGUUGAGGUCAUAGAUGGAUGACCUUUAUUGUUUGGUAGUGUCACCCAUGAAUCAAAACCUAUAGAAGUGACGUUUAAGGGCCAUAGUAGUCAUAUUAUUUUCAAUAUUAUUAGAACCCCAUCAAAUCUUGUUAUUCUUGGUCUUUUCUGGUUAGAUAAGCAUAACCCAUCCAUAGAUUGGAGGUUGCAAAAGAUGACCUUUUCCACAAAACUAUCCAAGAGCAAGCCUAGUAGAAGACCCCAAAUAAAAAAACCUUUAUUCAUUGGAGCAAGAGCAUUUGUAAGAUCGUCCAAGGAAGGCACACCAUUUAUCAUUUAUGCGGCUCCAACUAUUGAGGAAAAGAUCUCGACAGCAAAUAUACCGGAGCAAUACAAGGAUUUUGAAGAUGUGUUUUAAAAGAAGAAUGUUGACAUGCUACCAGAACAUCGACCAUAUGAUUGUGCCAUAGACUUGCAAGAAGGAGCACAACCACCUUUUGGCCCAAUCUACAAUUUAUCGCAAAUAGAAUUGACGGAGUUGCAGAAGUAUAUUGACGAGAAUCUAGCCAAGAACUUCAUUCGUCAUUCAAAAUCGCCAGUUGGGGCACCCAUCUUAUUUUUAAAGAGGAAAGAUAGCUCAUUACGGAUGUGUGUGGACUAUCGAGGCGUCAACAAGGUAACAAAGAAGAACCGUUACCCAUUACUUUUGAUUUCUGGUCUCUUAGAACAACUUGGACAUACGAGGAUCUUUACAAAAAUUGAUCUAAGGGGAGCUUACAACCUCGUACGAAUCAAUGAAGGAGAUGAGUGGAAGACAGCGUUCCGUACAAGGUAUGGCCAUUUUGAGUAUAAUGUCAUGCCUUUUGGUCUUAUCAAUGCUCCAGCGGUCUUUCAACAUAUGAUGAAUGACAUCUUUCGGGAGCACCUUGAUGAUUUUGUUGUCAUCUAUUUGGAUGAUAUUUUGAUAUUCUCCAAAAACGAGGAAGAGCAUGAGAAGCAUGUUCAUCUGGUUUUGGAGAAACUACGUGAGCAAGGAUUGUACGCCAAGUUAGAGAAGUGUUUAUUUUAUCAAACAGAGAUGGAUUUUUUGGCGUUUGUUGUGACCACAGAAGGCUUAAAGAUAGAUCGCAAGAAGGUGGAAGCAAUCGUGUCUUGGGAAGUUCCAAAGAUAGUUAGAGAUAUACAAUGUUUUCUUGGUUUUGUUAACUUCUAUCGGAUCUUCAUCAAGAAUUACUCUCAAGUUGCUGCUCCUCUCACUCGGUUGACAUGCAAGGAUAAGCUAGAAUGGGGACCUCCAGCGGAAAAGGCGUUUCAAGAUCUGAAGACAGCAUUUACUACGGCUCCAAUCUUGGUACAUACAGACUUUACAAAGGCCUUUUAUUUGGAAACUGAUGCUUUGGACUUUGCUUUGGGAGUUGUACUUUCACAAAUGGAUGAAGACAAGAAGCUCCAUCCGGUUGCAUUCUAUUCUCGAAAGUUCUCAGCUGUUGAAAUCAAUUAUGAGAUCCACGAUAAAGAACUUCUUGCUAUAGUGGAUUCUUUCCAAGAAUGGCGUCACUUUCUUGAAGGAACUGCACAUCCAGUGACUGUAUAUACGGAUCACAAGAAUUUGGAGUAUUUCAUGUCAGCUUGAGUUCUAAAUUAACGUCAAGCUUGGUGGAAUAUGUCGCUAUCUAAGUUCGAUUAUGUUAUCACUUAUCGACCUGGAAAGUAGCAAGGACUAUCUGAUGCCUUAUCGAGGAGAUCGUAUCUUGCACCAAAGGUUGGAGAAGUAGUGUUUGAUCAACAAUAUACGACGUUGUCGUGCUGUAAAUGCUUACAGUAUGUAAAAAUUAGUUAAAACAUAUUACAUGUUGAUAAAUCUAGAUGUGUGUUAGAAUGGCUAGUAGAUUAAAUUAAAAAGAGUUGGUGUAAGAAACUUUACUUUGUUUCUUUAUUUCUUUUGAUUUUGAUAUUAUAUAUAUAUAUAUAUAUAUAUAUGACCUAAAUGUUUAGUAUGAAGCUUUGGGAGAAGGUAGAAGCCUAAAGUUGAAGAUUUAAAGUAAUAGGAGGUUAAUUGGGAGGGAUGAAACUAAGGCAUGGUUGGAUGAAGGUAGAAAUAAGGAUCUUCAUCUCCAUUGGUCGAAAUCCAUGCCCAAUGGACUUUUAGGAGGGUGCCUGCGACCUUGAUAAGGGUUUUGGAGACUUCAAAGUGCCAUUAGGAAAUCAGAGGCAAGUAUUGUAGAUUUUAGGAUUUUGGCUACAAUUUUUGUGCAAAUUUUAUAGAGUUUGGAGUUAGGGUGAAUAAGUUAUAGCCGUUUGAAGUUAAGGUGUCAAUUUGAGACCUAUUGUUACUCUUUUGAGUUUAAGAGGAGUCUUACUAAUGCUUUUGAAGAUCGGAAGGUGCGGCUCAAAGGGCAACUUCAAGACAUACAUCUUUUGUGAAGGAAAUUUUGCAUUUGGAGUUUAUGUGAAGGAGUUAUAGGGAGUUAAAGACAGCACAUUCAAAUCAAAGGCAGUAGGUGAGCGGUUUUGUUCAAAGUAGUGUUAGGAGCCAUAACUUGAGUUUUCGAAUGAAAUUUUGGCUCAAACUCUGGGUGAAUGUAAAACUUUGUGUUGAAAAGCUAUCUAUACAAGUUUCGUGGCAUUUGAACUUAUGGUUUGUGAGUUAUAAAGAAAAAUGCGCGUGGGUAUAUAAAGAUUAGGGUUUGAAGCGACUGUUAGGGUUUUGAAGAUAUCUCAAGAUCCGCGACGAAUUUGCGGUUGAAGUUUGUUAUAAAAAUUAAUAAUAACAUAUCAGUACUUCAUGUGAAUUUUGAUCUUGUUUGGACGGUUGGAUCAAGAGGUAUGUGGUAUUGAGAUUCGGGAGAAUUUCCACACAAGGAUAUACAAGGUUUUAGAGUACUUCUACCAUAUUUUGGGUGUUGUUGGUUAUUUAAGACUUAAGUAUUUGGUGUAAUUUUCCCAAAACGAGAACUUAUAUAUAUAAAAUUAAGGUUCUUUAUUUUAAGCUUGAUUGAGCAAUUAGUGACAGCCAGAAGCCCAACGCUUUCUUGAGGCAAAACUUCUCUACCCGGACAAUGUUGUUGAAGCCAAAGCAAUUUCGGCUUUGCACUACUAUUGUGCCAAUUGAUGCUGACUUCCUGAACCAGGUACGUGCCGUGACCAUUGAAGAUUCAGUAGCCAUUGAUAUCAAGCAGCGUGCCAAUGACGACAAGUUCAAGGUGGAAGGAGAUCUUUUAUACUUUGAAGAGCGAUUAUAUAUUCCAAAAGGACCAGCACGACUCCGAGUUCUUCAAUCUUACCACGAUUUUCUAGUUGCGGGACAUUUUGGAUUCAACAAGACCUUGGAGCUUAUUUCUUAAGAUUUUUGGUGGCCUCAAAUGUAGAAGGAUGUGAAAGAUUUUGUCCUCUCCUACGACAUCUGUUUAAGAUCCAAGAAUCCUCGACAUCGUCCUUAUAGACUUCUACAGCCAUUGCCAAUUCCACGUCGACCAUGGUCUUCAGUUUCCAUGGACUUCAUCACGGACCUGCCAUCAUCGAACUCAUUUGAUAGCAUCUUUGUUGUGGUAGAUCGGCUUACGAAGAUGGCGCACUUUGUCCCUUGCAAGAAGACAUCAUCUAGUGAAGUCACAAUAAGGCUCUUUCUUGAUAAUGUGUAUCGAUAUCAUAGACUACUAGAUGAUAUCAUAUCAGAUCGAGGAACCCAGUUCGUAUCAAAGUUUUGGAGAUCUCUCUUUGAGAUAUUGAAAGUGGAUAUCAAGCUUUCUUUGACUUUUCAGCUUCAAACUGACGGCCAAACGUAAUGCGUGAACCAAGUCUUGGAGCAGUACUUACGAUGUAGCAUCAACUAUCAGCAAGAUGAUUGGACCGCAUAUUUGCUGCUAGUCGAGUUUGCAUAUAACAAUAGCCUUCACGCAUCGACUCAAUACACACCAUUCUUUUUCAACUAUGGAUAUCAUCCGAAGCUUGAUUUAUUGAGUCCGUCAACAAAUAACAAUCCAGUAGCUGAAGGAUUUGCGAAGCAACUAUCACAGCUUCAAACUACGUUGAAGCUUCAAUUACAAUCCGCUCAAGAAUCCUACAAGGCGUCUGCAGAUAGAUUUCGGAAUCAAGCACCUACUUUCAAAGUUGGAGAUAAAGCUUGACUUCUUCAACGAGAUAUCAAAACCAAGCGACCAUGUGAUAAGUUGGACUAUCGAAGAAUCGGAUCAUUUAUCAUUCAGAAGCAAAUCAAUCCAGUGGCGUACCGUCUGGAGUUACCGGCUUCUAUGAAGGUACAUCCAGUCUUUCAUGUUUCUCUAUUGGAACCUUAUCGAGAGUCGUCUUUUCCUAGAAGAGUGCAAUGUUCGCCACUUAGUAUUGAGAUCGAGAACCACGAGGAAUAUGACGUUGAAAAAGUGCUAGAUUCAUGGCGAAGGUGGGGCAAGUUGGAAUAUCUUGUUCAUUGGUGCGGCUACGAUAUUAAUGAGUGAACGUGGGAGCUAGCUGAAAAUCUCGCCAAUGCGCCACAAAAGAUACAUGAGUUUCAUCAACAACAUCUUCAUAAAUCCAAGUUGUUUCGAUGAUAGCUUCUUUUCAAAGCUUGCUCAUCCAAGAAUAUAAGAAAGGGGGGAAAGGACCACCAAAAUUCGUAGUUGAUGUAGUUAUUUUCUCCAAGAUAGAGUAGAAUUAUUUUACUAGCCAUAGUUUGGUCUUCUGAUAUGGAUAAUCAAGAGGUAGAUACUUUGUCAGUCAAAUUAUUUCAAUCAAGUAGCUCACGAAGGCGAUCCCAAGAUGAAGAACCGCCUACACCACGACGACAACGGAGGAUAUCGAGUAGCCGAUCACUGGUGAUUGUAUUUGAAAUCGAGCCUGCUUACGAUAGUCAGCCAGAAGGUGUAUUUGCAGGACAAUUUCACAAUGAGGACACGGAAGUUCAUGCUUGGUCAGAAGUCAAAGGCAUGGGCCACUACUGUUGGCUUCAAGGGCUGAUGAACCACUUGCCUCGUGAACAACAGUUGAAGUUCAUAGCAGACGUUAUGCGACAUAUCUUCAUUUUCUUGCAAUGGUAUUGAUUAACAACAACAUUGCUUCUCAGAGACCUCGAAGCUAAAAGAAGGGGUGAUGUUAGGGACAUAGUCCUUAGAACCUUCUAGAAACAAGUUUCUAGAACCUUCUAGAAGCAAGUGUUUGGAACCUUCUAGAAGCUUCCUAGUUUGAUGGAAGUUACUUGAGAAGCUUUUUAAUUGGUAGAAGUUGCUUAAGAAGCUUCUUAGUUAGUGGAAGUUACUUGAGAAGCUUCCUAAUUAGUAGAAGUUGCUUCAGAAGCUUCCUAAAUAGGAGUAUAUAUUAGAAUCGAGGCUGAAGAGUUCUUCAGUCUCGACAACACAUCUCUUAGAGCUCUAGUUCACCUCUCUGGUAUUGUUCUUGUACUCAUUUGAUUAAUCUAAUUCUUGCUAGUUUUUCUUGAACUUUUUGUUAGAUUUCGAGCUUGUAUUUCUGUGUCCGUGACAUAUAGAGACAAGAGUGAAGCCUUCUUCACUCUUGUCAACUCCUUUCUUAUUUCCACUCUAGUUUCAAGAGUCGUCAUAUUUUUUAGUCUUUGGCAAUAGCAAUUCUAAUUCAAUAUAUUAUCACCUUUGAGUGAUUUCUAAGUAUUUUCAAAUGACACAAGAAUGUAUUGAGAUUAUCUUUCUUUAGAGUUCAUGUCCUUGAUAUGCUGCAAAAGAAAGAUCAUCUUUUGCUGUAUAUGCUACAUCCAUUUUUAAUUGUGAAACAACGUAGAGUGGUAUUCCUAAGCAAUAUCAAGAAUUCUAAGAUGUUUUUGAAAAGAAGAAUAUAAAUAUUCUCCCUGAGCAUCGAUCUCAUAAUUGCUCAAUUGAUCUGCAAGAAGGAUCUCAACCAUCAUUUGGACCAAUCUAUAGCUUAUCACAGAAUGAAUUGGCUGCAUUAAAAGAAUACAUUGAUGAGAAUUUUGCAAAGAACUUCAUACGACAUUCUAAAUCUCCAGCCGAGGCUCUUAUCUUAUUUGUGAAGAAGAAAGACGGAUCUCUACAAAUGUGUGUGGAUUAUUGAGGACUCAACAAGAUCACCAUCAAAAAUAAGUAUCCUUUACCUUUGAUUUCAGGACUUCUUGACCAACUCAAUCAAGCAAAGAUCUAUACCAAAAUAGAUCUACGAGGAGCUUACAACUUAGUUUGUAUCAAAGAAGGAGAUGAAUGGAAGACUGCUUUUUGAACUAGGUAUGGACAUUUUGAAUAUAAUGUCAUGCCUUUUGGACUCACGAAUGCACCGGCCGCUUUUCAACAUCUUAUGAAUGAUGUUUUUUGAAAGUUUUUAAAUGAUUUCGUUGUUUGUUAUUUAGACAACAUUCUAAUCUACUCUAAGAACAUAGAAGAACAUGAGCUUCAUGUUUGUCGCGUAUUACAAAAAUUUAAAGAUGCAGGAUUAUAUGCCAAGUUAGAAAAGUGUGUAUUCCACACUACUCAAGUUGACUUUUUAGAAUACAUCAUUUUCAAUGAAGGCCUUAUGAUGGAUCCCAAGAAGGUUCAAACUAUCAUUGAUUGAAAGAUUCCAAGAACAGUACGAGAUGUGUAAUGUUUUUUGGGCUUUUCUAAUUAUUCUCGAAUCUUCAUCAAGAAUUUUUCUCAAGUUGCAGCUCCACUUACAUGUUUGAUUUGUAAAGACAAAUUUGAGUGGAGUAAAGAAGCUGAAGUAGCAUUUGAUGCUUUAAAGAAGGAAUUUACUUCUGCACCAAUCUUGUAUUGCAUCGACUUCUCCAAGGCAUUUUUUAUGGAAACAGAUGCAUCAGACUUUGCCAUUGGUGCCAUUUUGUCACAAAUGGGAACAAAUGACAAACUCCAUCCAAUAGCUUGCAAGAGUGGCAUCAUUAUCUAAAACUCCUCGUCAUCGAUCUUACGAACUUCUUCAGUCGUUACCUAUUCCACAACAACCAUGGUCUUCUGUUUCUAUGGAUUUCAUAACGGAUCUUCCAAUUUCAUGUUCUUAUGACUCUAUAUUCAUGAUAGUAGAUCGUUUUAUCAAGAUGGCAUAUUUUGUAUCAUGUACAAAAUCUAUGACAAGUAAAGAAACAGCUAAGCUUUUCAUUGACAAUAUCUAUCGCUAUCAUGGAUUACCAAAAGAUAUUAUAUUGGAUAUGGGAACUCAAUUUGUAUCAAGAUUUUGGAGAAUCCUAUUCAAGUUUCUAAAGGUGGAUAUAAAGCUUUCUUCAGCUUUUCAUCUUCAAACUAAUGGACAAACAGAACGAGUAAAUCAAGUUUUGGAGCAAUAUUUGAGAUGUACCAUCAACUAUCAUCAAGAUGACUCGACAACUCUUUUACUAUUGGCAGAUUUUGCAUAUAAUUAUUCGGUACAUUCUUCCACUCAAUAAACAUCUUUCUUUGUCAAUUAUGAUUAUCAUCCAUGUCUUGAUACUUUUGACUUUUCAAAAGUUGAUAAUCCUAUAACGAAAGAUUUAGCAAAUUGCUUAUCAGAGCUAUAUACAACAAUGAAGAUACAAUUAAAGGAAGCUCAAGAAUGACAAAAGAUGAACGUGGAUGCCUAUUGCAAGGAGCAACAACAAUAUAAUAUGGGCGACAAGAUAUGGUUACUUUGUCAUAAUAUCAAGACUACUCGUCCUUGUGAUAAAUUAGAUUAUCGUAGGUUGGGACUUUUUCUUAUUUGUGAACAAAUCAAUCCUGUUGCCUAUUGAUUACAUCUACUGGAGUCUAUGAAGAUCCACCUUGUAUUUCAUGUAUUUCUUCUGGAGCCAUAUAAGACAGUGAAUAUCUUGAGAAGAAGACAAAUACCACCUCCUCCUAUAGAAGCGGAUAAUAACCAAGAGUUUGAGGUGGAAGAAGUCUUAGACUCAAGGUGGCACCGAAAUAGAUUGGAAUAUCUUGUUCAUUGAUACAAAUAUGAUAUUAGUGAACGUACAUGGGAGCCAUCAAAGAAUCUUAUAAUUACAUCAAAGAAAGUUGAAGUCUUUCAUCAACGACAUCUAUCAAAACCAAGAUGAAGAAUAGCAAAACUUUGCUAUAAAAGAAAUAAGAUCAAAAAAAAUAACAUUCUAUCUUCUAUCUUUCAUUGUAGCUUGUGUAAUGAGAUAGAGCACCAACAAUGAGCAGAUUCAACUCAAGAACUUUCAUUUGUGGACUUAUCAGAUGAGACGUUGUGAUUGUCACAACCUUCAAGAUGACAAAAUUGAGAUGAAGAUCCUCAAGAACAAUAUGUCUUCCCUCGAACAGAUGGCAAGAUACAGCGUGUUUGGUAUUACGACCUUGGAAGAGAAUCUCAAUGUUUAGACAUUUUAUUAGAGGUAGGAACUACUCCUAACAGUGUUUCAAAUGUUUUAUUUGAAGAAAGUUACGAAGGCCUUAACAAUGAUCAAAUAAUAGGGUGGUCUUCUCGUCCUGGGAUGGGACACUAUAGAUGGUUGAGAGGAUCUAUCAACCAUCUUCAAAGAGAGCAAAGAUUGGAGUAUGUAGCAAAUAUAAUUCAUCGCAUCUUAGACUUCUUGAACAUAUGAAGACCACUCCUCAUGGAACUCGUCCCUAGAAGAAGGGAUAAUGUCACGGACAUAUGUAUUUACCUCAAUAGUUAUUUAUAUGAUUAAGUAAAAGUAGGUAAAAUAGAAUAAUUUCAUAAAGUCUUCUAGAAAAACUUCCUAGAAGCUUCAUAGACGUGGUUUUGACUUUAGAUGUGUUCGUAGGUUAGAAACUUGGCCAAAAAACUCACCAUGUAUUGGUAGCUUGUAGAACAAGUUACCUCCGCGUAUUAGCUUGUGGAACAAGCCAACUACAUGGCAUAUACAUAGAUAACUUGCCUUACAAGAUAAGACAUGUGGCUAGCAAAAUCAACACAUGUUGGAGAUCCUAUAGGACAUUGUUAUGUAGGUCUUAGUUAGAUUGUAUAUAUAAAGGCAAGAGUGAAGCCUUCUUCACUCUUGUCAAUGCCUUUCCAGUCUUAGUCUUGUUUCAAGACUUUCUUGUCUUCUUGUUUUUGGCAAUAGCCAUUCUAGUUAAUAUUACAUCACCUUUUGAAUGACUUUCUAGUUCUCUUCAGUGAUAGAAGAGUGUAUUGAGGAUUCUCUUUCUUCAAGAUUUAUGUCCUUGAUAAUAAUCUACCAUAUAAAUUCGCCAAAAAUGCUAUUAAGCUACAUAUAUAUGAAUUGAACAAGAGAUCUAAGUAAUGGUUGAUCAAUAAUGGGUUUUGUUUUUAAAUUAGAGCCAUGUUCAAUUACUUGGCUCUCAAAAAAAACAAGCCACCAUUACCUUUUCAUCUUCAAAAGCAAAAUAUAUGGGCUUGUCCACAACAUCUAAAGAAGCAACAUGGUUGACAAACUUGCAUUCAAUUUUGGUUUUCAAAUCAAAAAACCAAUUCUAAUAUAUUGUGAUAAUGAAGGAAGUAUCAAAAUGGAAAGGGAUGCCGCCAGCACCCNNNNNNNNNNNNNNNNNNNNNNNNNNNNNNNNNNNNNNNNNNNNNNNNNNNNNNNNNNNNNNNNNNNNNNNNNNNNNNNNNNNNNNNNNNNNNNNNNNNNNNNNNNNNNNNNNNNNNNNNNNNNNNNNNNNNNNNNNNNNNNNNNNNNNNNNNNNNNNNNNNNNNNNNNNNNNNNNNNNNNNNNNNNNNNNNNNNNNNNNNNNNNNNNNNNNNNNNNNNNNNNNNNNNNNNNNNNNNNNNNNNNNNNNNNNNNNNNNNNNNNNNNNNNNNNNNNNNNNNNNNNNNNNNNNNNNNNNNNNNNNNNNNNNNNNNNNNNNNNNNNNNNNNNNNNNNNNNNNNNNNNNNNNNNNNNNNNNNNNNNNNNNNNNNNNNNNNNNNNNNNNNNNNNNNNNNNNNNNNNNNNNNNNNNNNNNNNNNNNNNNNNNNNNNNNNNNNNNNNNNNNNNNNNNNNNNNNNNNNNNNNNNNNNNNNNNNNNNNNNNNNNNNNNNNNNNNNNNNNNNNNNNNNNNNNNNNNAAAACAAAUUUCUUUUCAAAACUGGAUUCAAAAAGUACAAGUAAUUUCGUGAUAAGUAUCAAAUUGAUGAUUUUGUAGUAAGGGGGGUUGUUAGAACAUUCAUCCGUACUUCAUCAUUGAAUGAAGUUUGUAUGGAUGAUCUGAGAUCCGACAUUUGUGCCGAAUACUCAGAUCUCUGCACACAUGUACUUAAGACUGCAUCAGCAGUCUCGUAGCAAGGCAGUAAGCCCCUUUUGUUUUGUUCAUUCAUUUAAUUGUUCUCUAAGAACUCACUCUCAUUAGCGGCAACCUGCAUCAUCUGCGCACCAAUCCAACGUCUUAAUUCUCAUAGAUGCCAAUUAGAUUGGGUUAUUUGUUAAAACAAAGCACAAUCUGGAGAAUUUUGGACUUAACAUUCUUAUCCAACAACUCACAGUAACCUUGUGAGUUUCUUAUGAUGGAGAAUAAAGAGAAUGCUCGUUUGGCUAGAGCUUCCUUCUUACACCUUCCAGAAAAUCUUAAAGGAGAACCCCACCAGCAGUUUAAAACUCUCAUCGUAGCAGAGAUUCACACGACGAGUGAAAAAAAUCUGCCGCAUUGAUCAUUAACCCGCAACGUCGCAAUUCACCGGAACAAUAGCCAUGAAUCUCAACACGAGUGAGCUAUUCCUUCGACCUGCUGCGGAGAAAUGAAUAAUUUGGGUCCCAGCGCCGCGCGAUAUCAUUCGCGUUUUAUCUCGUGGAAAUGGGUGUCCUUUUGCUGAUCCCCGAACUCUCCUACCGAAGCACUUGUUCGGCAACACAAUGUGAAAACUCAUAAGAAGAUAGAGGACAGGUUGCUGAAGAAACUUUCUGAGAAGCAUCACUUCCACAAAUUCAAAGAAAGUAUUUUAACCGAAAGGUUUAUAGCUCUCAAGGAGGCAUAGAAACAAGAACGAAAAGGUCUUUCUGGCUGAAGGAAUCGUCCCAAAUCAGUUUGCAGAUGGGAUAAUGAGGGACGUAGUAGUCAUGGACCUCCAAGUCAACGGUCUUCUUUACGAUUGCGUCCUCUCAGUAAGAAUCACAUUUGGCAUCCGACAAUUUAACAAAUGAAAUGUUAUUCCUUUGUUUGCUAUUCAAUUACUUAUCUUACUUAAAUCCAUGUAUUGUAUCUUUGCUCGAAUUAAUAAAUCGUAUCCAUGAUAGGUAUGAACAGGCUUGAUUUUGAAUCAGAUGCCGCAAAAGCAAAGAAGAAGUUGAUGAAAGAUCCUCGUGUAUAAGCAUUUUAUUAUAUCAAUAAUAUCAAGAAUAUCAAGGGUAGAUUUGCUAUUAUCAAGAAUACAUGGAUAUUCUUGAUAUUCCGACAAAUUUUAGAGACAUGCAUGAUAUUUUCUCUUUAAUGUAUUUGAAUGAAAUGGUUUUUAAAACUCAAUCAAGAUUUUGUUAAAAAUAUUUCUUUUAUUUAAAUGAAGUCCUUUAAUAUGAUAGUAAUAAAUAAAUAAAAAUAAGAAACUAUUAAGUAAUUCUUAUUAUAAAUCUAUUUAUGUUUGCAACUAUCUAAGUUUUUAUAAAAAGUAUCUUUUUAUUUGUAGUAAAAAAACAUGGAUAUAAUAUUUAUAGAUAUAAUCCCUCAAUUAUAAAUAUAACAUACAUAAUAGAAAAUUUGCAUUUAAGAAAAGAGAUAUCAAUUUCUUUAUGAUUGAUGGCCCAUCUAUGAUAAAAAUAUAUCUAGAAUAAUCCUAAUAUGUAUUGUUGCAUGACUCAUAUAGAUUAAAAAAAAUUGUAUAGGCUCUCUUAAUAUAUUCUAUUAUAUAUGUGUAUAAUAAAUAUUUCUAGAAUCCAUCUUUGUAUUAUAAAAUUUAAAAUAAAGAAGCUAAUAUUGAUAUAAUAAAAAAUAAAAAAUAAAAAAUAGAUAAUCAAUGCCAAUCUAAAAAUAAAGAAAAUAAAUGAUACAUCAUAUUGCUUAAAUCUUUGUGAAUCUAAAGAUGACUAUAUUUAUUAAUAUUAGAGAUUUUUUUCAUAAUGUGUUAUUGGCUAAUUUACUAAAAUUAAUUAACUAUAUUAUUAUUGACUCUAAUUAAAUUAAAAUACUCUUUUAUGCUAAUUUGUACUAAAAGUUGAUUAAUCGCUUGAAAACCAUAAAUAUUUAUUUUAUAUAGACAGAUUUUUAUUUUUAUUCUUUCUUUCAUUAAAAGUGAUAGAUAUUUGCAUCACUAUUACCCAGAUGUUACCAAUACCAUUUAAGUAUCUUCAAAGCUAAUUUUUUUGUUAUAUGUUUGUAUAAUUCUAUAAUAGAUUUUUUUGAGAUAAUCAUUUAAAUACUGAAAUAUCUGAAAUACCUAAAUUUAAUCAUUUAAAUUUUAAAGCAAGAAAUAAUAAAAUUCAAAGUUCUUUUCAUAAAUUAUAGAAUUUUUAAUCCAAAUAUUAUAUAUAUAUAUAUAUAUAUAUAUAUAUAUAUAUAUAUAUACAUAUAAUUUAAUUCCCAAAAUAUGAUUUGCUUCAUAUUAACCUUUUAAUUGUCAUGCACUAAGGUGGUAAAAUGAGGGAUCUAUCUUCUUAUAACAUGGUUUUUUUUUUUUUUUUUUUUUUUUUUUUUUUAAAAAAAAUGUUCUAAAAUUCUACCUUAUUAUUACACUAUGGUGACAAAAAAUAUAGUUUAUAAGUGUAGUAGGCAUUUUAAGCUAAAUGCCCUUUAAAAAAAAUGAUAUAAAAUAAUAUUUAAGAAGAGAUUUGAAAAUACUUCAAUGGUCGUUUGCAUUACUACAAAAAAUAAUAAAAGAACUGUAGAAGUAGAAGGAAAACUUUGGACAAUUAAUUGAUAGUUCUCUAUAAGCUUCUUAUUUGAUAGAUAUUUCACCACCACAUCAAUAUAAAGGUGUGUUCUAAAAUAAGAGUUAUCAAAUCUUUAUAUAAAUAUGUUUAUAAGGGACUUAAUUAUAUAGUUAUUGAUUUAUCAAAUCUUGUAGUAGAUGAAGGUAAUAUAGUAGUUACUAAUAAUAUUAAGCAAUAUUUGGAUGCUUCUUAUGUUUUAUCACCACAAGUGUGUUAAAUAACGAUUUAUUUAAAGUUUUAUUUUGAAAACCACAAUAUUUAAUAAAUAUAAGUUUACCUUCUAAAUCAAUACAAUGUAUGAUAUUAUUCUAAUAGAAAUUUCAAAAAAGUAAUAGAGCCACAUAGUCAAAAAUAAUUCAUUUAACUUUUUGUAGUAUAUUUGUACUUUAAGGUAGCCAAAAAUAUUUUAUAUAAUAAGAUUUUAAAGAAUUAUACUUAAAAGAAAAAAUAUACUUCUUUGAUUGUAUAAAGAAGGAUAUUUUUUCAAAUAUUGUGAAUUAUUUUUUGAAGAGUAAAAGAAAAAUUUAUUAACUUAAGAUUAAAACUCUCCUACUUAUGGCCAUCUAUUAAUCAAUUAAUUAAAUUUUAUUUUAAAACAUCUAUUAUAUCCAGCAUAAGUUUUUUCCAAUUUAAUAAUACUAAAUGAGAAAAAAUUAGAUAUUUUUCACAAUAACUGUCCUUUAAAUGAAAACAAACACAAAUUAUUCAUGUUGAAAAAAAAAAAAAAAAAAUCAGAUACUUACUAUGCAUACAAUGUUGUUUUAAUUAAUUAAAAAGGUUUGUGGCAAAAAAUUUAAGUAAACAAAGAAUGAAUAAUAUAUUGUAUGUUGUGAAAUUUUGAUCCCAUUAACAUAUACAUUGAUGAGUUUAUCUUCAUAUCAUGGAAAAAGAUUGAAAUAGAAAUUUUAUUAUUUUCACAAACAUUAUUUUAGCUACAAAUAUCAAUGUUUUUAAUUCUUUAUAAAUAAGCUCAAACUUAGAUCUCAGUGAAUUAUGUUAUAAAAAUCAAAACAUGGUAUAUAGAAUAAAUCACAUGUAGUUAUUUUUAAAAUAUUAAUUAGAGCCUAAAUUAGAAAUUCAGUAUUUAUUUCACAUCUCAACUUUAAAUCCUUAUAUAAUUUAUUUUUUUUAAACUAAGAUAAUAAAAAUUUCUAUUAAAGCUUAUUUCUAUUCUAAAUCAGUUAACGAAUCCUAAAAACAAACAAAUCUCAGCUCAGAGCUCAAUUUGUAAAAUCUAAAAACAAAUCGAUGAAAAAUUGUGUGCUUCUUUAUUACAGCUAAAUCUAAACAAAAUAUCAUCUCAUUAUUAUUAUUAUCUAAUAUUAGAUACUGCAGACAAACUAAAAACAUAAUUAAAAAAAAUAAUCCAAAUUCUACAAUUGAUUUUUAUAAUAUAAAAAAAUAUAAAAUAAUUAGAGUAAUAAAUAAGAAUCUUCUUAAAUGAACUAAAAGGUACAUAAUUAUGUAUAUCUAUUUAUCUUUGUAAUUAUCUAAGCUAUAUUAUUUUCUAUUACACCUCAAAAACUUGCUAUGUUAUGGUAAUCUCAAAUAAAAGCAAAGAAUCGUAUUGCUCAUAUAUAUAGAUAAUUUAAAAAGAAACACAUCUUCUCAAUAUAAAAGAAUAAGAUAGGACAAAAAAUUUAAUUAACAAAGAAAUAAGAAUAAGAAUUAUAUAUAAACAUUAUGUUGUAUUAAAACAUGUAAAAAUAAUUCUUUUUCAAUGAUAUUUUGAAUUAGAAAAGUUAAAAUAUAUAUAAGAAUCUAUAUAAAGUAUAAUUUCUUAUCAAUCAACUAUUAUUUUUUAUCAACUAUAUAAAAGUUGUUAUCACCAAAUAAAAUAAGAUGAGAUAAAAUGCUAAAAAAAACCGAAAUAAAGUCAAAUUGUCAUCUUAAAAAGUAAAUGUCAUAAUUUUGAAGUAAUUUUUUAUUUUAUAAAAUAUGUUAAUGUUUAUGUUUAUAUUUCCUAAAUAUAUGCUUUUAUCAAGUAAAAAGUUUACUAUAAAUAUUUUUUAUCACGGUGAGAUUAAAAAAAUAAUAAUAAAUAAUAAAUAAAUAUUUUAAAAACAUUAUUAAAUAAAUAUUUAUAAAUUUUACAAACACUUUUUUUUUAAAAUUUCUUUUAAAAAAUAUGUUAAUUUUUUUAAAAAAAAAUAGUUCUAAAUUUUUAUGAUUGUAUUAAAAAAACAUCUUUCCUUGAGUUAUUUUUAAUAAAAAAACUAAAAAAUUUAUAUGAAAUUUCUUAAAAUGAAUUAGAAUAAAAAAAAAUACGAUCUUCAAAUUUUGAUAUUAAAUUUAACAAUUUUUAUUCUUAAAAAAAAAUUAAAAAUCUUAAUAAACUCCCAUCUGACAAAAACAAUCUUCUAAAAUCAAUCAAAUAUGAAGGCAAUAUUUAAUGCUUAUAAUAUAACUUAAAACUAUGUCGCUGCUUUUUAAAAUAAUAAUAUAAAUUAAAAUUAAAUAAUUCAUAUAAUAAUCCAUAAUUUAAUUGUAAGAUCUAAUGACUUCUUCAAAAUAAAAAUAUUGAAGCAUCGGUAAUACUAUUUAGAAAUGGUUUUUAAAAUUGUGCUAAAAACGUUUUGUAAAAUUGAGUACAAUAGCAGAACAAAUCCUUAAAGCAAUUUUUUAAAAUAAGAAAAAAAAUAAAAUUAUAUAAAUUAUACUUUUAUUUAUAUAUAAAUAUAUACAAUAUUAUGGUAGUGAAUAUAUGUUUUAAAUUAAAUUAUAAAAAGUGAUAAUAUUGUUGUUUAACAUUGAAUAAGUAUAAAGUUUAUAAAUAGUCUAAAGUACAUUAAGUAGGGCUUUAAGACUGUAAAUCUAAGAUUAAUCAUGGGAAUUAAAAAAAAAAAAUCGUCAAGAUAUUAAAGUCGUAUACAAAGUGUAUACUAAGUUUUGUACAAAAAUCUCCUAAACAAACACUGGUGAAGAUAAUAACAUGUAUUAUUUUUUUACAGAAAAUAUUAUCUGAAACUAACAAUGUAGCUUUUAAAACUUUUAUUNNNNNNNNNNNNNNNNNNNNNNNNNNNNNNNNNNNNNNNNNNNNNNNNNNNNNNNNNNNNNNNNNNNNNNNNNNNNNNNNNNNNNNNNNNNNNNNNNNNNAUUAUGAAAUUAAAAAUAGUAAUAAUAAUUAAUAAUAAUAAUAUCUUGUGGUUAAAUAAAAAAAUUUCACUAUAAUUUGUUUUCAAUACAAAAUUACAUUGAUCAAUUUUUUUAAAAUUUAAAUUUAUAUUUAAAUUUUUUAAAAUUUAUGACCAUUGAUACAUCGUUGUGGAGAGAGAAUAUUGCCUUCAAAAACAUUAGGCCUUUAUUUGCUACUAAUUUCUAUAUCUUCUCCUACAUAUUUUAAAAAAAAUAUCCAAUAAAAAUUUAGUCCUUCCUAAAUCUUUUUGUCUUUAAAUCAAUUAACAAACUAUAUAUUUCAAGUUCAUAUAACAAAAACAAGAGAAGAACGCCUCCUUUGGGGCUCUUAUAUUACUUUCUAAAGAAGGUUGUUACUUUCUAAAAUCCAAAAUCUUACCCUAAAUCCUAAAUCUUUAAUUUACUCACAAGUAUUUAUUAUUUAUUUUUUAAAAAGAAGAGUUGAAAAUUUUGAAGGAUUGAUGUCAUUACACUUUAGUCACUACUUUUAUUUUCAAUAUAUAUAUAUAUAUAUAUAUAUAUAUAUAUAUAUUCUAAAAUAGUAUUGAAUUAUAUUAUUUAAAAAUAAAAAAAAGAUAAGAAAUAUCAAUUAAAAUAUAAGAUAUUUAUUUUCUUUGUAUUCUCUUAUCACUUUGUAUUAGUUAAAACAAAAAAUAUUUAUUAAAUUUAUAUAUUUCUAUUAAUCAUGAAAUUUUAAAAUUUUGAGUUUAAUAAUUUUUGUUUUAUUAAAUAUUUUUUUUCUUAAGAUUUUUUAUUUAAAUUUUAUUUAAUUCUAUUAAUAUGAUUUCUAUAAAAUUCUAAUAAUUUUUUAUCAUAUAAUAAUAUUCUUUCUAUGAUAAAAAGAAUAUUUCAAUUAUUUUUUGACAAGUUAUUGUACAUUAUUUACAAACUCACCCAUAAAACAUACUCAACAUGCAAUCUAAUAAUACAAAUGCAGUACAAUUAUGUAGAUGGUGUUUUGUUAUAACACAUUGUUGGAUAAAAGAGUGAAUAAAGACUAAUAUAUUAAGAAAUGCGUAAUUAAAUUAUUUGUAGAGAUUUCUUCAGAAUUCACAGAUAAUAUAUGAAAGAUUAUUAAAAUAAAAAAUUAAUGUUCAAUGCUGAUAUUUUAAAAAUAAAUAAAUAAAUAAAAUAAAAUAAAAUACUUCUACUUACCUUUGUGGACCUUUAAAUAAGACACAAGACAUUGUAGGAUAGACAUAAAACCAUUACAAACUCCUUUAGAUAAGUUUCAUGAAUAGAUUCACCAAAAUCAUCAAAAAAAGAAAAAAGAAAAAAACAAUUAGAUUGAUAUUUGAGGAAGACCAUUUUUUUAAAAAUGUCAAAAACAGACCACCAAGAUACAAAAAAUGGUACCCACAAAAAAAGUAGGAUUAUUUUAUUAAUAAAAGAAUAGAAUUAGAGAGGAGAAUAAAAGAAGUUUUACAAUUUGUAGAUAUGUACAGAUUUGAUUUGCUAAAAUUUUUCAGAGCUAAUUAAAGUCAAGGAUAUUGAUUUGACAUUAUUAUUUUGAAUAAUAAAUUUAUAUCUAUAAUUUUAGAAAUAUUGUAUUUUCUUUCAUAGAUAUGUAUUUUUUUCUUGCUACAAAUUUAUUAGUAAUUUUUAUUGAAAAACCAACUUGUAUUUACAUAUAUUCUAAAACAUUAGAUUAGUAUUUAUUUAUUUUUUAGAAAAUAUUAAUUUAAUAUUUAUUAUAAAAUAUUUGUAUAUCAAUAAAAUAACUUGCAAAAAAAAUACAAAAUCAUUUUAGUUAAAUUUUUGAAAUUUAUAAAUUUUUUUACUUAAUGAUUCUAUUUAAACUGAAAAGACUUAAAUAUUAUCAUAUUUAGGUUUUUUUAAAAAAUAAGUAGCUAAAUUAUUAAAUAAUUUUUUUACAAAUUUAUUUGAAAUUUUAAUAAAAUUCUUAAGUAGAUUCUAUUAAUGAUUUUUUAUUUUUUAUUUAUAUUUAUCAAGUUCUCAAAAGAAAUUAAAUAGUUUAAAUAUCAAAGAUUGAAUGUUUAAUAUUAGGACUUUUUUGAAACACAAGGAAUAAAUGAAUUAUAUUUUAAUUAUUUUUUAAUUUUAAAUUUAUUCCUAAAUAAUAACCUAAAGGCUCUUAUUUUAUAUUUUAUUAUAAUUUAAUUGUAUGGAAUUUUUUUGCAGCCUUCAAAGAUUUAAGUUAUUUUUAUUUUUAAUAGUUAUUUAUAAAUAAAAUUAUUCAAAAAAAACUAUUAAAUUUAAAUAUAUUUUAUUUUAUAUUUUAUUAAAUAUAUACAUAUAAUAAAUAAAAAUAGCACCAAUUAGAUCUUCUUAUCAUAGGUUAUUUUUGAUAAUAUAAUUACAUUAGUAUUUUUAUUAGAUUUUUUACUCUAUAAUUUACUAUUUAUAUAUAUAUAUAUAUAUAUAUAUAUAUGUUUACUUAUUUAUAUAUUUAUAUAUUCAAAGGUCUUAUCCAACUAUAAUAAUAAAUAUUAAAGGUUAAUAAGAAUCUAAUUAUAAUUAAAAUAAAUCUAUAUUAAAACUUAAUAACUAGUAUUGCACCUAUCAUCUACUUUUUUAUUUCAUUAUUUUUUAUAAUAACAACACUCUUUGAAAUACUUCUUUUAAACUUAAAUAUUUAAAGUUUAACUUCUUAUUAUUAUUUCAUUUUUGUUGGGAUAGCAUCAACCAUUAACUAUUACAUUUGUAAUGGAUGCCAACAUUGCUUAAGUAAACACAAAUAAACAAAAGUAAGCAAAAGUAGAUAGAAUAUAUUAGAUAGAUAAUAGAUUCCUUAAGAAACUAUGAUGAAGGUUCUAAUAUAAAAAUUUAAUCUUCAGAUUUCCAUAGUUAUGUUGUGUAGCUAUUAAAACUUCUUUCACUAGUUUCCUAUAUUUAAAAAAUUGUAUUGGAAGCAAACUACAAUGUGGACCAUAAGUCUUAUGGUUCUUAAAAAGCUUCCACAAGAUCUUUUAGUAGCAAGCAUGUAUGGAGACAAGAUUGAAGUCAUCCUCAAUCUUGUCAAUGUGUUCCUUAUAUUCCAAUCUUAGUUCAAUAUUAUCUUCUUAAUAUUUGGCAAUAGCUAUUUUUUUAUAUACAUAUAAUUUUCUUUUACUUCCUCCCUUCUUCAAUUACAAAAUAGUGUAUUAUCUUAUAAUUUUUGUCUAGAUUUAUAUUUUUAACAACAUUAACCAACUUCUUUAAAACAUAAUUAAUUUCAAAAAAUAGAAGUAAAACAAUUUACAAUGUUGUUAAUUCAUCAUUACUGCCAUAUUUAUAUAACUUAUAAUUUUUUAAAGAAAAACCAGACUUGCAUUCAAAAUACAAAUUUCAAAUAUGAAAAAUUUUAUUAGUUCUAAAAACAAUCAUUUUUUUAAUUUUUUUUAAUCUUUUAUCUGAAAAAGAAGAUUUAUGUUCUUUGUAGAUGAUUUGAAUUUUUAACAUUAUUACAAAUAUUUUAUAAUUAAAAUAUUGUAAAUUAAUAAAAAAAUCAAAAAUAAAAUAAUAUUUAUAAUUCCAUCAACAUCUAGAUUUUAAAUCUUGUUUUUUUUAAAAAAAAAUACUUGUAGGUUGUAAUUUAAAAAAAAAAAAAAAAAAAAAAAAAAAAAAAUCUCACUUUAGCAUUUAUUUAAACAUUACAAACGAUUAGUUUAAAUAAGGCAUAAUCAAGGGCAUCCAUAUCUCUAUCUUAAUUUUUGCAAAAUUACUUCCAUGAUGUUUAGCAAAUGAGCUUCCAUAUAUAUAUAUAUAUAUAUAUAUAUAUAUAUAUAUAUUCUCACUUUUAUAUUUUAUUUAAUAUUACAAAGCACGUGAAAAAAAAUUUAAAAAAUUAAUACCAUACUAUCAAAUUUAAUUUGCAAUAUUUCAUGCAAUUUAAAUAUAUACAUAUAUAUAUAUAUAUAUAUAUAUAUAUAUAGAUAAAUAGCCAAAAAGUCUUUAGAACUAACUCUUGAUUCAACCAAUCUUAUUAUAUGUUAAAAUUAUCCAGUUAUGAAAUUCUUCAAUUUUAGUUUCAUAAAAGACUUACCUACCAUAAUGUAGAAGAAAUUUUACCAUAUUAUAUUUUCAAGGUAAACUAGAACUUACUUUAGUAGGAAAUUUUAAAGAAAUAAUGAAACAUUGUUUGCAACAAUUUCACCUUAAAGAAUUCCACAACUUAUUCAUAUUAAGGUUCAUGUCAACAUACAUUCUUUGUUUGUCAAAAUCAUGACCCCUACAUUGUUCCUACAACGUGCAAAAUUUAAUUAUACAAAAAUAAAUAAAUAAAUAAAUAAUAAACUUGAAUUGUGUAAAAGUGGAAGAAGGAAGAAGAAUCCAUGACACGGCCAACGUAGAAGACGAAUUUGGUCAUUCAUUGCACAGCUCAUGGCGAUUCUUCCCCUUCUAACGCACAUCACGGCGAAAUCCUACUUGUGCCCAAAGCAGCUUCGCAAAUUGCUCAUUCGAGCAGAGGAUUCAAUCGCACGGGAUUUAUUCCACACAUCGAUAGAUGCCUGUGCCACAAUUCGCUCAGAUCUUUACUUUAAAGUGCCAAAAAUAUCGAGCAAUCAGCCAACUGAUGAAGGCACAUUCAAUCAGCUGCAAUCCGGGAGGAGCGGAAUUGCAUUAUUACGUGUGAGAACAAUGUCGUGUCGCAACACCGGAAUUCCGCGUGCAAUGCUGUUGUGAUUCCGUUGCGACGUCUCCCGACGACGGUUGUCUCGAAUUGGGUUGUGGGUUUCCAAUUCUCGCCUCACGCACAAUCAGAGCACUGAGUUUUGGACGAGGGGUUGGUUAGAUUUGCGGUGUGUGAGAAUUGUACAUGCGAGGCUCGAUGAAAGUCGUUUCGAUGGCCACUCUGCUAGCUGGUUGAUGAGAUCAAGACUUAGAGGCAAUCUGUUAAACUUGAAGUGGAAAAUUACUGCAAGCGAUGUCAGAGAUGAGCGUGCAUCCGUCGAAGAGAAGCGGUGAGGUGGGCCGCAAGUCUGAGUCUGGGUGAGAGCUUGAUAGUAGGACUUCGAGGAACUCUGUUGUUAGGUCUUGCACCUCCAGGAUUGCUGGUUGUGUGGCCUUCUCCACCUCACUUGCUGUGGAUCCCGUCUCUAUGCCCUCGUCGGUCGAGACAUUUGCGCUGGGUUCGGGUUCUGGGGAGGAAUCCGGUUGCAGAUCCGGUUCCGAAGGAGACGGUGUUGAGGAUGCUGAUGCAGUCGGUGGCGGUGUUGGUGUCGGGAGAGUGGCUCUGAGCGGGAAGUUGAGAAGUGCUCUGCGUCCUCGCAUUUUCAGCGCGGCCGCGUCGUACGCCAAAGCUGCUUGCUCCGCUGUGUCGAAAGUCCCGAGCCAAACACGCGUCCCUUGCCUUGAGGAAUCCCGGAUUUCAGCUGCAAAUUUCCCCCAAGGCCGUUGGCGCACGCCUCGAUAAUGGAGAAUGCUGCGCGUCACCUUCGUCUGUGCGCAUUUUUUCUCUUGCGGGGGAGUGCUGGGAGUGUCCACGCUUGAUCGGUCAUUCUCCUGCUGGUUGUGCUUAGCACAUCCCAUAACAGCGGCCUCUGGAAAUACUCGCCGAGUUCGAACAGGGCUACGCAGCACAGAGGCUGGAGCAGUCUCUGCAGGUGAGGGCUCGUCCAUGUCCAUUAUCAUUUGGUAGAACACGGCAUCCUCGGAAUUGUUUUCAUUUAACGGCAGGUGCGUGGAGACGGGCUCGUCUGGUGGCGAAGGCACGCCUCCCGAUCUGGUUUGUUUGCGCCAAUCGGGCCACGAUCCUGGUUCCUGCUUUGUGGCGAGGAUUUGGAGCAAAUACGAUUCAGUCGAGUCCGUCGUCACAUUUGAUUGGCCAUGUCGUACAGAUGGCCAUGGUUUGGUUAGACAUGUGGUAUGUUCUGGGACGAGAGGAGUGGUGAGUGAGGGGUCCCGGAACCAGUCAAACUGCGAUGAAGUGGUAUUCCAUGCGGCCCUUUCUGUCACAGCAUGAUCGAUGGUUUCCUUAAAUGUAGAUCCGAGCGAAUAUGGAGGCUGAUCCGCGAGCAACCAAGUCCGAUGGCAGAGCUUCUCCUGAUUCUCAAAUCGGACGAACUCAUUGGAACGAGAUCGCUUCAACAUAUGGCCUCUCCCCUCAUAAAAGCGCGACGAUGAGGUUGUUUCCUCGUGGCAAGGGAAUGUAUCACUGGUCGAAAGUAUCCUGGUUGCAAGCGCUGCAAGAGGAUCACAAUUCCGAAACUGUGAGCUGAAUGCCUGCAAAUCCGAUUGCUGGGGUGUCUGCAGCGAAAGUGCCUUUGCGACAACCGAUUCAGGACUCGUGUUAUUUCCCUCCAGUAACCCCCUGGUUCUCUUUGCUGCGGCGAAAGUGAACAUGUUCACUGUCUUGAAGUUCCUCGAAACACACAACUUACACGAAUGGCCAAAAAUCCCAAUACCCUCACAAUUCUAGUGUACACACAAUUUUCUCCCGUCCUUCACGUCUACAUCAUCACAACAAGACGCUUAUUCCAAACGUAAUUCCUCAACUAACUUCUACUUCAAAAAGACUUCACCCUCUUGUCACUUGCUGAUUGAUAACCUUCUAACCAACCAACCCAUUUCUUCCCUUCAUACUUCUACAAAUUCCUUCAAUUUCUGAACUGUCGCUUCUCUUGGCCAAAUAACGAUUCCAUAAACCAGCAUAGUGCUCAAGUCAAGCUCCAUCGGUGCAAAUUUUGACCUCUCGACACUGAGGCCCUAAAAAGUCCAAUGCUGGACCUGCAUCAGGAAAAACGAUCCGACUUAAUCCAGUCGACUCACAUACAGUUUCACAGUUCGACUCAACGAGCGAAACUGGCGCUUUACAAGUGAGACUGAUGCGGCACACUGCAUGACCCAGAGACGGGGCAAGGGUGUCAUUUAAAAUGGUGCGAUCUCGGGAGGAAAGGCAAUAGGAAACUUACGUCAUGAAUCUGGACGCCGCGACACAACAGAUGCUUCGCAAUUGAAAUUCUAUGACUGUGAUUGGGUCCCGAUGCAACACAUAGGCCUGCAGCACACUAUUCGAAAACUCAUACCCAACCUAAUCUUGUCACUGGUUCUUUUCUACUUGGGAAACUCGGUGGUGGCCUAUUCUUAACCGCUCUCGCCGCUCAGAUUCCCCAUACACAAACAGCUUUUAUGAGUUGUACCCGGGUUUACUUUUCGUCGUUGCGGAUCUUAGUCUCCUACUCUCCCGCGGCGCGAUUUCCAAUGCGGGGCAGGUCAAUUCUGCUUUCAAAUCCGCGACAAUUUCUGCUGUCUUUACUCGCGUUUUUAACGUAUCGUUGCAUGUGUGGCUCGCGACCAUCGCUUGACUCUCAGAUUUUCGUAAACAAUCCGGAACGGAGUUGGGGCGGUGGAGCCCAUCGAUCCCCCUUUCGGUAUCGCCCGACGCUUCUUCGAACCAGUUCGAUGACUCCGCUCUGGAGGCACAUGCUCCGUUCACACAGCGCAUCGUUGUCGGUAAAAUUUCCCUGUUCGACGAAUGCAUAAACACUUUGCCAUGCAUUCGUCCAAAAUUUUCUGUUUUUGUGUACGUGCAGAAGUUAAAGCCUUAAGUCAUGCACAUCACCAAGGUGAGGUAUUUAGAUUAUGGAUGAUUUAUUCUUAUCUCAUCAAUGCAAUAAAAUCACCUUAUUUUUGUCGAAAGGUAAACGAAACUGAAUGAUGCAAAAUUAUAUAUAUACUACAUUCAAAGAAGUAAAUAUAUCAUAAACUAACUUAAUUGGAAAAUCUAUGUUUAACACACAUUCAUGCACUGAAACUUACAUAUACAUCUUUUGAUUUCUAAACUUUUAAGCGUGAAGAACUUGUACUGUGUUCAUGUCUAUUUCUAUAAUUAGGUUACAUUCAUGAUUAAUGACUGGUUCAAUUUUAAACUCAUAAAAAAACAAAAAAAAUAUAUAUAUUUCUAUUUCUGUUCUCUAGUAGAAAAACUUGAAGUUUUAAAAAAACAAUCAACUGUGAAUAACAAAAUAAUUCUGUGUUAAUUUGAUUUAUCAAGAUUAUUUAAUUAUUUUCAACAAUGCACGUAAGGAAAUUAUUUUACUUUUGAACCUUUGCACACAAAAUUGAUUUGUUGAGUGUUUGUUCCACUGUAAUGAGUAUUUUGCCUUGAUCUGCUUAUUUAUUUUGUUUUUUUGGUAUCACACAUCUUAUCACCAACAUUCAUUGACUCUCACGUCACCCUGAUUAAUACCCAAGUCAACACCUGCAAAUAAAUCAUUCUUUUUAAACUAUUCCUUUUAAUGUUAACUAUUCACUUGAUAUAAAAACUGAUAAUGGCUUUUGAAAAUGAAGAUGUAAUUAAUUUUCCACAAGCAGUAUUUUCCAAUACAUACAUGCAUGGUCCUAGAAAGAGGUAUUGGAGAAAAAUGUAAAAACCGUCCCAUAAAUCGGCAGAAUUUUUUAUUAUUUUACAUUUUUUAAUUUACAACACAAAACCAUAGAGGAGCUGUAUGAGGAAGAAUAUGCAAAUAUGAAUUUGUAUUUGUUGACAAAAGAAAAAAAAAAAAAAAAAAAAAAAAAAAGAAAAAAGAAAGAAAGAAAGGGAAGAAGUAAAUGAUUGUCAUUUUUUGUAUUAUUAUUAUUAUUAUUAUUAUUAUUUUUAAUGUGAACUAAUAAUCUAUUCUAGUGCACCAAUUUAAGAAGUAAUAACAAUCCUUAUCUCUGCUCUCUUGAUAUCUCUGCUCCCUUGAUAUCUCUGCUCCCUUGAUAUCUUUAGGUAUCAAGGGAUAAGGUGUCUAUUGUAACUCUUUUAUUCAAUCAAUGCAUUGGAUAUACCUUGUUUGUGGUGUCAAAUCAUAAAAUAAAAGAAAAAUAAUAAAUAAGAAAAGUAAAAAAGAGAUGAAAAGAAAAGCCAAGAAGACAUGAGAAAAAAGACAAAAAGAGAUGGAAAAAAUGACAAGGUAGAGUAUUUAUUGCAUGGCAUAAAUAUUGCUUUUAUUUGAAUUUGUAAUAGACUUACUUUAAGAGUUGUUUUUUUUAUAAAUUUUGAGAGAUUAUAUCAAAUUUCUCAAAAAAAAUUAUUAAAAAUUUGAAAUGUUGAUUUUGUUCACAUUUAUAAUUAUUUUCAUAAUUAUUAAAAUUAAACUUGUGUAUUUAGAAAUAUAAAUAAAACAAUGAAUUGAUCCAAGAAGUAGCUUCUUAAAACUCUAUACUAUCUCCGAAGGUCAAGACUUCCAAAGGACAAAUAUUCUUCGCUAAGAAAAGAAUUUCAUAAGGCUUUUAAACUAUGUUCUUUAAAAGUUGAUUUUGGCCUAAAAAUCCAUAAGUUACAUUAGAUUGGUUAAACCAUUAAUUUAAUUAAGAAGAAGUAAGACAACAAUACAAACUUCAAAAAUAUAUAUAUAUAUAUAUAUAUAUAUAUAUAUAUGAAGACAAAUAAAUUUAUAAGAAGUAUAAAAAUUUAAUUCAAAAAAUAAAAAUAUUUUCAUGCAAAAUAAGAUAUAAUAUUAUUCAAAAUAUUUGAAUAAUAUCAUUUGAAAUUAUUAAUACAUAGCUUAAAAUUAACUGAAAUAAAAUACCAUUUAAAAAAUAUAUAAUUGAAGAUUGUUUAAUUAUACAUAUUAAUUAAAAAAACAAAAAAACAAAGAAAAAAAUUCAUAUUAGUAACUAAGCUAUAUAAAGUGUUGUUGGUGUAAAAUACAAGGAAGAAUGAUUUACAUUUCUUUUGUAUUUGGAUAAACCAAAUAACACUUUGAGUGAAAAAGAGAAUACUAAAAUAAUUAUACUAAAGAAACAAAAAGAAAAGAAAAAAGUUGCAUAUUUCAUGAUAUUUUUAUGUGUAUUCUUAAAAGAAUUAUUACAAAAAUAUAAUCAAAAAAAAAAUAAGAAUCUAUUUUAAUUAUAAAGUAGCCAUAUAAUUUUGAUUAUUUUAUUAAUCAUUUCCAUAUAAUCAAUGUGAAAAAAUCGCCUUAACAAAUAGUAUUUCUUUUUAAGAGAUCCUUCAUAUAAGAAGUAGAAAUUUCAGAACUAAUUAAUUUAUCAUCAUAAAUAAAAUAAAAUAAAAUAAAAACUAUGUGAAAAACUUGCUUAAAAGCUUUGAAUGGUUCUUGUCUCUGAGUCUGCUUUAAUUUUUUGAAAUGGGUCCUUUCAAGGUUCUAUGAGUUAAGGCAUAAAACUUCAAAACCAUAUCUAACUAUAAAUCUUAGAGAAAGUAUAGAAUUUUUUUAUAUAUAUCUAUGAGUUGUAUAUGUCUCAAAGAAAAAGAAAAUGUCUAAGAAUAAUAUCUCUAUUUUUGAUAAUGCCCAAAGGUAGAAAAUAUUAUCAAAGAAAGUUAAAUUAAUGACAUGAUUUUAUUAUUAUGAUGAAUUUCACUAUUUUUUAUUUUUUAUGGUUUUUUAUUAGAUUAAUAUUAAAUAUUAAAUAUUUAAUAUAUAAUAUUUAUUAGGAUUAAAUCAAUAUUAUUCUCUCUCUCUCUCUCUCUCUCUAUAUAUAUAUAUAUAUAUAUAUAUAUAUAUAUAUAUAUAAAAAAAAAGUUAAAAUAUUUAUGAGAUUAUUAAUGUAAUCCUGAAAUAUCAAUAAUCUUUUUAAAGAUGAUAUUUUUAUCAUUAUGCAAGUCAUAUAGAAUUUUGAAAUAUUGUCAAGGACAUAAAUCAUAACAAAACUUUAUAGAAGCAUUAUAUUCUUGUGACAUUUAAAGAUAAAAAUUAGAUAUACCAUGGAUAGUUAUAAAUUAGACAUUAGAAUGGCUAUUAUCAAACACAAAAGACUAGAAUUUUUUUAAAAAAGACUAAUAACAAAAAAAAACUUUAAUAAAAUGACAAAGGCUUCAUUCUUGCUUUUAAUAUAUACUAUCUUAUUAGGAGCUAUAUGAAAACUUUCUAUAGGUCAUUCAAUACCUAUCUAACUUGUGGAAUACAUGUCUAUCUUACAAUACAAGUUUCUAAUAUAUAUGCUACACGAAGAGCUUAUAUAAUAGUAAUCAACAUGUACAAUAUGUAGCUAAUUUCUUUGUUAAGUUUUUCAACCUACUAAUCAUCUACCAAUACUUAGAAAGUCAAAACUGUAUCUAUAUAAUUUCUAAGAAGCUUUUCUAUAAAAAAUUAUAAAAUUUGCUUGCUUCUACUUAUUUCUAUCUUAUUCUUCUAAACUUAAUAAUUAUUAAUAUAUAUAUAUAUAUAUAUAUAUAUAUUUAUUUAUGUGCCAUUAUCCAUCUUUCUCUUUUCUAGAAACAAGUUCUACAAAUAAAACUAAUCUCAUGUUUAUAAAGUUAAAAAUACAACAAACUAUAUUUGUCAUAUUUUCUAUUUUUUUCUUUUAAUCAAAGAUAGUUGAUGGGCCCUCUCAAUCAUUGAUAAUGUUCUAUAAUAAAGCAAAAAUAACACCCUAUUAUUUGAUCAUUAUUGAGGCUUUAUAACUUCUUUCAAAUAAAAUAUUAAAAAUAUCAUUUGAAGUAAUUUCUAUUUUAAUAAUAUCAUCAAAUAUAGAUUUUUAAAAAAAAUUGUGAUACUCAACACAUUAUAUUUUUCCAUCUAUUCAAGAAAGUACAUAAUUUUUUAAAAAGUCUUCAUCUUUUUUAUAUUGUCUUGAAUGUUGAAAUAAUUUUAGUAUUUUUUUAAAUUUGUUUGCAAAUAAUAGCGCUUGAGUUGAAUUUAUGUAAGUUCUACCAAUACAACUUAAUUGGUAAAUAGAUUAAAAGCAUAGUUUUAGGUCUGUUAAUUAUACAAAUAUUAAGGUUAGAAAUUCUUUUUGACUAUUAAAUUAUUUAUUAAGAAUUAGAAGUAUUUAUAAGUUACAAAAGUCUUAUUAGAAGAAAAGUAAUAAAAAUGGAGUCUUAGUAAGUCUUAGAAGUAAUAAUCUUAGUUGAUUUAGUAUUUUUAUUUAUAUUUAUUUAUUUUUAAUUAUUAAAGAUUAAUUAUUGAAACUAAUGUCUUUAUUAGCCUCCUAUCUAUAUAUGUCACUUUAAAAAAAUCCUAUAAAUGAUUAAUUAGUAGUUAGAAAAAACAUAAAAAGAACUUCAUAUUAUUUUAAUUAAUUAUAUAAAAAAUAGGAUUUUUAGUGGAUUUAAAUUGAUUUUAUUUCUAUAAAAAAUCACCAAGAUAAGAAAAUAUGGCUUUAAAUAUGAAUUUAAAUAAAUAAAAAAUUUAAAAGUUUUUCAAAAUUUAUUUAGGAAUUUUUAGAAAAGAUUUCAAGACUUUGGUAAAAAUGAGUUUUACCACAUUGGAAGCCAUUAUAAAAAAAUGGAACAAGAUUUGAAGUCCAUACAAGAUUCUUAAGCUAUUCAUAUUUUUAAAUACCAUAGUGAAGUCAAAAAUUCAAAAAUUUGAAUUUUGUUUCAUAGAAAAUAUGAGUACCAACACCAUUGUAACGAAUCAAGUAGAAGAUUUAGUAGACGUAGAUAAGCUCAUUGAGCAGUUUACCAAUAUAGGAUUUAAGUUGGAAACAAGAAAUAGACUUAACAGGAACAAGUUUAUGUCUUCUAAUGAGUAUUUGCUAUCUUGCAUGUACGAGUCUCUAGUGAUGACAAGGACAAAGUAGACUUAAUAGAGUAGUAAGCUAGUUGUAAUAUAAUAGAUUUUUUUUUAUCUAUUAGUGCCACUGAUUUUUUUAUUAUAUGCUACAAAGAAACACCAUCUGCUGUUGUUACAAGCACUCAUCAUCAUGGACACCAGACAUAAGAUAUUAACAUUGACACCUAUGCUACUAAGUAGAGCACCCAAGAAGGUAUACUCUUCACCUGCGCAAGAGUCUCACAAGUACUUUUCACAGAAGGUUGAAGAGAUAGACACAUCAGAGGUGUUCACCUACACUCCAGAGAAAGUCCUUUCCAAGGAAAAGAUCAAGUAUGUUGUAUCUCGAACAGUUAAUAGAAACAUGCUUGUAGCGAUUGAUCUUCUUAAGCAACUAAAGAACACCAACAACAUUAGUAAUAUCAGCAGUGCAGACUUUGAAGCUCUUAUUACUAAACCUCUUGAUAAGUUUCUUGAUGGAAGAGUAAUUAAGAAGCAACAAGAAAGAACAAACCCGUUUGAUACUCCUAGGGAUGUCACAGGUUCCUUUAUUAAGCUCUUAAACAUACUCAAGCGACAAGGUGCAGAUGUUACAGCUAUCAAAGUCAAAGACAAUCAAUCAUCAUUGUCAUCUGCAUCAAAGUUGCUUAGGAUGUACAUAUCAAACAAUCUAGAGAAGAAUGGAAGACGAAUAGUACUUGAUCCUACACUUAAAAAUCUCUUUUCAGAAGACCAGAUACAAGAUUUGUACGACAAGAACAAAGGAAAGUUCAUAACACAAGGUCAGAUACAAAAGCUAGCAUCUCUCUUAGUAACAAAAAGUGCAUAAAAAAAACUUUUUUUUAUUCUAGAUUUAAUCUAUACUCCCAUCCGUUAAGGUCACAAAUCUUGAUAUCCUUCUUCGAUAGAAGUGUCAUCUCAUCAUCAUACAUGUGUCCAAUAGCCAUCAUCUUAUUAUCGACCUCAGCGAAUAUGACCUUGGUGUUUAGAUCAACGUAUACGUCUUCCAUAUGCUCAAUAGCUCGUAGCUUCAUCUCUGCUGGUAAUCUCCUUUGCUGUCUCUUUAUACCAAUGACAUCACAGAAGUUAUUUAUUUGUUUUUGCUUAGUAUCAUUAAGGAGCCCAUCAGCUUUCAUCAUCAUGUUCAAAUGCCUCUUACAAAACUCAGAGUUUGUUGUUCUUGGAAGAGAACACUUCCUACCCUUGUUGGCACCACUUUGAAGUACCUUCUCGCAUGUUUCUGCGUCGUUUCUAGAGGGUUUAGAGCUAGAUCCUAUUACGAUGGAGAUAUCAACAGAUUGAAACGUUCUUGAUGCUACACUAUUUAUAAUGUCAGUGUGAGCUUCAAGAUCUGGUAUUUGCUGUAUCAAGUUUGCAAUGAAGUUUUGGCACAAGGCCCAAUUGAGUUGGACACCAACAUCUUCGAGGGCACUCUUCAACUUGGUGACAUCAAAGGAAUCCAUAUCUUAUUACUUGUAUCUACCCUGAAAUGACUUUAAGGAUAGAUAAACUAGUACAAUAAUUAGUAUGUCUAACGAGGAAUUAAUAAUACACGCUCCCCUAUAGUCUUAUGUUAAAGAGGCAUGCAUGAGACAAUCCCAUUGUCAGUUACAGAAGCUCAAUGAGAAUGAAAGACAAGCAUUUAUUGCAAGGCACUCUCAAGCUCAAGUAUGUCCUGGAGAAGAUGUAGGUGUCAUAGCAUUACAGUCUAUUGGACAACCAACCACUUAGAUAGCUCUCAGUUCAUUUCACAGUGCUGGUACUACAGCUGUAGAGGUACUCGAGGGAAUACCUAGACUAGAAUCUAUUUUGAACUGUUCAUUCAAGCAAUCAACAUCAACUAUACGUACUACAAAGCAUACAAGUCUUUCAGACUUUGUAUAUCUUACUAUUCCUGAUGUAAUGUCAUCGUACUAUAUAGAACAUGAUUUAGACUCUUGGUGGUAUACAAUAGCAGAAAAGCACAACUUCUAUAUAGCUCCUACUAGUUACAACGAAGAUGUUGUAUUUAGAAUGAUCGUUGAUAGUAAGAAGAUGAGAGCUUAUAUAUAAGCUUGAAGCUGAUGAGAGAUAGAAUUGCUGAGUCAAUGUAUGGAAAUAACAACAUAUGUGUACUUAUCUCUCCAGAGUUUGAACAUACUAUAGACAUAGCAAUACAACGUGCAGCAAAAAGCAAAGAUAUAGAGAUGUACGUAUAUGGUCUAGUCAAGUCUAUAAUAUUCCCUAUACAAAUCUGUGGCAUUAAAAGUAUAGAACAUGUACUCAUCAACAACAAUGAAGUAAAGACAAAAGAUUCUAAUCUAAUGAGUACAUUAGGACUUGACUUCGUGGAUACUAAGUUUACCAUCUCUGACUCAGCUGUAGACGUUCUCAAGUGUCUAGGGAUAGAAGCUGCAAGAAAUGUAUUAGUAAGAGAAUUAUCAAAGGUACUUAAGGGUGAUGUACGCUUUGAUGACAAGCAUAUUAAUCUGCUUGCAGACUUCAUGACAAACAAAGGUAAGAUAGUACCUGUGAAUAUAUCUGGAAUGGUUGAAAGAGGUCAUAGCUACCUUACUAGAGCAUCUAAUGAAAGGACAAUGGUUGAGUUAGCUAGAGCUGCAUGCAAGGGAGUAGCAGAACUGGUACAAAGUAUAUCCGAUAGUAUAAUAAUAGGUAGUAGAUCAAAAGUAGGAACAAGUAUUGUUGAUAUACUUUACCACACUUAACAAUGUUAUAAAAAGUUUUUUUUAUGAUAAGAUAUGAAUGUUAAGCAUAUUUUAGACCUACUUUAAUAUUAGCUAUGGAUAGCUCUUGGACUAACAAUUUAAAGCUGUAAGGUAAACGAUGCUCCUUUGUGUUCCUUCCGUUACAAUUAAUGCAUGGAUUACUAGAGCAUAUCGUACUACAAUCAUGACAUAUCCAUACUUCACACAAAUCAGAAGUGUUUUUUAGCUUCUCAAGAAGCAUUGAUGCUGCUCCAUGCGCUAUAAGACAGUCCUUCUCCAUCUCUCCAAAUCGCAGUCCUCCUUUUCUUGAUCGUCCUUCAACUGGUUGCUUUGUAAGACUUUGUAUAACACCUUUGGAUAUCGAAUGGGCCUUGUCUCUAGCUUGAUGUCUAAGAGCGUGGUAGUAACAUAUACCAGUUGCAACUCUUGCUUCUAUAGGUAAUCCUGUAGUACCACAGUACAUCUUCUCUUUAGAGAGUUUAGCUAUAUCAGCUUCAAAGCUUCUAUAAGCCUUGUUGAAUGCUGUUGCAUCUAUGCAACUGCUCUCUCUAGACUUCGGCUUUGAAGGAAGCAUUGGGUCUCUAGCAUUGUUUGAGUCUAGCACGUAGAUCUUACACAUUACCAUCUUUAGUAGGUGACCCAUAGUCAUCCUACUAGGUAUUGCAUGAGGAUUGAUUAUAAGAUCAGGUACUAUCUCAUCUUUAGUAAAUGGUAAAUCUUCUUGUGAUAGAAUAGCUCCUAUUACACCUUUCUGUGAAUGCCGUGAUGUGAACUUAUCUCCCACGAUAGGAAAUCUGUAUAGUAAUAUUCUUACUCUAACUAUCUUGUUCCCUUCUGCACUUGUGUGUUUAGUUACUUUAUCAAUCCAUCCCGAUACAAAGCUCUUCAGUACUAUCUUCUCUAUGCUUUGUUUCUUUUCUGUUAUUACAAGUUUAGCAGCAAUGGUAUCACCAUCUUUUACUUUCUGACCAAUCAACACAAUGCCAUCGUUGUCACGUAAGAUAUCUCCAUCUGGAAUGUAUAUAAGAGUUUCGUUCAUAAACUUGUUCUCGAUGAUUUCAACAACUUCGUAUUUAAUGCUUGAGAAUAGCCCUCUGUCUAUUGAUGACUUGUUAAACAACAAAGAAUCCUCUUGGUUAUAUCCAGAGUAUGACAAUACACCAAUUACAACGUUUAUUCCAUUGUAUUCCUUUAUUGUGUUUGAUAUAGUCGUUGUACAUAUAGGCUUUUGAGCGUAUGUUAAUAUCUUUGAAAAUAUUAGUCUUGUACGAAGAAAGGUGCAUAAAUUCUAUAUGAGUUGUAGCACCUUGGAUGUAGGUAGAAAGAUAAGAAUAAGGCCUUAAGGCUUCUUUAAGCAACUUAUAUAUACUACAUGUGAUCUUAAGUGAGGCUUGAAUCUUUAAUUUGUAAGUAAAUUAUCUUUGCAGUAAAAUAUUUUCACUUAAUUUUUUAACUAUUCACUUCUUAUUUUUAAACUUUUAUAAUUUAUUCAUAGUAAUUUGGAUUUAUAUGUUGUUUAUAUCAUUAAAAAGAUAAUAAAAUUAUCUAUCUAAAAAAUAUUUUUAGUAUUUAUUUUUAUUUUUUACUAGGUAAAAACUAAAUGAACAAAUUAUAGAUUACUUUUGUUGUAUGUAAUUGCUUGAUUGCACUUAUUUCACUUAUUUUAUAUUAUUCUUACUUUUUUUCUUAUCUAUUGCAUCUUCUACUUCACACCACUAAUUACAAUAAACUUUUAAUUAAGAUAAUCUUAUAAUUUGGAUCAAGAAAAAAUAAUUAUCUUCAUAAUUAAUUAAUCAUUGAUUUUUUAUCUUUAUAAUAAUAUAAAUAUAUAAAAACCACAAAUAAGUUUAGAAGAUAGAAUUUAAUCUGUAUUGAACCUCAUUUGUUUUAUAAAAAAAUAAUUUUUAGUUAUUUAUCUUAAUUUUAAUGGAUGUCAACAAUAAAAAGCAAUAAUCUUCUUUGCUGCAUCUAUAAGAUUCCUAGAUAGUUUCCAUAUCAUAUUUGGAUUAAUAUACAAGAUAUUUUAACCUAUUUUGGCACAACCUUAAAUCUAAAAUAUCUUCUAUUACAAACUCUUGAUUGUGUUCUACUUCUAUGGAAAAAAGUGACAUUUUGCUUCUUCUUGUUAUAUUCUAUAUCUUGUAUAAUUAAAAAAAAGAACAUAUGAAAUAUACAUUGGAUAUUUACAGAUAUAAGUAGGUAUAAUUGAUAUACAAUUAUAUUGAUUUGAUUACAAAUAAAAUAUGAUUUAAGUCUACAAUAAUUCAACUUAUCGUAAGAACCAAUAGUCUUAAUAUUGUAUCAAAGUAACUAUAUUUUGUUGCCAAUGUCAAAUUGAUGUUGUUUUUUGUAAUGUAUAUCUUAUUUAAUCUUUUAUUAUUUUUAAGCUUUACAUAAUUAUAUUUUUAUUUUUUUAUAUAGCUUUGAUAAAUAAUUUGCCAAAUCUUUCAUUGUAUGAUUAAUAACAUUUACAAAAUCAAAGAUAUCAAAUUAUGAAUAAUAAUCUUAAUUAAUAAAAAAAUUUAAAUAUUGUUAUAUUAUAUUAUAUUAUAUUAUAUAAUAAAAAUUUAUUAUAUUAUAGGCAAACUCUACAAAUGACAUAACAAUUGUCUAGUUAUUUAGAUAAUAGUUGAUGGUACAUCUCAAAUACUAUUUUUAAACUUAAUUUAUUUGUUUUUAUUUAUCCAUCAAUUUGACAGUAGAAGAUGGAAAAUAAUUAAAUAUCAAAUUUUAAUAACUUAAAAAAAUCAUGAUUUAGAUAAAAUUUAAGUCUUUCUAUUCAUAUAAUAUUCCUUGAAAAUUCACAAUAGUAAUAGAUGUCCAAAAAAAAUAAAGCUAUUCCUUUAUUUAUAAUACUUUUUGUACGUGGUACAAAAUAUGCCAUUUUAGUGAAGUAAUAUACAAUUAUAAAUAUAAAUCAUAAGAGCUUGAAAUUAAAGGAUCAAUAAUAAAAUUCUUAAAAAUUUAAAAAUAUAAUUAUUUAAAUAUAGAUAAUGGAUAUAAAAGUCUAUUAGAAUAAUGAUAAAGAAGUUUUGAUCUUCAACAUACAUUACAUGUCUAUACAAAGUCUUUAUCUUCCUUCUACAUUUGAAGCCACAAAAAUAAUCCUUGAAAUUAAUUCUAAAAUCUUAUUCUAUCCAAAAUAUUAUAUAAUUGAAAAAAAAUUUGGAGCUUGAAAAGCACAUAUUUUGAAAUACAUUAGUAUUCUUUGAUAUAAAAAAAAAAUCUUGCAUUCAAACCUAGAAGUAUUAUGAAAUAUAAAAAAAUUUAUUCUUAAUAUCAUGCAUAAGAAGAUUUGAGAAUAUAUUUAAUUAAACUAGAUCAAAAAAUAUUGAAUUAAUAAUUUAUAUUAAUUUUUUUGUCUAAAGAUGAAAUUUCUUUUGCUUCUAAAGAAUCAUUUUUUGUUAAACAAAAGCUACAUCACUUUCUUUUAGUGCAAGAUAAAAAUACUUAAUAAGAGUAUUUAACAAAAUUUUUCGUUUUUUCGGCCAAUAAGUAUUCUUAAAUUCAAAUCUUGGUAAAGACAUGCUCUAACAAGCUUAGCAAUAAUUUAAAACAUGUAUUGACAUAAAAUACUUGAGAUUCUUGUGAUUUUUAUAAAAAAAUUACUAGACUAAAUUAUUAUUUAAAUAAUGAUACCAUUCUUAAAAUAAAUCCAUAAUUGUAAAAAGAUUUUUAUUAUAGAUGUUAUAUUAAUUGUGAUUGCUAAAAAGUUUCUUAAAUAUAAAACUAAUAGAUGUAGUUUAUCAUCUACUUUCAUUUGUGGUAAUAUUGCACUCAAAUUAGAUUUUCAUGAGUUUUUUUUCUAAAAUAAGUAAAAAAAUAAAAACAAUAUAAAAUUGGAAUUAUAAUAAAAGUUAUAUUUAAAGCUUCAAAUGUUGCUUUAGCUUCUUAUUCCACUUAAAUUUGUCUUUAUAAGUAAAAUAUAUAAAAGAGAUAUAACUUGAAAGAAAUUAUUGAUAAAGAUAUGAUAUUAAUUAGAAAAUCUCAAAUAACACUGAACAUCUUUUAUUGUCACAAAUAUAUAAUUAUUUAGAUUAGAAAUAUUAGAUAGAAGGUAAAUAUGAGUAGAUUUGACAAUAUCUUAUAGAAAGACUUCUUAAAAGCUUCAAAGAUGCAAAUUUGUCUUUACACAUAUUUAUAGUUGAUUGAUAGGUUAAAAAGUGGACUAACAUGUUGGUUACACAUUAUACAUGUUGGCAACUUGUGGUACAAGUUGGCCAUGUGGUGUACAUGUAGAAAUUUAUUUUUGCAAGUUAGACACAUAGCUUCUAGUUAGAUAAUAUAUAUAUAUAUAUAUAUAUAUAUAUAUAUAUAUAUAGAAGUAAGAAUAAAGCCCUUAUGAUUCUUUUUAACAACUCUUUUUUUUAAUCUAAUUUCAAGAGUCUUUAGUCUUCUUGCCUUUAGCAAUAGCUAUUCUAGUUUUAAUAUUAUAUUAUUUUUGAGAGAAUGUUUAUUUUUUUUGAGUGACACAAGAAUGUAUUGAGAUUUUUAUUAUUUGUGAUUUAUGUCUUUGACACUUAUUUUUCUUAGAACCUUCCAAUCUAUGAUAAUUUGAACUUUCUUAGGAUCUAUUAUAAGAUUGCUAUUUAAAAUAAUAUAUUUUAAUAAAUUAAUUUGAGUUGUAUAAAAUAUAUAUACAUUUUAAAUCUUAGCAUAUAAUCUUUCAUUUCUAAGUUUUUGUAACACAUAAUAAAUAAAAAAAAUUAUUCUUUUUUGUAUUCUUAGAAUAGUUUAAAAUAUUUUUUAGAUAUAAAAUGAUAAAAUCAUCUAAUAAUUCUUAAAAGUAUAUUAUUCAUGAGACAUUAAAAAUCAUUUGGCAUAUUUGUGAAUCUAAAAGACAUAAUAUUACAUUCAAGAUGCCUAUACAUAGUUCAAAAUAAAGUCUUUCAUUUAAUUUUUAAUUUUUAAUUUUAUUUUUUAAAUAUAUCAUAUUAUGUAUUUAUUGUAUAUUUAUUUAUUUAUUUAUUUAUUUAAUAAAUAUUGAGAUUAAAGAUAGGAGGUACCUAUUAUUAAUAAGAAUUUUUUUUAAUCUUUAAUAAUCAAGGUACAUUUGUAGUGAUUCAUUUUUUUUUCUUCACAAAUAAAAUAGAUGCUUCUAUUGAAGAUUAUUAUUGAUAUUUAAAGUUCUUAGCCACAUUCUCAUUAGUAUAUUUCUUAAGUGAAGUCAAAUUAUUUUAUAAUAAAUUAUGGAUUAGUCAAAAUGGUAGUUGAACUCUUUUUUAAAGAUCAAUUGAGCAAUCAUAAGGAUAAUGCUUUAGAAGAGUAUGUGAAAUCUAUUUCUUAAAAACAUCUUGAUAAGCUUUAUACUAGCUUAGAAUGUUGCUUUAAGUCUUUUCAAUAUUAGAAAUGAAUGUGGCAUAUAUAACAAAAGACAACAUUUUUUUGUAGCAUGUAUAAAAGCCAUUGGAACUAUAAAUAAAUGUUUGGUCAUAUUAGACUUAUGAAUUUCCACUUAUUAGCAAAAGUCUCAAUUAUUCCAUGAAAAAAAUUAAUAUUAUAAGAUAUUCAAUCUAUCCAAGGAUUAUAUAUUUUUAAAAUGAUUGGAUUAAAAAGAUUGGAUCUAAUAACAUUAAAUAUUACUAAGCUAUUAUAUUCAUGUAUUGCUAUAUAUAUAAGAAUGAUUUUUUAGAUAGCACUUUCUAAAGACAAAUAAAAACCAUCUAUAACUUUUAUAUGUACAAGCUUAUUUUUCUUUCUUAAAAAUAUUUUAUGUUUUUUUAACAAAGUAUUCAUCUAAAAAUAUAUAUAUUAAAGCUUUUAAAUCUAACAAUGUAGAGACUUUGUAGUUUUUAGGUCCUAAAAAAAAUAUCUAUUACAAAAAAGGUGAAAGAUUUGAAUAGAUAUUGCAAAUGAUUCCAAUUACAUGGUUGUUAUUAUAAUUGAAGAAACUUGUUUUUUGACACAUUAUCUUUUUUGACAUCCAUGCUAUUUAUUUUACAGUUGCAUUGCUUCUUUAGAUAAUGUUGAAAAGUAUGCUUAGGUUUUUUACAAUAUAAAUAAAAUCUUCUUUGACAAUGUUGAGUCUUUUAUAUUCAAUAAAAAAUUUACUACAUAUUAUAUUAAUUUACAUAGAUGUUUGCCUAAAUAAAUAUUAUUUUAUUAUAUAUCUCUCUUAUAAUUGCAAUAGUAAAAAUAUCUGGAUUUAAUUAUAAAGUUGAUAUACUUGCUUCUUUCAAUUGUCCAACUUCUUUUCUUAGAUAUUAGAUUUCAUUGUUGACUUUUCCAAUAGGCAUAAAAAUAGUAUUUUAUAAUUGACAUUGUUAAUAUAUAAAAUCUUUGCUCUAAAAAUAUUGACAAGAUCAUGAAGAUUAGUAAUAGUUGCAAAUCUAUUUUUACUUCUACCAAAUUUAGUAUCCAUAAUUUUUUCUUUCAUCUAGUAUCCAUAAUUUUUAAUUUCAUCUAGUAUCCAAAUUUAGUAUCCAUAAUUUUUUCUUUCAUCUAGUAUCCAUAAUUUAGUAUGCAUAAUUUUUUCUUUCAUUUAGUAUCCAUAAUUUUUUCUUUCCAUAAUUUUUUUUUCUUUAAUAAAAAAAACUUUAAAAAAUCUAUAAAUAAAAUUAAAGAAGGAUAAUUUUCAAUAUCUAAUAUUAAAUAAAAAUCCCUAUAAAGAAAGAUAUUUUACUCUCUUUGAAAAAAGAAUGAAUGUUAUAAGACAAAAAAUAUUGAUUUAAAAGUGAGAAGUUUACAAUCUUUAAAAUACAACAAAAAAGUAGAAUAUUCUUUUUACUUUUUUUAAAAAAAAAGUAUAACAAAUUAACACUCUUGUCAAUAACAUGAAUUAUAACAAAACUCUACAAAAGUAUUAUACUCUUGCGAUAUUUAAAAAGAGGAAGUAAACAAAUUAAAAUUAGUUAUAAGAUAGAAACUAUAAUGACUAUUGCCAAAUAAAAGAAGACUAAGAAAGAAGAAAAACUUUGAUAAGAGUAAAGAAUGCAUCACUCUUGUAUCCAUAUUUACUAUCUAAUUAGAGAGCUAUGUACUAUUUACAUAUUUACUAUCUAAUUAAACAUUCUUUAGGUCAUUCAAUACGUGUCCAACUUAUGAUACAAGUUUUCAACAUAUGUGCUACAUGGAGAACUUGUAUGACAAAUGACUAACAUGUGCAAUAUGUACCAAAGUUUUUCAAACUACCAACACUUGGAAAAUCAAUUAGCAUCUAUAAAACUUCUAAAAAGCUUUUCUAUAAGAUAUAGAAUUUACUUACUUCUACUUACUUCCAUCUAACUCCUUUAAUAUAAGUAAUUACUAAUAUAAAUUUGCAUGUUUGUAAAAAAUUCAUAUUUUAAUCGUACAUAAAUAUUAAAUACAUUAACUUUAUUUGUAUUUAAGAGUUUGAAAGAUUAUUUUUUAUUAUAAUAUUAUUAUUUGAAUAUGUGUUUUUAAUGGCCUUACAUCAUCUUGUUAUUGUUAGUGAAUUAAAUCACUUAAUAUUUUUUUUGUAAGAAAGCUAUUUUAAAAAUGUAAUAAAGUCUUUAAAAUUUAAAAUUUUGCAUCAAAAGAUAGUAUGAAUAUUUGUAUGCUAUUAAGACAUCAUCUUGCUUUGCAAUUGUGUCUUAUUUGUGGUCACUCUUUCUAUAAAUUAUAUAGGAUAUUUUCAUGUUGGAUUGAAGAAAAACUAAAUAAAAACAACCUUUACUUUAACAAUGUUUUUAUAACAUUUUUAUGAUCCACAUUUUUAUGAUCCACCAAAACUUGGAGUGAUCCAUCUUUUAUUUUUAAAAUAAAUCAUUUGCUUUAAAAUCAAACAUAUGUGCUCAAUGAGGUUUGUUAGUAAACAUGUUAUCAAAAUGUUUGUUCCAACUGUUAAAUUCUAUGUGUAAAAAAAUUAAUCAGUACUUCAAACAGAAUAUGUACUUAAUUUUAAAAGUGUAAAGUAGGUUCAUAAGUUUGGCAUUUUGAUUUUAUAGUAACCAUUACUUCUUUAUAUUUAAGAAGCAUGUUAUUUUGUAUUCAAUAUAAGUCAUAUGUGUAUGUGUAUAUAUGCAAUUUUAAUAUGAAAAAACACGUUUGACAAAUGGAGUGCCAUUCUUAUGCUCAGGCAUAAUUGCUUUGGAUUUUUCUGAGGAAAAAAAAUAAAAAUGCUGGCUCACCUUACAAUUAUUUUUGUUGUUUCUGCUUAAAAAUAUCAUUGGCACAAUUUUAAACUAACAUUAAAAAUAAAUAAUUUAAAUCAAAGUAUUUCAAAGACUAAAGAUGCAGAAUGAGUUGAACAAUAAAUAGAAAAUGCAUUUUUAUGCUACUGCUCCAAGUGCACAUGUUUGUACUCAUAGCAAUCUUAAAAUUAAGAGCAAUGCUGCAAGUUGAUUUUUCAUAAAAAAUAUAUUGUAGUGAUUUCAUAUGGUUUUAGUCUUGAUAAAAAUUUAAGUUAUCAAUAAAUAUGUAUACAUACAUAUAGUAUUCAGAUAAAUAAGAAAAUUUACUUUUUUUUUUUUUUUUUUUUUUUUUUUUGUUUUUAUUCAUAUUUUUUGAAAACUUAAUAUAUUUUGAGAUUUUAUUUUUAAAGUAUUUGGUUAUCAUACAAAAUUAGAUGUUUUGAAAUACUCAGUUACCAACAAUAGUAUAAAUUUAUGACUUUGAUAAAAGUAUGACUAAAAACAUUCAUACCAAAGUUUAUACAUAUAUAUAUAUAUAUAUAUAUAUAUAUAUGUAUGUAUAUAUAUAUAUAUAUGUGUUUGGUUUAAACCGUAUUUAUAAAUUCACAUAAAACAUGCCAUGAAUAAUAGUAUUCCAAAAAAAAUUAUAAGAAAUAAUUUCAAGAAAUGAGGGCAUGAAUUUCUAAAUCAGAAACUGUAAAUCAAUUUGAUUCCUAAAUACUCAUAUACACCUAUGUGAGCAUACUUUUAAUGAUCAACAAAAGUAUAUAUAUAUAUAUAUAUAUACAUGUAUAUAUGUAUUAAAUACAAAAUCUAUCAUUCUACAGAUGUGACAUUCGGAAUGCAAAUGUAGACAACGAUUAAGCAUCAAAAAUUGACAUGGGAAUUCUGUUCUAUUGGGCUGUUCUGUUGGGGGUGGUUUGGUGGGCAUGGGCAAAAGGGGUUUAGAACGGCCAGAGGGCUUCAGAAUUAGGGUUAGGGUUUAAGGCCGCUUGCAGGCGUUGAGAAGGAGGACGACGAUGAUGACGGGUCAUCAUGGAGCUUUGGUUUGUGCCUUGUGAUGGGCAGAAUUGGAAAUUUGCUUCUCGAGUAGAGGAAGCUUAGAAUGAGCAAGUAGUCUUUGUGUUGCACUGCGGAUUCUGGGAAUGGCCCCAGGGAUGAAGGGCAAAUGUCUCGGGAAGGGAAGGGCACGCAGGGCAAAUUUCAGGGGGAAGAGAGUGGACGAGGAUGAGGAGAUUCAAUCCCUCGAGGCGCGAAUCGCCGCAGGAGCGCCUGCGCCAGGCACCAAUCCUCUUGCGUUCACAAUUGCCAAGGAAUCGGAUGAGAGUGGGAAGAAAGGGGAGCCAGGGGACGGGGAUGCUCUGAAGCCGUAUGCCGGAGCCAAGGAUUUCGCCGCGUUGCCUCUCUCGGACCGGACGCAAAGGGGUUUGAAGGAGCAUAAGUUUGUGCACAUGACUGCUAUUCAGAGAGCGGCGAUACCCCACGCGCUCUGUGGGCACGAUGUGCUUGGCGCAGCGAAGACUGGCAGCGGCAAGACGUUGGCCUUUCUCCUGCCGGUGAGGUUUCAAAUUUCAGCUCGAGUGUACCCAGGGUUUUGCAGUCGAGAAUUUCCGUAACUUGGGCUUUGCUGGAGUGAGUGGUUGUUUUUAGAGAGGUUUUCGAGCGUGAGCACCAUAGUUUUGGUUGUUCAUCGACGGAAUUCGAUCAUAUGAAUGGUUUUGCUGAAUUUGUUUCUUUUUUUCCUGUGGGCUUUUAUUUCCCUUGUUACUUCCGAGCUUUUUGACAUGUUUUCGGAGCUGGGUCCUCUCACAGUAGGUGAUGUAAAGAUUUGUCACCCCACCGAAAUAUCUUUCAGAUGCUUGCGUGUCUUUUGAAGCGAGAGAGAGAGAGAGAGAGAGAGAGAGAGAGUGAGAGAGAGAGAGAGAGAGAGUUUUUUUUUGCAGUUACAGGCUUUACUCGUGUUCACAGGAUUGAGGUGUUUUAUGACGUGCAGGUAGUUGAGAAGCUGUAUCGAUUGAAGUGGGGUGCUGUGGAUGGAGUUGGUGCCAUCAUCAUUUCUCCCACACGAGAACUUGCAGGUCAAAUUUUCGAUGAGCUUCGAAAAGUCGGCAAACACCAUUCAAUUAGUGCAGGGCUGCUUAUAGGAGGGCGAAAGGGAGUGGACACUGAGAAAGAAACUGUAAUGAACCUGAACAUAUUGGUUUGUACCCCUGGCCGGCUGUUGCAACACAUGGACGAGACACCGAACUUCGACUGCUCACAACUUCAGGUGAGUUGGUAGAAGGACACAAAGUCUCGAUUUUUUCACUAGUUGCAGGGUACUGCUCCUUGGAUACUGCAAUUUUGUUUAAUUAAUAAUCUGGCUUGCUGACAAGUUUUCAUAAUAUUCAUCUAAAGAAGCUAAGCUUCUCUUACGGUUCAGCUGAAGCCAAGGUGUGUUUCUUGCGGUCAUGUGGAAUAGGUGCUGGUGCUCGAUGAGGCAGAUCGCAUCUUGGACAUGGGGUUUUCUGGAACUUUGAAUGCUAUACUGGGACAACUUCCUAAGGAGAGACAGACAAUGCUUUUCUCCGCCACACAAACAAAGUCGGUAAAAGAUUUAGCUCGUCUGAGCUUACGAGAUCCUGAAUUUUUGGCAGUUCACGCAGAAUCUGCAGCGGCUACGCCAGCUAGGCUUCAACAAACUGUUAUGAUCGUCCCUUUGGAUGAGAAGAUGGACAUGCUCUGGAGUUUUGUAAAGACACAUCUUCAAACUAAGAUGCUCGUCUUUCUAUCUAGUUGCAAACAGGUAGAUGGUGCACCUAGUGACUUCAUUGUGCGUUUGUCCUAUUCUCUAGCUGCAACUAUCGGACGCAUUAUAUCCACAGAUUACAUGCGACGCUUACGUGCUUUGCUGUGUUGAGCAGGUGAAGUUUGUACAUGAAGCAUUUAGACGACUUCGGCCUGGUAUACCUUUGGCCUGUUUGCAUGGGCGCAUGAAACAAAUGGCAAGAAUGGCCACUUUUUACAAAUAUUGUGAAUCUAAGCACGCACUCCUCUUUGCUACUGAUGUCGCAGCACGAGGAUUGGACUUUCCAACUGUUGAUUGGGUCCUACAGGUAACCGUUGAAUUAUUUGGUAGUUGUAUUUCAUCAUAACCUCAAUUUUCCUGGUAUGAUUCGCGUCUCUAUAGAUCUUUCUUAUGCGACAAAUGUCUGCUUUCAUUUAAGCAUUUAAUAAGUAUCUUUAUACAUGGCCCGUCUCCUAAUCAAAUAACAUGCCUAAACAGGUAGAUUGCCCUGAAGACGUGGCCACUUACAUUCACAGAGUGGGGCGUACUGCCCGUUACACUGCAUCUGGCCAUUCUCUUCUCUUCCUUGCACCGUCAGAGGAGCCUAUGCUGGCUGCAUUGGAGGCGGCGAAGAUUCCUGUGAGAUUGAUCAAGGUUGGGCUACUUAUCAUUUACGUACUUCUAAUAGCUUUUAAUAGAUAUUUGUUUGAAAGGAUCUGUGAAGCUGUUAAUUUUUUUGCCUUAGCAAAGCCUUAACAUUUUUAGCUUAAAUUCUUGCAUUUCAUUUCGUGCUUGUGCAUGCUUUAAUGGGAUUAUCUUUUUUACUUGCGUUGAGAGCUGCGUUGUGAACAUGACAGGCAAACAAGGAAAAGGUUCAACCUGUAUCAGGGGCUCUCGCCGGAUUACUAUCAAAAGAUCCAGAUUUGAAGUACAUGGCUCAACGAGCAUUUACAACAUAUCUCCGCGGUAUACAUGUACGUGCAGAUAAGUCAAUUUUUGAUGUAACUCAACUUCCACAUGCCGAGUAUGCCGCAUCAUUGGGAUUGCCCACAACGCCGCGCAUCCGUUUCCUGAAGAGAGGGGUGAAGGGUGGCAAGAAUAUUCAAGGCUCAGAGCAGGUAACUACUCACUUUGCUGGCCAAGUUCCAUGGCUGGAUAUGCAGAAGAUAGUUGGCAGUUUCUUUGUUUACCUCUGUUUAUCUCUCGCCUCUAUCGCCUCCUUACCUUUCUUUAUUCGCAUUCAUUUUAUCAAUAGUGCAGUAUAGGGAGUAAUUUCGCUGUAAGAACAGUUGUUUUGUAUCUUUGUUAUGCACUAUGUUGAUUCGUUGUCCAUGGUAUCUCAAUUAACAGACCAAAGUUUUGUCCAGGAUGUUGGUGGAGGAACCGACGAAGAAAAUGAUGGGGAAGAUGAGGCUGAACCUAUGACCACUUUAGAUGACAAAGAAGAGACAACUAAGGAGACAAAUGGUCUUACAGCGAAGAAGAAAAACAAAUUGGAUCGACUUUUUGCCCGGAAAAACAAUGACGUUCUCUCUUCUGCAUUUGACAAAAUUAGAGCACAUGACGAUGAUGAGAGUGAUGGUGAGGACAACAGUGACGCUGACGAGUUUUUGACUAAGAAAAGACCAAGAGAGCAGGGAGAGGCGGACGAGUUCCUGACAAAGAAAAAACCUAAAUCAGACGCUGAAGAAGUAGAGGGCAAAGCAAUGAAAAUGAAAAGGUGGGACGUAAUUCAGUGCAGAUGCCGUUCCCGUCGUAGGAGUUUUUCAAAACACUCGUUAUUACUAGUACAUUCAUUUGCGUAUUCGCCGACAAAGGUAACAGUAAUACGCUUGGAAUUGUUCUCAAAGAAGUAAACGGUGUUUUUUGUUCCUGCAGCUCGGGUGUCAAGAUCUUGAAAAAGAAUAAGUUGAAGAUAGAUCCUAGUAGGGCUGGAGCACAUCGCAUGGUGUUUGACGAUGAGGGUGUUGCUUUGCCUCCCUUAGAAGCUCUUGCUAGACAAAGCAAAGAAGUACUCAGCGCCCCACCAGGUAUUUAUUUUUAUAUUAUUUUCUUUCAGCCUUUUUUAUCAUUCUUUUUGCGUUAGGACCUUGCGGAUUAUACGCCUCGAGUAUUAUACUUUUUGUUGUUAAUGCUGUCUUUCAUGUUCAGGUGUGAGUAAUGAAGUUGUGGAAGCAGCGAAUGAACGGUACAAACAUCUGAAAAUGGAGAUGAAACAAAGAGACAAGGAAGAUCGUCUUCAAGAGAAACAAAGGCUACGAGAGAAGAGAACGAAAAUGAAGCAAAAACUGCGUGCUGUAUCGGAUGAGGAUGAGGAUGACGAUGAAGUUGCAGACAGUGGUGGGGAUACUAGUGAUGCGAGCGACGGUGAGAAUAUCAAAGAAAAACAGAGGAGAAAAUACAGGCGAGCAGCAAACGAGGAGAAUGAAGAGAGUGGCAGUGAUGGUGAAGAUAGUUUCAGAAAUGGUAGUGACUCAGAUGCGCCAUCACAGAAGCCGAAAGCAAGACGCGUAGGUCGAAAGAGGGACUCCAGUGAAGAUCAUCCCUCUGAUGUUCAGGAGUUGUCAUUAGCUGAAAAAGAGGCCCUUGCUCUCAAGCUUUUGAAAAUGAGAAGAAAAUAAGAUGUUACUUUUCAGUCUGGCCGGACCCAACGUCAUUUUUUUGUAGAUAGGACCAUAGGACCCAUUUCAGCUUUCUCUCUAAAUACAGAGAUUGCAACCAAAACAGGUCAUCAGGAUAGCACAUCAAAUGGUGUGAUCAGCAAGUAUACAGUUGAGAGUAUUCCCAUGAUUUCUACACUUCCUUUUUGAGAUAGUAUUGUUCUACUGAUUUCAACUCGAUGUAAGAUGAGUCACAGUUCUACACAACCUCUAUUAAUUGUAUGACUUAUCUCAAAAGAGCUGAUUAUUGAUUAUCUGGAUUGAUUGAACGCGCAAUUCUUAAUUUAACCUGUCUGAUACUCUUUCCGACAUUUGACACGAGUAAUCCAGAAAUAUACAAGGAUCUUCUGAUGCAUCAUAUAGUGCGCUUAAAACAGGUCUCAAUCUGAGCCUCAAAGCAAGUCUCAACAUCUACAGUACUGAAGUCAUUAACCGACAGUUAAAAAUAAUCAAAAGUACAUUAUCCCUUCAAAACAUUGAAACCAUCUCUGCAUUCACACUGGAACAUGUUCAGAUUCUGACGAAUUCACAGUGGAACAUGUCCAGAUUUCAACGCAUUCACACGGGCAAGUUUCACGUCGCACAUGAGCAUGGGAUAGACUUGUGUCGUCUCUUUCUGAUUGCUAUCUCAUGGAUCUGUUCGUCUUGUUUGCUUGCGUCAAAACUAGCGUUCGGAGCGAAUUCGCUGAGGAGCUGCUCGCUGGGUCCUUAGCUUUGCUAGAUGGGUAAACAUAUACAGUGAAUUCAACCUCGAGGAUCUCAGUUUCUGCGCGUGUAUUUGUUACAAAUCCGUCCUCACAGACGGCGAUUAUGACGAUGCUUGAGACUUGGUAGAUGGUCAGAAUUGUAGUCGCUGCCUCUCACCUGCGGUAGAUCUGUGGAAGGAGGGGUGUUACUUAGUCAGAAUUUUCAACGAUCGAAAUACAAGGAUAAGAAGUUCUGAACCACCAGGACUGCUACUAUUUUUGACACCCUAUGAAAGGUUUCUGCAAUGAAGAAUCGGUUCUGGAGCUCGCUUGACACAAUUCGAAUGACGCCAUGGCCAUGUUAAGGUGCAGCAGCGGCAACCUCAGAGUCCCCGCUUGCUUCUCAUGUGCUGAUUUCAUAGCGUAAACACAAUUGACGUUUGUGGGCUUUGCUCACGUAUCCUCAAUCACUAUAAUCUCGGUAGCCAAUUCUCUGGGAUUUUGCAACGACUGGUCCCGAUCAGGGCUUCUGAAAGGCAUCUUGCGUUCGUCCUCUGCGGAUGCAAUCAUCUGGUCGUAGGAUGACAAUGCAAUUUAGUGUCUCGAGGCCUUGAAGCGUUGGAUGAUUUGUAUCCUGCUAACUUGCAGAAGCUUCUCAAUCAGUGCUUCGGUUUGCGUGUUGGCAUCGAAAUGUAGAGAUACAUCCAGCCGCAGCUCGGUGUCUCGGUGAUGUUAACACUGAGGUAACGGGAUACUGAAGAGAAUCUAGAGCGUGGCUUCCAAUGCAGGAUGUCUAUGGCGGUGUUUGGUGGACAUUUAUUCUUCUUCCUUUAUCCCACGUACCGAUGCAUGGAAGCGUUGUAAUGAGGGACUCUUUCAGCGAAAUAUUGUAUUAAAUUGUAGAUUCUGGUUGCAUUAACCGCAAGAAGAGUCCACUCAUUUGGUGCUAGAGGUUACACGGAGGUGGGAUUUGAGUGAUGUGGGCUUUAUGGUCUCGCUUGUGAUCGGUAUCGCCUUCCAAAUUUGAUUUGAUUUGAUUCGACAUCUUGUGGUCUUAGUUCCGCAGCUUCAUAUUUCUUCUUUGGGUUGGGAUGAGGAAGCAUGCUUUUCUAGGUCACGCUCAGUUCUUAGGCUUCUCGUGCACUUUGAACUGCAGCAUACAGUUAGGGGAUGAGGAAAAGAAUCGGAGAGCCGCAGAUACAGGAUCUUGAGAAAUUAAGUCGCGCAAAUAGAGUACUCUGAAUCACCUAAUGCUCUUGUUAAAACCUGCGAGUUCCUGAUUUGUGGAGGAAUUGUCUGAAGUGGGUUUGCGGGCCCUCCGUCCAAGUUCAAUUGAGGCAGGUGCCAUGAAGAUCCAGUGUCUACUUAGCAUUGGGUUACCUGGGUACCAAUUUUCAACAUGCGACAAGCAUCUGUGCAUUUCGAUAGCGGUGUAAGGCAGUGUCCUAACUUGAUAUUCGUCACCAGCAAUUUUCACUGGUAGGUUUGAUUAAACAAUGUAUCACCCACUUUGAACAUGUGCGCAGAAGGGACAUCUACAAUGUCGAGGUCGACGAAAGACAGCCGAGAACCUAAGGGCAGACCACGAGGUAUGCGAAAAGGGAGGAUACCACCACCAAAUCGACAAGGAAUUGGAAUGACACCUGCUAACAUACGAGGUGGAGUAAUGCGACCACCGAAUGUUCACAUGGUGGGAAGGCCAGCACCGAACCUGCAAGCCGGGGUUAUGCUUCCACCGGUUGCUCAAGUAGCAGGAAUACCACCGCCGAAUGUGCAAGGUUGGAGAAUACCGCCACCCAAUGCGCCCGUCGUAGGAGUUCAACCAAAUGUGCAAGGUGGGGGAAUGAUGCUACCAAAUAUGCUAGUCAUAAGAAUGCCGCAACCGAAUUUGCAAGUCAGGGGAAUGCCGCCAAUUCCCGAAGUCAUGGGAGUACCGCCAGGUAUUGAUCCUGACAGUCCACCGCGUGAGGAUCUUACACCAAUACCGGUUCCGAAUUGGUUACUGUACCGACCUCGACGAGUGGGUGAACACGGAUGGGCUAAAGACAACAUCAAGAGCUUUUUGGUAACGAAUAAGCAUUCAAAACUUUUUCCCCUAUCUGCAGUUUUAUUUUAUUUUAGUUUUAUUUUAGUUUUAUUUUUUUAUGUUCAUUUUCUACAGUCAGAAUAUCAUUUGAGGAGACUAGAAUAUUUGCAGUACAUCCCCGAAUUCGAUCAGGAGUGGGGGUCCGUCCAAAUCGCAAAGCGAUUCUUCACAUGAAUAUUCUCCUUUGAAUAUGUAAAUAUAUAUACACAUACAUGUCAGUGUGUGUGUAUUUGUUAACGCUUCUCAAGUGGUGAUCGGUAUCAAAUUUAACAUGUUUGAGCAUCUGAAUCACGACCCCCCGCUUUCAUAUACUUCCUGAUCGAUCUAAACUGGUAUGUAUAUUCCAUGAUACAGGCCUCGGAAGAAAGGGCCGCUCACAUGUGGGCCCGCCAGGUAUCACUUCAAGAACAAAUGAAGCGGUUCUUUUCCAACCAUGAUGGGGCCUUUGAGGAGUUUUCAGAUUUGUUGGACUCUAUUAUAAUAGAUGUCGCAUCUGAAGAGCACAGAGCAGCGAAACUUGGUUUCGACAGGCGCUAUGAGCGUGGUGACCAUCCAGUAGCUUUUUCAGAACUAACAAUCGACUCAUUUGGAGUCGAUACGGUUGGAUCAUCAGACCCGUUUGCCAAUACUACAAAAAAAACUGACGUAUUUGGUUCGUCAGAUCCAGGUGCCGGUGCUACGGUUGAAUGUCCAGUUUGUGAAAAGCAAAUGGAGGCUGGGAUCUUUGCUGCUCAUUUGGAGGAAUGUAUGGCCGAUGUGAAGACCACAAAAGCAACAGUAGGAAUCACAUUUUCUUUUUAGAUCCUUCCGUUUACCAUCAUACUAUCUGUAUCGUUUCUUGGGCAACGCUUCCUUAGUAGUAUUCAAAACUAAGGGAUGUACGAUGAUGAGCAUGUUGGGAAUCGUAAGCAUGGAAUGUUGCUCUUGAGGUGAGAUCAUUAUUGUAUCGUUAUCAUCUCUGGACAAAGCUCUUUGGACAAAGAUAUUUAACAUGAAAUGUAGCUUAUAUGACGCCUCGGAACAGACAGCAUGCGGGACGCAAUGUCAGAAGCAAAAGCAGCAACAAUCUCAGGAGCGAGGCAAGAUGAUAGCUGACGAAAGCGCCCCAUCACCUGACUCUAGCGAGAUGAGUUCAAGUUCUGACGAACUAGUACGUGCUUUUGACUUUCUUCUUUCUCUGAUCUACUGCGCCAAAAUCAGGAAAAGAGGUAAUUCACCCGAAAAUUUGAAGUAGGUGGGGUUAGAUACGAUGUGGUGAAGAAGCAUCUCUAAAUUGAUCAGCUGCCGAGUAUCCUCACACAUCUUCCUGGUACGGUGACUCAAGGCAGUACUGGUGGGAAGAUAUUGAAGACUAAUCCCUCACAUUUACAAUCACGAUUUGGAUUCAUGUUGAUAUUUUUAUUUACGUUUUUUUUUUUAUUUUGAUUAUUUUUUUAUACAGCCUAAGGAAGCUCAGUUUGAGGAAGCUCAGUUAGAGAAAUCUCAGUUUGAGGAAGGUCGGUGUAAGGAAUCACUGCCUGAUGAGACAGCAUCUCAAGAACACGAUUCGCAGGUAAUGCCCAAUGAAGUCCUGGUCGCUAAUCCACCUACUUUUGCAAUUUUUUUUCUUGAAGUAAUUUCCAUAAGUAAUACUUUGUUCAUGACAGUUCCUAAUGGCUGCUUCCUCCUCUUUUGUUUUUCUGAAGCGGGAGGAUGAUUUAGCACAAGUGUUGGCACUAUCAUACAGCAGCGACGAUUCAUCAAACGAGGAUCCGCCUGAGGAUGAUUCACCACCUGAGGAUGAUUCACCGCCUGAGGAUGGUUCACCCCCUGAGGACGAUCCACCGCCUGAAGAUGAUUCACCACCCCCUGAGGACGAUCCACCGCCUAAAGAUGAUCCACCAUCCCCUGAGGAUGACUCACCACCAGAUGAUGAUUUAGAGAUAAUUUCCGAAAAAAACCCGGCUAAGGACGUGUUGAUAAAUUUUCUGGGCUCGGCUAUAAUGGACGUUGCAAGAGAAGAAUACAGAGAAGCGAAACUUGGUUUCCACAUUAGCUAUGAAAGUGAUAAGCACUCAUCAGCAUCUGCACAAUCGGAAGGAGACUUACCGAGUAACGUGAACGAAUUUGGUUCACCUAAUCGGGUGGCCAAUGAUACAGUUCGGUGUCCGAUUUGUGGGAUCAAGAACAUUGGGGCUGAUGAUUUCAGUUACCAUUUGAAGAAAUGUAUGGAUAAGGUGAGAACCUCCGCACUAGCUGUUACUGCAACAAUAUCCUCAUUUAUUACAUCAGUGUACAGAAGAAAUAUGAUCAUUAUAUUUGAGGAUCUUAAAGAAUAUUUCUGAAUUGCAAUUGAACUGAGAUUAUUCCUGUUGGGUUGCGCGUAAUUCUCCCGAGUCUUCCGCAUCUACGUUCAAUUUUUCAGUCUAAUAUGUUGAUUUUCCCACCCCUUCGACCUUCAUUGCUCUGUAUGUUGAUUAUUCACGAUAACAACUGGAGCUAGUGUGAAGGUUUGCGUAAUCCACAAUAUCUAGUAACGUGACAGUAUCAAUGUGCACCACCGCUGCCAACGCUAGACAGCAUUAUCUUGUUGGAUCGAAGCGACAUGCAUGACUGCGGCAUGUAACAUAUAGUCUACCGAGUGCAGGUUCAGAGUCAAGCUGAGGCAAGUAAUUUACGGAGAAUUUCAAGUUCUUUGGAAUCAUCUGGUUCAAGCGGGGCGAGGUCAAGCACUAGCAAACCAAGAAGAACCGCACGCAACGCAACAGAGAGACUGCUGUCACUAACACCUCGAUACAAAGCAAAAUCUCAUAGAAAUACAAGGGUUUCAGAAACAGGAAGCUCCAGGGUGGGAUCACCCGCAGAACGUCAAGCCUCGCAGCCAGACUGGGUUCCGCAAGAACAUUGGACAGAUCCCACUCAGCGCAACACAGAGAGAAUCGAUGUGGGAAAUAUUGUGGUGGAAUCGCCCCCGAGUCCCCCACUAGCCUGGAUUCUGCAAGAACUGUCAACAGACUCUUCUCAGCCCAACAUAAACCGUAAUGACGCAAGAAAUCCCAUAGAGCAAACACCAGCAGUAAAUAAGGCUUUUCCACCAGAGUUGGUUCUGAAAGGACAGUCAACAGACCCUAUUCAGCCCAACAUUGAGCCAACACAUGCAGUUAAUCCUACGGUAGAAACACCCGCAGUCUGUCAGGCUUUUGCAUCAGACCGCAUUCGGGAAGACGCUGCUUAGUCUGAAAUAGAGCUCAUUGAAAACCCAUAUAUGUUGCACCGAACCCUUUCUAAGGUCUAUAGAAGAUUAUUUCCGGGCGUCAGCAGUAUGGUAACAGCACAACAAGGCCUAUCCUUAAAUCAUUUUCGUUGUCUCUCGGGUGUUUAUACGUCAAUGCUUUAAUACUAAACCUUCAGCAUGCCUUUUAGGGUAAGCGCAAACCACAGGUUUUACGUGCAGUCUACGUGUAAGAGUGGUUUUUGGCACGUUUUGAAGUUGAGAAGUUCCUAACAUUGUUGUUUUCCAUUUGAGCUUUCUGUUUAUAUUUUGGAAGUGGUCUUGCGAAAUUCAGGUCUUGAAAACUUGAGCAUUGCAUUCGUGGCCUCUUACAAUCAUGACCUAGAUGUGAGUUUCAACUUGUGUAUGCUUCUUUGUAGUGCAGGCCGCUGAAGAGCAGGCAAUUGAAUCACUGGCCGAUGACACAGCGACUCCAGAACACCUCAAACGGGUAAUGUUCAUGCAACACCCGGUCGUUGAUUAUUCAGCCUAACAUUAUUUUUAUAUUGAUUUCUCCAGAUUUUACCCUAUUCAAAAUUGUACCUGAUGAUUACUUCCCCUGUUUCAAUCACUAACCGCAGAGUGACAAUGAGUUAGCGCAUGCAUUGGAAGUGGAAAUUGGUAGCAGUGGUGAACCUGUGGAUAAUGAAUCAAAGGAUGCUCCACAUGAGGAUGGCUCGCCACCAGUUAUCGAUUCGUGGAUAAUUACGAAAGGUGACCUGGUUCAGUGGAUCUAUUUGGAUUUGCUGGACGCAAUUACAAUGGACUUCGUGAACGAACAACACAGAGAUGAACACUUUGCAAACGUUGAACAUUCGGUAGCCAAUCCGAGGUUCACGGUCAAACCGAAAUCCAAAGUUUAUGUGUUGUUAUCACCAAAGAGCAAUACCAAGGCUAGAGUACCAUGCUCGGAUUGUGGAAGGAGCAUGACACCUGGUCGUAUUGAACGUCACUUGCAGAGAUGUAGCUUAAAGGUGAGCGCCUCUUCACGAACCGUGAGACAAACAAUUGUUUAUAUAAUAGGCCUUCUGUAACCGAACAUCCGAUCCAACACAUGGGCGAGAUUGAGCAAAGCUCACUUGGGGUGUGACAUCACUCUACAGGGGAUGCCAGCCAGUUGAGAACACCGCAAAGAUUACACUUCUCAGCUCGAGUCUCUUUCGGUGCAACCCUUCAAACCGAGAAACUACGGUACAAUUCCCACAGAAACUCUCGACCCAACUCGGCAAAGGCGUGCGACUCCCAUCAUGCUCCCUCUGCAAUCACCAUCUGUGAGUCCAAAGACUUGGAUCUUGUGAAGGAGCCAUAGCCCACACCACCGGUGCCAGCUCUGGACGAUGUUGCUGGCUCAAACAGAAUCGUUCAUGAAGUUUAGUUUUACCUAGCCAUGGGAGCAGAGACCUGGCCAGAAGCUGGUUCUGAAGCAAGAGCAGGCUCCAGUUCAGCAACAAGCUCAGGCACCCAGUUGUGUCCGCUCCAUCGACACUCAGGAAGUAGUUGUGUUGAUGUAUCUGUGUGUAAUCGUCUCUCCAUGUACAGACUCCAUCCAGUAAUCGUUCAGCGACGAAAGAGGAAACGGGAGCUUCAGCAGCAGUAGCACCUGCAACAACAACAAAAAAGAAGCUCAAGAUGAAACGCUUGGAUGAGUUACAGAGCAUUUGGUAAACCUUCAACCCCCCAUGACCCUCCCUCCACAAGUUGAAGUAACGCAGUUUUGAAGAAAAAACAGGAUAAAAAACGGAGGAAACUACUACACAACACCAAUGAUUCUGGGCUUGGCAUUUCCGGGUCUCGUUUCCGUAUUGGAAGUAUGUAGCAAAGUGUGGUCAUUUCUCCCAAGUCAUUGUUAUUGUUGUUUUGAGUGUUGGUUAGAAUGCCACUAUGGCAAGUCAGUCGUUGUUGAAGAUGUUUGGUUCAUUUUUGGUGUAGAAAUUGUGCAAAACUUUGUGUUUGUUUUUUAUGCAUAUAAAGAUCGCUUUGAACAUUCAGCUUGUUACCUCUUGAUAAUGUGGUAGCAUGUUGUGUUGAUUCAGUCAGCAGGGUGGAUAGAUCAUUGUUUUAUUGGUUUUUCAUGUUUAUUCAAAGUUUUUUGUUGUUUUGUUUUGAUAUAAUAAACUUAUAUACAUUUUUAGAAAUAGGAUAUAUAUAUAUAUAUAUAUUAAUUAAAAAACUCCAAAGGAACGAAAAAAAUCUGAUGCUUUUUGGAGAUAUGAAGCAUCUUAUACGUAUGUUAUAUCUUACACACUAUAAUUGUGUUAAAAUACACUAUCAAACUAAACCAAAAUAUAUUAUUAAUUGCAAAUGCUGACUUUUAAAAUAAAGACCACGUACAUCCAAAAUCAAUGUUCAACCAAUGCCCCAAUUUCAUUAACAGAUAAUCAAUAUACUAAGUGCCUUGAAUUCUUUAAUUUUGUUUUUAAAUUUCCUCAAGACUAACUGCUAGAUUUUACUCAUAUCUAAGGUUUCACCGCAGCACUAAACCACAUAUUAAUGUAAUCACAAAAUUUGAUCAUAUGGCUUCACAGAAUGAUUAUGUAUUCAUUUUGGAUGUAAUAGAAGUAAAAAUAAAAAACAAAAACAAAACCAAAAAACAAACUGAGAAUUUAUUAAAAUCCAAACAUUUUGAAAUCACUUUGGUUCAUAGUGAAAUAUAAUAGGAAAGGAAAGAGAGUAAUUUUAAGAUUCCUAAAAUCUUUCCUUCCUUUAAACUUAAUAAAAUUUGAAAAAAAAAGUAUUGAUUUCAUAUUUUAAUUUUAAUUUUUUCUUAUUAAAGGAAAAUCAUGCAUUAUAAUACUUCAUAUUAUGAAAAUCUAAUUUUUUUUUAAAUAUUUAAUUAAUUUAUAUCAAUAAAAUUUAAGAAAAUUAUGUCUUUUUGAAUAUAUGAUAUUUCUAAAAAAAUGCUAUCAUAUUGUCUAUAAUUACUACCAUUAUUAAUAAUACUUAACUAUUUAUCAAUUUUUCUAAAAAAAAUAUUAUAUUUCAAUGGCAUAAUUCAAAACUUCAAUUGUAUUAGAUAAUUUUAUAAAAAAAAAUUAAAAGAUAUAAAGAAGUUAAAAUUUGGAUAAAAUACAGUAAUAAAAUGAUUAUAGCAAAGAUUUUUAAAAAAUAAGAUUAAAAAGUAGAAUUCAAAAAUAUUAAAAAUAAUAUUGAUUUUUUCUAUUUUUAUAUAUGUAUGUGUGUAUAUAUGUGUGUAUAUAAAUAUAUAUAUAUAUAUAUAUAUAUAUAUAUUACAAGCAUGGUUUAAAGCUUUUGGUCUAUGUUUCUUAUGUCUUUUUAUUUAAGCCAUUAGAAGAAGCUUUUUCAUAAAGUUUUCUAAUAUAACUUACCAACCAAGCUAUUUAAGAAGAUUUUAAAGAAUAUUUUUGAUAAGACUUCAUAACCAAAUAAUUAAAUAAGAAUUUUUAAAAAGAAUUUCAAAACAAGAAUUAUAUCUACUUUUGAAUUAGUCCAAGCAUCCCUAGAUGAAAGAUGCAUGAUGCUCAUUUUUACGAAGUAGCAAGUUCCUAGUGGUGAGAUGCACAUUGUAAUAGGCUAAAAGAUCAAUAGAGAUCAUAUAGAUGGCUAUGGUAUGUUGGACUAUGAAUUCGCCUAUUAUGAUUAAGUAUCAAGGAUAUGAAUCUCAAAAAAUUAAAAGAUCAAUACACUCUUAUGUCACUCAAAAAGAUUGGAGAAUCAUUCAAAGAUGGAAUAAUAUUAAAUUAAAAUGGUUAUUAUUUAAGAUAAGAAGACUAAAAAGCCUUGAAAUAAGAUCAAGAAUUAGAAAGGCAUAGAUAAGAGUGAUGAAGGCUUCACUCUUGCCUCCAUAUAUACUAUCUAACUAUGAGCUAUGUGGCAACAUUAUAUAAGACUUCUAAUACGUGACUAAUUUGUAAGACAUAUGUCUUAACUUGCAAGGCAAGUUUUCUAUAUGCAUGCCACAUUGUAAGCUUGUAUUACAAGCUAUUCACACAUGCAACACAAGACUAACUUGUUGGCUAGGUUUCUAAUCUACCAAUCAACUAUAAAUAUGUAUAAAUUCAAAUAUGCAUCUAUGAAGCUUCUAAAAAUAUUUACCAUAAGAUAAUAUGAAAUCUAUCUAUAUUUAUCUAAUAUUUUUAAUCCAAAUAAAUAUUAUUAUUUAUAAUAUUAUUUCUUCUUAUAGAGUUGAAUUCUAUAAGGAAUAAUUAUUGAGGAAGUUCAAGAUGUAGAAAAUUGUAUUUGUUACAUAUCCUAAUCUUUUUUCUUAUUUAUAGGUAGUUAAUAUAUCUUCUUAGCUAUUAAUAAUAUUCUAUAUUAGGAAAAAAAUAUUCUUCUAUUAUUUGAUUAGAGGCUUUUAUAACUCCUUUCAAAUAAAAUAUUUGGAAUUCCAUCAAGAGUUGUUUCUUUCUCUAAUAAAAUCAUCAAACAUCAAGGAUCUUUUUUAAUGUCAUGAUACCAAAUGCAUUAUAUCUUGCCAUCUAUUCAAAAGAGAACAUGUCAUUCUUAAGGAUCUCUAUUACAUUGUCUUAAAAGAUAUGACAAUUGUAAUGUGUUGUUUAAUAAGUCAGCAAACGAUAGCUCUUGAGUUAAAUUUUUUAGUUGUUGAUUCUCUAUUUUCUUAGCACUACAAAUACAUAAAAACUACAAACAAGGAUAGUGUCAUAGAUACACUAUAUAUGAAACCAAAAAAGAAGUUGAAUCAAAAAGUUUUAACAUAAAAGCUUAUAAGAAUUUAAUUAAACAUGUUAAGGAUUUUAGAUUUAGGUUUAGGGUUUAGAGUUUAGGAUGUAUAUGUUUAUUAAUAUCAUAGCUAUACCAAUGAAUAAAAUACUUUAAUUUCUCUCUUCUUUUUUGAGAAUUAAGAAUUUUUUUUAUCUCGUAUUCUACAUGAUUAUCUAUUUCAAUGCAAGACAAUGAUGGUUGUAUUUUUCUUGGAAUGGUUGAUUUUUAAUAAUAUUCUAAGAAAAAAAUAUGAAAGAAUGGAUGUACCUUUAUAGAUGUCGGUAGUUCCAACUAAUAAGCCAUUAGAUUGAUUUGCUUUUGAAUACAAAAUGGCCUCAAUUUUUGGUAGUCUAACUUAUUACAAGGCUGAUUGGUCUUGAUAUUUUUAUCAAAUUAGCCAUAUUUUAUCUCCAACUUGAAAAGUAGGAGAUUUUUUUCUAAAUUUGUUUAAAGAUGCUUUAUAAGAAUCUUGAAUUGCUUGUAAAUGAAGCUUCAAAGUUAUUUAGAGCUAUGACAAUUAUUUUGCAAGAUCUUCAACUCCUAGAUUUUCAUCCUUUGAUAUAAUUAAUAAAUCAAGCUUUGGAUGGUAAUGAUAAUUAGAAUAAAUGAUGUUUACUAAAUCAAAGUAUGAAGAAUAUUAUUAUAAGAAAACUUUAUUAAAGAUAAAUAUGAGGUCCAAUCUACUUCUUGAUAAUUAUGAUACAUUAUAAAUAUUGCUCCAAAAUUUGAUUCACUUGCUUUGUUUGAUCAUUUAUUUGAGGAUGAAAAGCAUAUGAAGAUUUGAUAUCUACCUUUAAUAUCUUAUUUUUUUUUUCUUCAAAACUUUGAUAUAAAUUAAGAUCUUCUACCAAAAAUGAUAUUAUCAAAUAAGCCAUGAUGUCAAUAUAUAUUAUCAAAAAAGAGCCUUGCCAUUUUUUUUUUCAAAAAUUACCUUUUUGUAUGGAACAAAAUGUGCCAUUUUUGUAAGCUAAUCUAUAAUAAUGUAGAUAGAAUCAAAUAUAGCUGAUGGCAAUAGAUCAAUGAUAAAAUCCAUUGAUAUUAAAGACCAUAAUUGCUUUUGGAUUGGUAUCAUUUAUAGAAGUUAAUAAGUACAAUGUGUCACGGACAUACAUAUUUAUCUAGAUAAUUAUCAAGAUAAUAAGAAUAUGUAGAAGUAAGUCAAAGUAGAUAAAUAUGAUAAUAUCUUAUGAAAAGCUUCUUAGAAGCUUCAUAGAUAUUAUUUUAUCUUUAUACAUGUCUAUAAGUGAUUGGUAGGUUGAAAACUUAGCCAACAAAGAGGCCACAUUGUCGUAAUACGUGAAGUCUUGCUUGAGAAUGCUCCGGGCACUUGGCUCUGGAAGGUAGAAUGGAAAUUGCAACAAAAAAAUCCUAAUUCUAAUAAAAUACUAACAAUGCUCUAAUUAGACCAUAAUAAUGCUAAGCAAGCUUUAAUCAAAUUCAAAGAAACUUCAAAGAAAUUUCAAAGAAAUAUUAAGAACUCUUAAAGAAAUAUUAGAAUGAUCACAAAUAUCUCUCAAAUACACCUCAAUUCAAUCUUAUUUUAAUCCUAGUUAAAAUCCUAUAGAACUUCAUUCAAACUUUAGGUCAAAACUAAUUAAAUCUUAAAUCCUAAAUAAACCCUAAUAAAAUCUUAAAUCCUAAAUCAAACCCUAAAUUCUAAACCAAAUCCUAAAUCCUAAACCAAAUCCUAACCAAAUCCUAAACCCUAAACCAAACCCUAAACAAAUCCUAAAUCCUAAACAAAUCCUAAACCACACCCCAACCAAAUCCUAAAUCCUAAAUCAAACUCUAAAUCUUAAUCCAAAUUCCAACCAAAUCCUAAAUCUUAAAUCCUAAAUCAAAUCCUAAUCAAAUCCUAACUCUGAAUCAAAUCCUAACCAAAUUUUAAAUCCUAAAUCAAAUCCUAAACCUAAACCAAAUCCUAACCAAAUCCUGAACCAUAAACCAAAUCCUAACUAAAUUCUAAAUCAAAUCCUAAACAAAUCCUAAACUAAAUUCUAAUCAAAUUCUAAACUAAAUCCUAAUCAAAUCCUAAACCAAAUCCUAAUCAAAUCCUAAAUCAAAUCCUAAAUCCUAAAUCAAACCCUAAUCAAAUCCUAAAUAAAAUUCCAACCAAAUCCUAAACCAAACCCUAAAUCCUAAAUCAAAUCCUAACCAAACUCUAAACCCUAAACCAAUCCCUAACCAAAUUCUAGUAAUUUCUAUAAUAGAUUUAAAUCUCAAUAACUAAUGAAUAAACUUUUGAUCUUAAUUCAAAUUUUGCACACUUCUUAAAAAUUAAGUUGAAAGCAAGCACAAAAAGUUUUAAAAAGAAUCGCAAUUACCAAAUAGACAAUAACCUCAAAAAUGUGCUUAGGUAUUGGCCAGCCUCCUUCUCCAACCUUGAUGCCAAUCUCCCAGAGCCAAUAUCUCUCCUUUUCACCGUUCGAUUGAUUUCAAAAUUCUCAUAUAUAUAGAAAAACAAGUCUAAUAUCCUCUCACAAAAAUUUCACUCCAAUCCAACUAUUAGAUUGCAAGAAAUCUUGAAAACCCUCACUAGAUCUAAAAUUCUACUUUUUGAGACCUUGACUCACUUAAACCUUAAUAAUCUUCAAUUCAACCAUUAGAUCGAGCUCAAAUUUACAACACGUAUUAAAAACAAAUAUAACCAUGAAUUCACAAAAUUUUACCUAUAGAUCUGUUACAAAACUCUUGAAAUCAUCCAAAAUAUAAACCCUAUUUUAUUUCACAAAACCCAAGUCAUCUAAAACAAACCUUGACUUUGCAAAGCUCUUACAAAGUCAUAACAACUCCAAAUUGCCCAAAACUAAUGCUCAUAGAAACCCAAUCCAAUAUGCUAUCAAAUCUCAUUCUCCGAUCUGCACAACAAUCCUAUAGUCGUCGUCGAGACUUGGUUUUGUGCCUUAGGAUCUGAUUUCAACCCUGGUUUAUAACCAGUCCUCUCCGGGUAUCAAUAUCUAGUUUUUUUUAAGUAAAUUUUGCUAGAAUUUACUCUUAACUUCCUUCUAAAGAUGCUUAUAUCAUUUAUUUUUCCAAUCUACUUUGUUUUGCCUUACUUAUGGUCCUACAAAGCAAGUAGAAGUCACCUUUUUGAAAAGGCAGCAUUGGUAUCUUUUGAUUUUACUAUCUUUUUGACUAUUAACUAUAUUUCUAAGAUAAUUUGUUUUAAUACUUUGAACUAAGAUCUCCUACAUUACAAUAAUUUCCACACUCUUUCACCUAUUAAUUAUAUUAUAUCAUGACAAUGUAUUGACAUGUUGACCACUUGUAGUACAAGUUAGACAUAUGGUGCACACCUAGGAAACUUGCCUUAUAAAUUACAAAUAUGUCAUGAAAAUUAGACACAUAUUAGAGGUCCUAUAGCAUGUCACCACAUAGUUCUUAGUUAAGUAGUAUAUAUAGAGGCAAGAGUGAGGCCUUCUUCACUCUUGUCAACUCCUUUCUUGCUUUUAGUCUGAUUUUAAGAGUCUUAUGUUUUUUAAUCUUUGGCAAUAGCCAUUCCAAUUCUUCCUUGAAUAUACAUAAUUUCUUCUAUUUUUUCACUUUUAUUUUGACACAGAUUCCACGAGUUUAUGUAUCUUCUUUUAGUUUGUGUCCUUAAUAAAAUGUCAAAAAUUCUUGGAUCUUGAAAAAAAAUUAUGCUCUUCUAUAUUUGAGGCUAUUAGAAAUCUUAAAAAAUAAGCUUCAGUAUUUUAUUAAAUCAUGAAUGUCCUAUAUCUAAAAAAUCAUGAUAAGAUUGAAGAAUACAAAGUUGUAUCAAUUUUUUUAGAAUAUAUAAGCGAUCUUCAAAAUACAAAGAAACUUUGACAAAUUUGAACAUGUUAUUGUCAAGGUGCUCCUUAGUAUUACAAAUUAAUGAAUCCUUAGUUGACACUAUAUGAAUUUAUUCAAAAAAACUUAAAUCAAAAAAUAUAAUUAUAGAAGUAAUACAUAAAUAAAAUUAUUCUAGCUUCAAAAAAAUGGUAUAUUGUUGAUCAAAUGUUGCUUCUCCAACCCUCAGAAUAAGAUAUAAUUUCUUUAAUAAAGUGUUUGAUAGCUCUUGGUCUUUCUUGAUUGAUAUGUAAUAAUAAAUAUUUUUUUAACCUACUAAAGAUUUAGAAUGCUAAAUAAAGUUUUUUACAAGAUUUUUGUCAAUGUAAUCCUUCAUUGUUAAAAUCUCAUUCUAUAAUAGAUUGUAGAUUGGACCAAAUGAUGGUUGAGCCUCUUCUUAAAGUUUUAUAGUACAAUCAUAUUGUCAAUGCUCUAACAAUAUGUUAGCAUUUUUUUUUUUGAAGUCAUCUUGAAACUUCUUAUACUACUUUGAGAUAUCUACUAAUAAGCUUGUUUCUUCACCAGUUAGAGUUGCAUAAAUAACAAAUGGUAUUUCUUUCUUAGCCAUCUUCAUAAAAGUCCUUGCUCCUAGAAAUAAAGGCUUUGUUGUUAAUGACUUCUUAAUAGUUUUUUUCCAAAAUAAUUUUAUAGAAAACUCAAUCUUAUGAUAUUUCUAAUUUAUAGAUGGAUUAUAUCUUUUUAACCACAAAAUUCCUAGAAUGAUAGGAUUGGAUAUGAUUCUAAUAAUAUUUAAUAUUAUUUUAUUACUAUAGCCCUCAAAUGAUAUUUUUUGUAAUAUGGUUUCAUGAAUAACAUUUUUUGAAGAUAAAGAUUGGUUAUCUAUUACUUUUAUAUGUAUAGAUUUUGACUUUUGUACUAGAAGAAUUUUAUGAAGUUUGAAAAAAUUCUCAUCUAAAAAGCAAGUAGAUACUCUUAAAUUUAAUAAGGCAUUUAUUUGAAGUUUUUGUAGGCUAAGAAAUAAAGAUAUAGUAAAACAACAAGCAAGUUACACAAAAAAAAGACCUUGAUGAAUUUUAGGUAUUGAAAAGUCUAGCCGCAUAGUCCUCAUUAUUGCUGAAUUUCUUUUUUUUCAUGAAUAAUUGCACUUCUAGUUCUAGUUAUAUGUUAUUUCUUUGAAUAAUUCUUAGAUUUGUAAUCUUUUUCACUAUAAUAUAAAUAUAGACCUGAUUGAAAUCAACACUUUUUUUUUAUUUGUUGCAAGAGAUUUGAACCAUAUUGCAUCAAUUUGCUUAUCCUCAAUCCCAAUCACCUUUCAAGGCUAGAAGGAGAAUUAAAUCCUACUAUUAUUGAUAACUUGAUAAAUGAAUCCUUUUCUAAAAUUUCUAUCUAUCAUGCUUGAUACAACCACAUUGUAAAUUUUUUAAAUUCUAAUUAAUUUUCAAAAGAAUUAUUCAAAUAUAAAUAAUAUAAGAUUAGAAUUAAUAGUACUUAUUUUUUAUUAUAGAAAAAUAAUUAAAUCAUUAAAGAAUAGAUAGUCUAAUUGGAUGAUGUGUAGUGGUUAAUGAAAUACUAGUCAUAUUAAUGGCAUACCAUGGUAGUACAUAUUGAGGAUUCUUCUUACAUAAAUUGAUAACUCAAAAGGUAAUGAGAUCUACAUAUUAUUGGCCUAUCAUAUUUCAAGAUGCGCAUAAUUAUAUUAAAAGAUGUAAUACUUGCUAAUAUUAUGCAAAAAAUAAUUUGCAUAAUGCACCGCCUCUUUAUAUAUCCUUAUUUUUAAUUUUUUUUGAAAAAUAAAGAAUUGAUUAUAUAAAAAAAGUUCAUCCCAAUUCUUCAAGAGGGAUGAAACACAUUAUAGAAGCAAAAAAAUAAUUAACAAAAUAGGUUGAAGCAAGAGUUUUCAAAAUCAAUGAUGCUAUUUAUGUAGCUAAUUUUAUAUAUGAGAAAAUCAUUACUUGAUUUGGUUGUCCCAAAAUUUUGAUUAGUGAUUGAAGAACACACUUCUUAAAAAAUGUGAUAUAAGAGAUGAAUAAUAUGUUUAAUAUAAAUCAUCAUAUGACUAUUCCUUACCAUCCACAAAUUAACAGUCAUACAAAAUGAGUAAAUCAAAUCUUAAUAAAUAUCCUAAAAAAACAAUACAAGACUCAAAGAAGAAUUAGAACACAAAAUUACUAGCAACCUUGUGGGCUUAUUGUACAAUCUACAAGGUCACAACCUAUCACGAACAUACGCAUGUAAGCUAGUAAUUACAUGUAUAAAUAGAUAGAAGUAAGUAAAAGUAGAUAAAAGUAAGUUAAUUCUAUAAUAUUUGCUAUGAAAGCUUCUUAGAAGCUUCAUAGAUGCUGCUUUGAUUUUAUAGAUGUCUUUAAUUGACUUUUUGGAUUAAAAACGUGGUCAACAAGUUGACCAUGUGCCACACAUGUUGUUAGCUUGAAGACCAAGUUAAUUAUGUGGUCCAUACAUAGAAAAACUUGCCAUGUAAGUCAAUGCAUAUGUCCUACAAAGUCAACACAUAUUGGAGGUCCUAUAGAACAUCGCCACGUAGCCCUUAGUUAGAUAGUAUAUAUAGAGACAAGAGUGAAGCCCUCUUCACUCUUGUCAACUCCUUUCUUGCUUCUAGUCUAGUUUCAAGGUUCUCUAAUUUUCUUGUCUUUUGACAAUAGCCAUUUCAAUUUCUUUCUUAAUAUACAUAUUGAGUUAUUUCUAUUUUGUCAUCUUUCUUUGAGAGAAGCCUCACUUGUUUAUUUAUUUUUAUCAAGUUCUUGUCCUAAAAAAAUUGAUAAGAGUAUACUUACAAUAUCAGAGCUUUUUCUAAUCUUGAUUAAGAGUAGAUUAUCCCUUUCUCUUGAUAAGAUAUAAGCAUAUUAGUAGUUUUAGAUUACCCUCUUCUAAACUGAUAUUAUCCUUAGUAUUUUAUUUGUUCUCACGUCCUCUCUUCUAUUUGUCUUGAGCGAUAUUAGACAUCAUUUUUUCUAAGUGUUAUCAUGGCAGAACUUGCUGAAAUAAAGAGUACAAUGGUACAAAUGCAAGAGCGAUUGAGGGAGUUAAUGCUUGUAAUGCAUCAACUCAAUUUACCACCACAAGGAGCAAUAAGUUUUGCAAGAAGUGAAGAUAUAGAAAUGAUUGGAGCUGCUUCAACAUUUGCACCAAAUCAUAUUCCUUUUUCUAUGGUGGAAUGCCCUUCUAUUGUUAGAGAACCUAGAAUUACUUUAUAUGAGAAGUUUGAUGGCACUACAUCAAAGUUUAGAAGAUUUAUCAAUCAAGUACAACUUGUCAUUGAACUUCAACCCCAAAGCUAUUCAACUCUAAGAUCGCAAGUUAGAUUCAUUGAUAUGCUUCUUUUAAAUUCAGCAUUAUCAUGAUUUUCAUCUUUUUUUGAACGACGAGAUCCAAUAUUGAAUAAUCUAGAGGCUUAUUUGGUAGAGUUUUGAUCUAUGUAUGGAAAACACGAUGCAAUUUGAAUUGCAACUAACAAGAUCUAUAUUUUAUGACAAGAUAAUUGAUCAGUAACAUUGUAUGCUUCAUAUUUUUGAUAACUUACAACUAAUAUAAAGUGGGAUGAUGCUGCACUUGUUAACCAACUUCUCUACGGAUUAGAAUAUGAGGUAAAAAAAUUAAUGCUCAACUUACCUAAUCUUCAAACAUUGAAUCAAACAAUUGACUUUGCUAAUAAGUGUGAUAAUCAUCUUUUUGAAUUUUGAUUUGAGAACCAUAUAAGUAGACCUCAAAGUUACUAUAAUUCAAUGAUAACAUCAACAUUUCUUCAACACAUACACUUAAAAGUAGAGGAUAUGCAAAUUGAUGUGAUACAUUUCAAACCUCUUACUGAGCAAGAAAAAACUUGUCAUUGUCAAGAAGAAUUGUGCUUAUAUUUUGGAGAACCUAAGCACAGUGCUCAACAUUACUGAAAGAAGUGACGCAACUAUAAAAUGAAGAGUAUGGCGAUCAAAGAAGAUAGCAUGUCAGAAAACGAAUUUGUCUAGUUAUAAUAGGGACCAUGCAAUUGGAACCUUAUACAACACCUAGUGAAGGUCCUAUUCUCUCCUCAGAAUCCUUUCCAUGUUUUACGAUAAAUAUUAUUCUAAGACCUAAACAUCACAAAGCCUCUGCCUUGCUAGAUUCAAGAGCCUUAGCAUGUUUCUUAGAUAAAGAAUUUACUAAAAGACAUAGCAUACUUUUAGUGAAGAAAACUAAACCUGUUCAUGUAGAAGACAUAGAUAGUCAUCCAUUGUCUUUAAAAGAUGUUAUUUAUGAAAUCCUUCCUAUAGAAGUAGCAACUAAUGCUCAUAGUAACUUUAUAAUAUUUAAUAUCAUUAGAUCUCCUUCUAAUCCAGUCAUUUUAGGUUUAUCAUGGCUAGAAAAAUAUAACCCUAAAAUAGAUUGGACUUCUCAUAGACUUGACUUUUUUGAAAGUAUAACUAAGAGCAUAGUUAAUCAAGUAGAAAGUCAUAAGUCUAGUAUAAUUAAACCUAUAUUUGUAGCUGCAAGAGCUUUCUUGCAUGCUGCAAAAGAAGGAUCACAUUGUGUCAUUUAUGCCACACUUGUUUCUAUUGGUGGAAAGACUUCAAGUGAAAUUCCAAGCCAAUAUCAAGCUUUUCAAGAUGUAUUUGAGAAGAAAAAUGUGGAUACUCUUUCGAAACAUCAUUCUUAUAACUGCUCAAUUGACCUUAAAAAGGAAGACAACUGCUAUUUGGACCAAUCUACAAUUUAUCACAAAAUGAGUUGACUGAACUCAGGGAGUAUAUUGAAGAGAAUGUGGCCAAGAACUUCAUAUGCCAUUCCAAAUCUCUAGCAGGAGCUCCAAUUUUAUUUGUGAAAAGAAAAGAUGGAUCAUUGUGGAUGUGUGUUGAUUAUUGAGGACUCAACAAAAUCACCAUCAAGAAGAAGUACCUGCUACCUUUGAUAUGUGGACUCUUUGAUCAAUUGAGUCAAGCUAAGAUCUAUACAAAAAUAGAUCUUUGAGGAGCAUACAAUGUGGUAUGCAUUAAAAAAAGAAAUGAAUGGAAGACUACAUUUUAAAUAAGGAAUGGAAAUUUUGAAUACAACGUCAUAUCUUUUGGACUUACAAAUGUACAAGCAGUAUUCCAACAUCUAAUGAAUGAUGUCUUUUGAGAGUUUUUAGAUGAUUUUGUUGUUUAUUACGUAGUCGACAUCUUAAUCUAUUCUAAGAAUAGAAAAGAACAUGAACUUCAUGUUCGUUGUGUAUUACACAAAUUAAAAGAUGCGAGACUCUAUGCCAAGAUAGAAAAGUAUAUAUUUUAUACUACUCAAGUCGACUUCUUAGGAUACAUCAUUUCAAAGGAUGGACUUAUGAUGGAUUCUAAAAAAGUUCAAACUAUUAUGAAUUGGAAGAUUCCAAAAUCGGUAAGAGAUGUCUAAUACUUUUUGGAAUUUGUCAAUUACUAUCGAAUCUUCAUCAAAGUCUUCUUUCAAGUUACAGCUCUAUUGUGAUUGCUCGUUUUACUUAUUCCAAAUAAAUUUAAUGAAAAUAAACCCUUAUAGGAGGAUUUGAAUAUGGAGAAUGACUAGUUGCUUAAGCGUUCACGUUAGGGUCACACAAUCAAUUACCUCCUGAAUGUAUCGUCUCUAUUUCCAAUAUUUGAACACACAAGGAAACUAUAAUCUUCUUCUUCACCUUAUUGGUCUCUUCCUUAUAGUAAUUCAAUUAUAUCAAUAACUGCUAUUUCCACCAAUAUAUUCACCCUCAUAAUCUCCAACUGUAAUACUACGCCCUCACAGCUUUCAACAUACAAUUAUCCUCAUUCCAAUCACUGGAAUUCUUCACACAGAACUACCAUUCACAUUACGGUAUUUCACAUAAACAUAGACUCAUUCUCUCUGCUAAACUACAAUCAGAUUUCAACAUUCAAUCUUUCUUCUUUUCAAAUAAUACGAAUCACAUUUCCAUUCCAUAAUUCACUUCACAAUAUUCAAAAACUCUCAAUCCUCUUAUUCAAAGAAAAUAACAAACAAAAGAAAAGAGGUAGCACCAAGCUUACCCUGGUUCACAACUAUCACAGUGAUGGCACCUUAAUUAAAUUCUAUAACUCCUAUAUACUUUUCCGUGAUUCUCUAGAUUCUAAUCAUAAUUUUGUAAUUAACGACUUUUAAGAACUAAAUCACUCAUCCGUCCUCCUGAAUUUCCUAUUAUAUGGACUAUUAAUAUAUUUUACCAAUAUCUUUCAAAAACGAAUUAAUAUCUAUUCUAUAUAGCCUCACUCCUAUCUGUGCAACGUCCUCACAAACACUCAAUUUAUACCUAUCUAAAAAUUAUCUAACAAAACUCUACAAAAAUUACGAUCCCUCUAGCCUAUCUAAUUAAUCAAUUGCCUCAAUAUCUGUUAUUGGUUCCACCGAUUUUGGUUCUAAUUGCAAAUCUUCGUCCUCCUCCAAUCCUUCCAUCGGCUCCUGCCUCAACUGAGCUGAAAGGUCUUCAUUAUACUUGCCCAUUUCAUGGACUUGAGCUUUCAAUUUCAAGAUCUGGACAUCCCAAAGUUCUAAUUGUUGUUGCUGUUGACUUAUCCAUUUUGGAAUAUCUUCAAUCAAUACUUGUGACUGGCUCCUCACUGUUAACUCUUAACUAGAACUACUACUCUCAAAAAUACAAGAAAUAUAAGAAAAUGGCACUCUAGCCAACCCAAAACAAUACGAUAGAAUGACUUUAAUUGGUGAUCCACUCCUAUUCUUUUACUACUUGGUGAUAAUGACAAUAUGUUACCCAUACUAUCCGUGAAAGGUAAUGGGAAGUAAUCUUUCUUGGUGGCAGCAUUAAGUUUCUAAAAAUCCUGAUAAAUUCUGAUUUUUCCAUUCUUUUUCAGCACCAUCAUGAUUGGAGAAACCCACUCACUAUUUGGUACUGGGUAAAUAAAACCAACCUCAAGAAGCUUAUCCAAUUCUUCCUUCACUAUGAGAGAAUAUUUAGGAUUAAGGCGAUGUUGCCUCUGCCGGACCGGUUUAGCAUUCUCCUCUAAAAUGAUACGAUGCUCACAGACUUCAGUGGGAAUACCUUUUAAAUCAUCAUAAGUCCAAGCAAAAGUGGAUUUAUGAUGCAAGAAAAAUUCAGUCCAACAGGUCAAAUCUUGUUCCUUAAUACCUUUGUAGACCUUAUUUAUCCAAGGUUCUGCUGUGGUCGCCAAGUUGAUAGUUUGACAUAAAGGUGCAACGACGAUGUUUUGUUUCAACCCCAUGCUAAUUUAAAGUUAAUCGGUAAGUUCGACAUGUACAAAGUAUUGAAUCUUGUAUCUAGGGCACUAACAUGGUGCACAUUAUACUUGGUCAUCCAAUCAAUACUAACAUAAUCCGAGUUUUUUGAGUCCGUCGGAUAUAUCAAGUACUCCCCCGGACCUCCACAUUGGUACACCACUUUAGGGUAUAGUGCUGCCUCCAUGGGCACCUCCGUAAUUGGUGCUAUUGCAUCGUCAUCGGAGCUAAGUUCAUCAUCCGAUGUUAAUUCAGAUGUUGGCAAUUGAGACUCCCCGUGAUAGUGUACUGGGUACAUUUGUAACACCAUUUUGUCUUCGCCCUUGCCAAUUGUCAAGAUACCCCAAUCCCAAUCAUUUUUGACCUUUACUUGAUAAAGCCAGGGUCGUCUCAAUAAAAUUGGAUAUGAUAAAGUCAAACGUUGUAAUCAAAAGACGAUAUAGUCGAUUUUAUAUGUAAUAUCGGUAAUCAUAGUUUGAACACUACGUAAGAUACUCAUUGGUUUAACUCGGCUAUGAUGUGCCAUUUGUAAGACCAAUGUCGUAGGUAGCAAUUGCUUUAGAUUUAAGUCCUCCAUUGUAUCCGCGUUCAUUAAAUUUACACUGGAACCACCAUUGACUUGUACCCCUGGAAUUAAAAUACCAUCAAUUGAUACAUCGAUUGUUGGUGCUCUCAGAUCUGGAUUUAAGUUAACUUCAUGAAUUUCUUUAGUGUGAGAUCUUUUUCAUAUUAACGUUGAAUUUAAUAUAGAUCGACAUUUUGAUGCUACAAUCAAAAGUUGCUUCAUUAUAAUUGAAGGUUGAAUAACAUCGAAAUCCUUCAGAAUGUCAUAGGAUUCUAUAUUUAGGGUAAUUUCCAAUGCCCUCUUUCUUUUCAUUGGUUUGAGUUUAACUCCAUGAGGUAAGAUAUUCUUCCGCCCUAGACUUGAAAUUGGAACAACAACUGGGGUUUCUUUGAAAUUUCCACCCUCGAGAGGAUCUUUUAACAAAUAGGACGUUUCUCAAAACUGCGUAGAGAUCGGAACUACUUGGAAUGAAACCGAAGCCUCCGUAAUUGGGACCUCAUUGGGUUCUAUCACCGAGUCAGGUCUCAUACUGGAUAUAAAGUCCAUAAUAGGAUCUGGAUUGAAUGAUCCCAACAAAUUGGCACGUAGAACCAAAUUAGGUUCCUCAGUCUAUUGAGGUCUCAAUAUUGGAAUAUGUCCCAAUACUCAUAUUGGUUCGUUUUGCCCCGUGGAUGGCGCUACUAGCUCUCUUGCGAUUGAUUCAUCCAUGUCCUGAAUUAGAUUCUUAUCUUUUUGUUGGCCUCUGGUAAGUAUUGCGCACACCACUUCGAUACGAUGUACUAGUGAGUCUCAUUGAACAGGGCUUUUGUCCUCCAUCGGUUGGCUUGUUUGCAUUUGUUGGUCCCGAUUAUUAUAAUUAAAAGGUGCAUUGCACUGCUGAUAAGUGUGACCAGACUGCUUAUAAUUUCUACAUAUUGGAGCAUAUUCAUCAUUGGCCCUUGGAUUAGGACAUUCACUCACAUAAUGUCCGAUUUGUCUGCAAUGAUAGCAACAAAGUGGUCUCCUGCUAAUUCCUUCAGGGAUAAUGGGUGUCUCUAUUGGUAUAUAACGGCUAGGUCUGUUCCAUAUCGGAUGAGAAAGGAUCUUAAUUGAUCCAUUGUUACUGUAGACUAUGGCAUUGGCUUCAUCAUGGGUAGAUAUUGAUGGUAUCCUGGUUGGUUCAUCACCAAUCCGUGAGUAUUGGAUAUACCUUUUUGGUGAAAUUUAGAGUUUAGGAAAUUGGAAUAAUUCCUGUUUUGUUUAUUCACUCGAUUUCUAUUCCAGCCAAAUCUAUUAUUCGUUUGUACUUGAUUGACAUCCCACGAAGUUGGUUGAGUCAUUAUCUGAUUACUGAGUUGUUGUUGCUUCUAUAAAUUCCAACAGUUGGUGGUAAUAUGCUUGCCUCCGCAAAAGGUACAUUGUACAGUCAUUUGGAGAGAUGAAGGACAUUCUGUUAUUAAAUGACCUUGCCCCUUACAAUUGUUGUACCAUACAUUGGUCCUAGUAUUGGUAGGCUUUUGCCUCUUCUCCUUAUCUUUGGCCAUAUUGACGGCCAUUUCUUCUAUUUUCUUCGUCAAAUUCAAUAACAAGGUUUUAUUGGAAUCUUUUAGGGCUGACAUUAUUGAUAUCUCUGUCAUAGUUAACACUUGUUGUUGAUACAAAAAAUAUGAAGCAUACGUUAUUGUCUCGUUCGGUGGUAUAGCUUACAAUGGGGUGACAUUAACUGGCCCCUGAAUAUUGGUAUUGGAAUUGGCCCCUGUUUCUAACAUCCAUGGAUAACUACCCAUUGAUUCAUUCUAAGUCAGAUUUUGAUAUCUACCUUGAACUAGAAUCAUCAUGGCUCCCGCAGUUAAAAACUGAUCAUAAUGGCAUUCUUCACAAACCUUGGCUCUAUUAAGGGACGCAGCCAUCGUAAUAGUUUGAGCUUCCUUUACAAACAUUUUUAGUUCUGGUGGGUACAAACCAUUGAUUAAUAUGGAUAAGAUAAAUGCCUCCAACAUUUGGUGAUUUGGCCACUUACUGAGUAUAUCAACCACUCGACCAUAGUACGAUUCUACCGCCUCUCUUCGGAUCAUUUUGCUGUUCAUUAAUCUCUCUCGAAGGCGGUCUUCAAAACCAAUUGGCCGAAAAUGAGAUAAAAAUAUAUUCUUCAAUGCUUCCUAAUUCGGAAAUUGAUCCAGUGGUUGGUUGUUGUACAUGGCAUUUGAAUGAUACAACUACCAACCGCCAUGGGAUUUGAAUGGUACAACCGCUGGCAGCCAUCACAACCAAAUAUCUUCAGUUUUGCCAUUAUUAGCUACACAUGCUGUAAAAAAGUGAGACAAAUAUUGAUCGGGAUCCGCAUCCAAAAAUCUCCAAAAAGUAGGUAGUGGCGCGAUAUUAGUCAUACAAUUGCCUACUGUACCCAUUUGUACUACAAUCAAAACGGUUGGUCUUCCUAACGCCAUUGAAUUUCUUGUUCCACUAAACUCCGUUUUAAAAUAAUCUCUGCUUUCCCUUAUUCUAAUUUUUGAGCUCUCAGUGCUCCUCGAUUUACUAUUAUUUUCUGUAAUUAGUUUUAUUGGUUAAACUGCAAGUGAAAACAUCAGAUUUUAAAAUACAAUAUAUUUAUCUUUAUUGGCGACCAAUUUGUGCCAAUCUAAAGAGCCACUAUUGCUUGUUUCAGUGGUACCUCCUACUGGAAAAAUAUCCAAUGGAAUACCAAAUUCUUCUACGCCUCCUUCUCUUUCAAUUAACGGCAUCAAGAUUUCCAUUGAAAUGUUAACGAAAUUUUCUCCGAGUGUUCUUGGCAGUUUUUCUAAUGGUACAUACAAUUACUAAAUUAACAGUCUGUCUAGUUCUUGAUAUGUUUGGAUGCGUCGAUAAGCUUGUAACCAUGGUUUAAUCCAAUUCUAUCGAUGCUUCCUUUUAAGAUUACAUUCUUGCUCCUCUCUAAGCAAGUUCCUUCUUUGCGCUCUUCUACGUCUUUCUCUCAACUCAUUUAUUUUCCUUGAUGCAAUGCUCUCGUUCUUAUUAACCAUAAUCUUACUUCAAAUACUACUAAAAUCGUCUUCCAUUGCCAAUUUUCUCACACGUUUGGUAAUUAAUUCGUAACAUUCAAAGCUAUUAUCACUUCUCGACAGUGGUGCCAAAAUGUGAUUGCUCGUUUUACUUAUUCCAAAUUAAUCUAAUGAAAAUAAACCCUUAUAGGAGGAUUUGAAUAUGGAGAAUGACUAGUUGCUUAAGCAUUCAUGUUAGGGUCACACAAUCAAUUACCUCCUGAAUGUAUUGUCUUUAUUUCCAAUAUCUGAACACACAAGGAAACUAUAAUCUCCUUCUCCAUCUUAUUGGUCUCUUCCUUAUAGUAAUUCAAUCAUACCAAUAACUGCUAUUUCCACCAAUAUAUUCACCCUCAUAAUCUCCAACUGUAAUACUACACCCUCACAGCUUUCAGCACACAAUUAUCCUCAUUCCAAUCACUAGAAUUCUUCACACAGAACUGCCAUUCACAUUACGGUGUUUCACAUAAACACAGACUCAUUCUCUCUGCUGAACUACAAUCAGAUUUCAACAUUCAAUCUUUCUUCUUCUCAAAUAAUACCAAUCACAUUUCCAUUCCAUAAUUCACUUCAUAAUAUUCAGAAACUCUCAAUCCUCUUAUUCAAAGAAAAUAACAAACAAAAGAAAAGAGGUAGCACCAAGCUUACCCGGCUCACAACUAUCACAAUGAUGGCACCUUAAUUAACUUCUACAACUCCUAUAUACUUUCCCGUGAUUCUCCAGAUUCUAAUCAUAAUUUUGUAAUUAACCGCUUUUAAGAACUAAAUUACUCAUCCGUCCUCCUGAAUUUCCUAUUAUAUGGACUAUUAAUAUAUUUUACUAAUAUCUUUCAAAAAUGAAUUAAUAUCUAUUCUACAUCUACUUACCCAUUUGACUUGUAAAGACAAACUUCAAUAGAAUCAAGAAGCAGAAGUAGCAUUUGAAGCUUUGAAGAUAGCCUUUGUUUCUAUACCAAUCUUCUAUUGCAUUGACUUUUUUAAGCCAUUUUUUAUAGAAACAAAUGUAUCAGACUUUGUUUUGAGUACUGUAUUGUCAUAAAUGGAAACAGAUGAUAAACUUCAUCCAAUAGCUUUUCAUUCCAAAAAAUUUUGAGCAAUCAAGAUUAACUACGAGAUCCACGACAAAGAACUUCUUCCAAUCUUAGAUUCAUUUCAAGAAUGUUGCCAUUAUCUAAAAGGUGCUUCUAGCCUAGUCACUGUGUAUACAUAUUACAAAAAUCUUGAAUAUUUUAUAUUAGUAUGUGUUUCGAAUCAUCACUAAGUCCGUUGGAAUAUAUCUUUAUCAAGAUUCGAAUUCAAGAUCACUUAUCGACUAGGAAAACAACAAGGUUUGUCAGAUGCUCUCUCUAGACAAUCUUAUCUUUCAUCAAAGGAAGGAGAUGCUGCUUUUGAUCAACAAAAAAUAAUUCUCUUGAAGCUAGAGCAUCUUCAUCUUUAAACAAUGAAAUCAACACUAAUUAUUGAUUCAACUUUCAUUAAGCAAGUUCACUCAAGUAUGUCUUCUGAUCCUCUUAUUCAUGAUAUUAAGGAAAAUCCUUCAAAGUCUCAUGAUACUUUCAAGUUUGAAUUCAAGAACAAUCUAAUAUUUUUUGAAAGACGCCUAUAUGUUCCAGAAGGUGAAGCUUGAUUACGUGUUCUUCAAGCUCUUCAUGACUUUUCAGCAAUAGGACAUUUUGGGUACAAUAAAACUUUGGAAUUAAUAUCCAAGGACUUUUGGUGGCUCUAAAUGUGGAAAGCAGUGAAAGAUUUUGUACAAUCUUGUGAUAUUUGCUGAAGAUCAAAAACUCCUCGUCAUCGACCUUAUUGACUUUUUUAGCCAUUAUCCAUUCCAAAACAACCAUGGUCUUUUGUUUCAAUGGAUUUCAUCACGGAUCUUCCAAUCUCAAGUUCUUAUAAUUCUAUAUUCGUGAUAGUAGAUUGUUUUACUAAGAUAGCUUAUUUUGUACUAUGUACAAAAUCUAUCUUAAGUGAAGAAAGAACUAAACUCUUUCUUGAGAAUAUCUAUCACUAUCAUGGAUUAUCCAAGGAUAUUAUAUUAGAUAGGAGAACUUAGUUUGUAUCAAGAUUUUGGCAGACUCUUUUUAAGAUUCUAAAAGUAGAUAUAAAAUUAUCUUCGGCAUUCUAUCCUCAAACUAAUGGACAAAUGGAGCAUGUCCAUCAAGUUUUGGAGCAGUAUUUAAGAUGUACCAUUAACUACCAACAAGAUGAUUGGACAACUCUUUUGCAAUUGGCACAAUUUUCUUAUAAUAAUAUGGUACAUUCUUCUACAAAUAAAAACCUUUUUUUACCAAUUAUGAUUAUAAUCCAUGACUUAAUACUUUUCACUUUUCAAAAGUUGAUAAUCCUGCGAUAAAAGAUUUGGCAAUUCAUUUUUCAAAGCUACAUGCAAUGAUGAAGGCACAAUUAAAAGAAGCUCAAGAAUAAAAAAAGGUCAAUGCAGAUGUUUAUCAAAAGGAACAACCACCAUUUUACAUGGGUAACAAGGUAUGGUUAUUUUGUUGCAAUGUCAAGACUACUCGUCCUUGUGACAAGUUGGACUAUUGAAGGCUUGGACCAUUUUCUAUUUCCGCACAAAUCAAUCCAGUUGCAUAUCGUUUAUUCCUACUGGAGUCAAUGAAAUUCCAUCUAGUAUUCCACGUGUCUCUUCUUGAAUCAUACAAGACAGUGGACAUACCUAAAAGAAGACAAGCUACACCUCUUUAUAUAGAAGUAGAGAAUAAUGAAGAGUUCAAAGUGGAAGACAUCUUAGAUUCAAGGUGGCGCCAAAAUAAAUUGAAAUAUCUUGUCCAUUAGUAUUGAUAUGAUAUUAGUGAACAUAUAUGGGAGCCAAUAAAGAAUCUUAUAAAUACAACAAAGACGGUCGAGGCUUUUCAUUGACGACAUCCAUCUAAAUCAAAAUAAAAAUCUUUUUUAUAAAAGAAAUAAGAUCUAGGCAAGAUAACAUUCUAUUUUCAAUCUUUAUUUUUAGCUUCUUUAUAGUUGUGAUGGUGAGGACAUGGAGAACCAAUAACCAGUAGAUUUGACUUAAGAGCCUUCGUUUGCUAACCUACUAGAUGAAACAUUACGAUUGUCAUAACCUUCAAGAUGAUGCAAUUGAGAUGAAGAUCUUUAAGAAUAACAUGUUCUUCCUUGAAUAGAUGGCAAGAUACAAUGCAUUUGGUAUCACGACCUUGGAAGGGACUCCCAAUGUUGGGUGAUUUUACUAGAAGUAGGAACAAUUCGUUAUGGUGUUUCAAAUGUAAUAUUAGAAAGAAGUUAUGAAAGCUUCAACAAUGAUCAAAUAACUGGGUGGUCUUCCCACCUUAGUAUGAAAUACUAUUGAUGGUUGAGAGGCCCUAUCAAUCAUCUUUGAAGAGAAUAAAGAUCAGAGUAUGUGGUGAAUAUAAUUCGUCACAUUAUAGAUUUCUUCAAUAUAUGAUGAGUGCUCUUCAUGGAACUUGUCCCUAGAAGGAGGAGUAAUAUCAUGGACAUACGCAUGUAAGCCAAUAAUUAUAUGUAUAAAUAGAUAGAAGUAAGUAAAAGUAAGUAAAAGUAAAUUAAUUCUAUAAUAUUUGCUAUACAAGCUUCCUAGAAGCUUUAUAGAUAUUACUUUGACUUUAUAGGUAUCUUUAAUUGACUUUUUGGAUUAAAAACGUGAUCAACAAGUUGGCCAUGUGCCACACAUGUUAUUAGCUUGAAGACCAAGCUAACUAUAUGGCCCACACGUAGAAAAACUUGCCUUGUAAGUCAAGGCAUGUGUCCUACAAAGUUAACACAUAUUGGAGGUCAUAUAGAACAUCGCCACAUUGUCAUAUUGUGGUUCAGCUACUAUGUGAAAAUAAUGUGAUUAUAUAUUUAAUGUACAAGUUACUUAAUAAUAUAGUGAGAGAUAUGCUAUUGGAUUUUAGUUGGUUAUAGAAUGUGGUUAAAUUACUACUUUAAAAGGAGGUUGUUUAAAAAGAUUACUAUUAGAAUUUGCAUAACUUUAUUUUCUUUUGAUAGUAACUUUUGAGAUUGAUUUUAUUGGUAGUAAUUUUAAAUAUUUAGAGUCACCUUUAUUAGACAUUGAUGAUCCUUGAAGUCUUAUUUUAAUUCUUUAAUUUGGUGUUUAGGGCAUAUAUUGAGUAAAACCUAUAAAGAAAAGAAUUAGAGAAGGAUUUUAGUAGCAAAGAGAGUUUAGGGCAUCCAUAUAGAUGAAUGAAGAUGGAUGAUGAAAAUCUCCAUUCCUAUUGGUCAAAAAUCAUGACUAAUAGGCUUCAAGGAGGCUACCCGAGGCCAUAUUAGAGAUUAGGGUUAGUUUUUUUAGGGCCAUUCGAGCUUUGAAGUCUAAGAUCAGUAAGUUUAGGUUUUUGGCUAUGGUUUUGGUGCAAAUCUUGUAUGAUUUGGAGUUUAUAUGAAGGAGAUAUAGGUGCUCAAAGUUAAGGUGUUGAUUUGGGAGCUAUUGUCACUCUUUUUGUUAUAACGCACGCAUAUAGAAGGCAAUUGAGGAUCGGCGACUGCAACUGAAGAGAGUACUUUUGCGGCUACACUUUUUGCAUACUGCUUGCUGGAUUCUAAGUUAAAGUGAAGGAUUUAAUAGAUUUUUAAGUCAGUGCAUGCAAUCUAAGGAUAGUAAGUGACCUGAUUUACUAGUGAUUGUGUCUUGACCUAUAUCUUGAGCAAUUUGAUAAGGUUUUGGCUCAAAAUUUCAAAAAAUGUAUAAAUUCAUGUUAAUAAACUUUAUAUAUAAGUUUAAUGACAUUUGAGUAUUGGAUUCUUGAGAUAUUAAGAAAAUAGUGCUCGGGUGCUUGUAAAUUAGGAUUUAGAGCAUCUCCUAGGAUUUCUUAGAUGCUUGAAGAUCGGGAGUGAAUUUGCAGUUGGUUUUUUUUUGUGGUAAAAUUUAAGGGUGAAUUUUACCUAUUCUAUAAAUUUGAAACAAAUUGAUCAAGAAUUAUGAAUUUCUAAAGUUCAAGAUGAGAAAACCUUUUGUAGAAAAAAUAUAUUUUGAAGGGAUUUUGUUAUAUUUUAAGUUUUAUGCAAAUUAAAGGAGUUUUGGAAGCUAAGAUAAGAUUCAUAUAAAAAUUUAAGCUAAAAUCUCUACAACUAGAUACCUAGUAUAUUUCUAAAUAGUAAAUCAUGUAAUAUGAUAAUGUAGCCCCUAAUUAGAUAUUAUAUAUAGAGAUAAGAGUGAAGCCUUCUUUACUCUUAUUAACUCCUUUCUUGCUUCUAGUCUAGUUUUAAGUGUUUCUAGUUUUCUUGUCUUUUGGCAAUAGUCAUUCUGGUUUCUUUCUUAAUAUACAUAUUGAGUUAUUUCUAUUUUUUCAUCUUUCUUUGAGAGAAGUCUCACUUAUUUAAUUAUUUUUAUCAAGUUCUUGUCCUUGAAACAACCAAGGCCACUUUAUUUUUCUUAGUAUAUGGAAUAAAAGCUAUAUUAUCCAUAAAAUUUGAGAUCAAUUCUCUUAAGAUAGUAAUAGUUGAUAGGUUAAUUAUCCAAGAAUCAUAGAUAGAUAGAUAAGAAUAAUUGGAAGGCAUUCAUGAGAUUCAAUGGAUCUAGACUCAAUACAUAAAAGUAAUUCAAUGAAAGAAAAAAAAAUUCUUUUGAUAAAAAAUACAAGAAGAGAGUCUUAUAAUUAAAGAUGCUAGUAUUGUUACAAGAUGCUAGGAGAAUGGAUUUCUUAGGUAAGUUUGAUGUUCUUUAGUUAGGACCUUAUCAUAUUUGAGAAGUGUUUGAUAUCAACUCCUUAUAAUUAAAGAUAUUAAGUGGUAAAUUAUUUUUAAGAAGAAUAUUUUAGAAUAUAUGUAAAGAAUAUAAAAUGUAAAAAAAUUCAUUCCAUAGAGGAAAAAAUACUAUAUUCUUUGUAAAUCUAAAUGAGUAAGGAUCUAGCUAAAUAAUGUAGUCAAACUUGAUUUUUAUCAAGAAAAUAGGAAUCUUGACUCAUCAAGAGAGAAAAAAAAUCUUUACAUGGUUUUUAGUUUAUUUAAAAUAUUAUCUCUUUUACUUAUUAAGAACUAAUAUAUCUUAUAUAUAAAUAUAUAUAUAUAUAUAUAUAUAUAUAUAUAUAUAGUUUUAGGAUUUAGACAUAAGAUGGCUAAGGUUAGUAUCUUUGGAUUGUUGGGAAGUUGGUCACAAAAGUGAUUAUAUAAGAAGUGGUAUAUAUUUGAAUUUGGUCUACAAAGGGAGCUAGCUAUAUGAACUAAUAUUAGAUUAAAAAAGUAGCCAACCUAUACAAUUUAGAAGAUAUGUAAGCCUUAUGGCUUCUAACUUAAAUUCUUUUUCUUAAAUAAGAAUUAUAUAGCAUUAAUUUUUAGAUUUUUUACUUAGAUUUUUUUUUUUUUUUUUUUUUUUUUUUUAAAUUAUUAUUAUCUAAUUUUUAAAAUUUUAUUUCUUUUUAUUUUUAUAGAAUUAUUUUUCAUAGAAAACUUGGCCAACAAGUUAAUGACAUAUUAAUAGCUUGUAGAACAAGCUAACUAGGUGUUGCAUACAUAGAUAAUUUGCCUUAUAAGUUAAGACAUGUGGCUAGCAAAGUCAAUACAUGUUGGAGAUCUUAUAGAAUAUUGCCAUAUAACUUCUAAUUAGAGAGUAUAUAUGGAAGCAAGAGUGAAGACUUCUUCACUCUUGUCAAUACCUUCUUAGUCCUUAGUCUUGUUUCAAGACUUUUUAGUCUUGUUUUUUAGCAAUAUCCAUUCUAGUUCAAUAAUAUAUCAUCUUUGAGUGACUUUCUAGUUUUUUUUAGUGACAGAAGAGUGUAUUGAGGAUUUUUUUUUUUUUUUUAAGAUUCAUAUCCUUGAUAUUAUUCCAUCUUAUAUUAUUAAGUAGAAUAAUUUCUUUAAUAGUCUUUUAACUCAAAAAAAAUAGUAGUAGAGGAUAGAAAUGAAAUUAAUACUAAUCAUGAGAUUUUUAGAAAUAAUUUAAAGGCUCUUUGGUACUAUUCCUUCUAAUCUUGAUAAAUAUUAAAAUUAGCCAAAAUCACAUGUAAACAGGCACUUGCCUAUGUAGCAAGAGCUUUGGAUUCUCUACCUCUUUAAGUUGUUCUAAAUGGCCGCCAUCUGUGAGUCAUUGAAUUAACUCACUUAUGUAUUUAAUAUAAAAAAUAUACUUAUCAUAUUUAAAAUCACAAAUUUUAUGAAUUAAUAAUAGAAUUUUUAAGAAAUAGUAAGAAUUGAAUUACUAAAUAACAGAUAUGUACUUUUAGACAAAAUUUAAUAAGAAAAAUUUCUAUAAAGAAUAUAUUUUUAGUUAACUAAUAUUAGAUGAAGGACUAAAAAAAGUAAUUUUAGUAUCAAAAAUAUUUUUUAAAAAUAUUUUUUAUUAAUUUUUUUUAAAAUAUUUAUAUAUAGAUUAUAUAUAAAAUAAAUAAAAAUAAAUAAAUAAAAAAUCAAAAUAAGUAGAAAGAAAAAUAGAAAAGAAACAAAAGAAGAAGAAGAAGAAAGAAGGAAAAAAAAAGAAGAAAAGAAAAAGAAAUCAAGAUCAAAGAAGAAAAGAAGGAUAAAAGAACAAAAAAAUAAAAUAAAAAAAUAAAAAAUAAAAGAUAAUUAAGAAGAUAAAAAGUUACUUUUGAAGGGCGGUAGCUUCUUCGUCAAUAGGGCUUUAAGCCACCCUAAAUUCCAUUCUCUCUUUUUCUUUUGUAUUUUUUGGUUGUUGGAGAUUUGAGCUCUAAUUUCUUUAGAUCUCUUUUUUGAACAUGUUCUCUUCUAGUGUACAUUGUAUAUGCAUUGCUAUUGCAUUUUUUUAUUUUUAUUUUUUUUUAUUUUCUUCUUUUGUUAUCAUCGACGUUGCGGGUGGCUAAAAUGUGGAAUUGAAUUAGUAUUAUUAAAUAUUAUUUAUGUUGGCAAUUGUGCUCAUCAUCAAUUUUUAAGGCAACAAUAUUGCCUAGAAUUGGUAGCUUAAGCUACAAAAUACAAAGCUAGAAGUGGCAAAGUCUGCAUCAAUAACGUGUUUUUAUUUUAGUUUAUUUUAUAUUAUGAGCUAUGGCUAAAUCAAAUAACUUUAGGAGUUGGUCUCAUCUUCAAUGGCCCUUGGUUUAAUACUUAGUAGAAUUGUUGUAUAUAUAUGAAGCUAGAGGUUCAAUUCAACUACACUUAGAAAUGAGAGAGGCAGUGCAUCUCAAGACUUGCGUGCGUAGAUGGAAUCAAUUCAUUUGAGGCCUGAAAUUGGAUGAAUAGUGUAGUGAGCAAUAGGCUUACUUUGCAAAGAGUCAUGUAAAAGUGUAGACUAUUGGUAGCAUUAUAUAGAAUCUUUAUUAAAUAGAUAUUAUAUUUGUGUGAUAAGUAAUAGUGACCAAUUUUAUGUUGUACAUGGUCGUCUAUGGCUAGAAAAUUGGAGUGAGACUUAUGUUCUAAAGAUCCUUUAGUCUUAAUCAAGUACUAAAAAAAGUCCAAUGUAUAAUUGGAAGUUGAUGGUUAGAAAAAUAAAAAUAAUAAAAAAAACAAACAAAAAUAAAAAAAUAAAAAAUAAAAAAAAAAACAUCAUUUAGUUGUGAGGAAUUGUAAUUGACAAAACUUCUAAGAAAAGAAAAAUAGUUUAAUAUUACCUAAACAUUAUUAAAUUCAUCAACAAUAAUUAUUAGUCAUAGUUACACUAUUCAAAAUUAUGCAACCCUUAUACCUCAUGUAGGAUUAAGAAUAUUGUGGCAAGCAAUGCACUAAAAUCUCCCAAGUUAAUAUUAUCUAUACUAUUGAUGCUUGUGUAAGACUCUCAUGCAAUUGUGAACUGAGGACCAAUGUUAAAUCAAGUCAAGUACAAGGUAUUGUUCUUCAUUAUUUUUUACUAAAACCUUUUGUUGUUGACUCAUGUUUUAUUUCAAAAAUCUUUGAGUUCAUUAAGAAUUAAACAGAGCAAGUAAAGCCACAAUUAGUUCAAAUAUAUAUAUAUAAAAUAAAAAAUAAAACAAAAGAGAUUUUUUUGUAGAUCUCAUAGAGGUACAAUUGUCCUUGAAAGCAAAUCUUGUAUAAGCUUUGAAGUUAUUGAUGUACUCAAGCAACAAACCAAAUUUGUAAUCUAAUAAAAAAGAAUUACUAAAUGAACAAACUUAUUGCUUAGACUAAAGAAUUAGUACAAUUUAAGAAGUUACAUCAAUGUAUUCAAAUAAAGAGAUGAUGUAGGUGAUUUUGACUAUAAGUGGACUUUUGCUACUAGAGCAAGCAAGAAGAAGUAAGGAGCAGACUGCAAUGGAAAGAAAGUUGAGCAUAUAAGCCAUGGUGGAGUCAAUUCACAGCACGUCAACUGAGAGCCUAUCCUUUCUAACUUGAUGAUCUUUCUAAAUAGAAAAAUGGAUGAAGUUAGAUUAGCUCAAUUGAAGUAGAUUCAAAAAAAUUAGAUUAAAAGAAUUUAGAUCAAAAUAGAUGAUUUUGAAUAUGAAAAAAAAGAUAAUGGGCUAAAUGAAUAUUUUUAAUAUGGAUGAAUAUUGAGUUUAGCCAAACUUAAGUUGGAUGAUAAAUUAUUUAUGAAUGAAAAAUUAUUCAUAGAUAAAAACUUAUAUAGAAAGAUUUUUUUAGAUAAUAAUUAAUAAAAAUAAUCAAAUAAUGAAAUAAAAUAAUAUUAAUUUAAUUAAAGAUUAAAAGAAAAAAUUGAUAUAUGCAAUUUGUAAAAGAUUUAUUAAUAUAAGAAUGAAUUAAUAGUAGAAGUUGGCUUAAUUACUUCGAUAUUAAAAAAGAUUUAAGAGCAAAUUAAAUAAGAAUUAAUUACUGGCUUUAUCUUCUAAAAUUCAUGAAGAUAAUUGAUUUGUUGUGAAUUAGAAUAAACUUCCAACUACUAAAGGUUUAUUUUAGCUCGUAAAAGUAUGAACUCUCAAUUAUGCUCUAAACUUUAAAUUUUUUUUAUUUUCCUAUUUUAUGAUAAAUAAGUAUGUUAGAUUAAGAUUUAUGUAAGUAGAAUUUAGUUUUAUAGAAAUUUUAGGAUUAAAAGAUUAAAUGGUAUAAAUUAUAGCCUAAUUCUUUGAGUUAGAUUAAUUAUGAUCAAAGUAAUAAGAGUUAGAAAAUUAGAAUAGAAAAUUAAUUAGUUUUAAUAAUUUGGAGGUUAUUAGUCAUUACAAUGAGGGUUGAUUAAAAGCCUAUGAAUUCAUCUAUAUUCAUUUCACAUGAUUUAGAAUGAGUUAGAAUCAUAAAUUUCUAAAAGAUUUAAUGAAGUUUAGUAAUGAUAGUUUUGAAAUUUCCUCCAAUUCAACAAAUUCAAGUCGCAUAGUAGUUCUUCUAAUUAAUGGAAGCUUUUUUAAUGCAAUGGUAGUACCGGAUUUACCUCAUGGAAUGAAGAAAACAAGAUCAGCACCCUCUCCUUUGAAAUACAAGUGGAGCAAUGAAAUUCUCAUUUUGAAGGAUUUUACAAGAAUUGCCAAGAUCAUUGUAGGUAAAAACUUUGAUUAAAAUUGCAAUUGAGCAUAGAUUGAGGCAUGUGAGUAAUUAAUUUUAGCAAAGAAGGUAUUUUGAAUACAAUGGUGAAGUUAUAUUUAUCAAAAGUUGCUUUCUUGACAACUUAUUAGAUCCAUCAGCCUUAGUAACGAAAUUGGCUCUUGGAUGAAUGAAGGCCUUAGAUCUACAUUAGAGAGCUUAGAGAUCAAGGGUGGAGAUGUGGCCGCCCUUUCACAAUCCACCACUCAAUUGUAUAAGAGUGGCUUGGUUCUCCAAGCCCUUUCUCUCUCCUCUUUUGGUGAAGAAUGAAGCCAUGCCAAAUUUUGGCCCUAAAUCCUAAUCUUAAUUUUUUUUUUUUGAUUUUUAAUCUCAUUUAAAUCACCUAUCUUUGAAAAGAUAUUUCUUAGUGCCUCCUAAUUGGAUUAUUGUAAAAUUUUGGGAGUAAAGGAAUCUUUAAGUCAAGCAAAUUUUUUUUCUAAUAGCAUAAAUUUUACUAAAUUCAAAGACAAAUUGAAUUUUUUGUUAAUUUUCAAGUGGAAAGAGAUUGCUUACUAUGAUGGUCUUAGUCAUUCAACUUCAAUGGAACAUGUACUGCAGCUUAAGUACUCGAUUGAAUUUAAAUUUAUUUAAGCAAGAGCGCCUUCAAAUUAAAUUUUUAACAAACUAAAAACCAUUCAAUUUGGAAUUAAUUACAAAUUUUGGAAAAUUUUGGAGUAGGAAAGGAUUGCUUCCCUCAAUUCUUAGAUGUUAUGAAGGUACCUUUGCUUUUAUCUCUCUAUAGUCCUACUUUUACUUUUAUUUUAAAAGUAAAUUGUAACUUUCAUAUUUAAACUUUUAAAUUUUAACUUUUAACUUUUAAACUUUAAUAUUUUUUACUUUUUAAUUUUUACUUUUAUUUUUAAUUUAACCUUCAAGAUUUUUUUACUUUUAUUAUAGAUUAAUGGUAAUAAUUUGAUGAAGUACUUUCACCAUUAAUUAUUUAAGAAAUAAUAAUUUAUAAGUUUCAACUAAUUAAUUUUUUAUUUAUUAUAAUUAAUUAUAUUUUUGUAAUUAGAUAAAAAUUAAUAAUUAAGGAUUAUAUAAAAGAUCUUGAAAAACUCAUUGAGAUUUAAAUGGAGAUUAUACAAAUAGCCUUUAAGACCAUAGUAAUUUCAUUAAAUAUUUUAUUUAUUUUUUUUAUUUAUAUUGGUAACCAUUACUUAAAAGACUUAAAAUUAAUUGAAUUGUUAACAUAAAGAUUUAAAUCAACUUAGCAAUUAUAUAAUUGGAAGGUCUUCUAUUCCACCUCUUGAACUUAUUGUAUGGCAUCAGUUUUAUAAAGUGGUGAAAUUUGGGCUUAUAAAAAGACAUGUUGAAACUCCUUAUAUUUUUCUAAGAUAGCUAUUGACAAGCUUGUUUUUUCACUAGUUAGAUUUGUAUAAAUAACAAAUAGAAUUUCCUUCUUAUCCAUCUUCAUAAAAACCCUUGCUUCCAAAAAUGAGGCCUUUAUUGUUAAUGACUUAUUGAUAGGUUUUUUCUAAAAGAAUUUUAUAGAAAACUCAAUCUUAUGAUCCUUCCAAUCUAUAAAUGGAUUAUAUCUUUUUAACCACAAAAUUCCUAGAAUGAUAGAAUUGGAUGGAAUUCUAAUAAUAUUAAAUAUUAAUUUACUAAUAUAACCCUCAAAUGAUGUUUUUAGUGAUAUAGUCUCAUAAGUAGUAUUACCUAAAGAUAAAAAUUGACUAUCUAUUACUUCUAUAUGUAUAGGUUUUGACUUCUAUACUAAAAGAAUUUUGUGAAAUUUGAAAAACUUUUCAUCUAAAAAUCAAGUAGAUGCUCUUGAAUCUAAUAUGAUAUUUAUUUGAAGUUUAUGUAGGCCAAAAAAUAAAAAUUUAGUAAAACAACAAGUAAGUUGGAGAGAAAAAGAAGGACCUUGAUGUAUUUAAGGUGUUGAAAUAUUCAACUGUAUGGUCUCUAUUGUGGCUGGGUUUCUUUAUUUUCUUAAAUGAUUACACUCUUAGUCUUAAUUAUAUAUUAUUUUUUAGGAUAAUUUUCAGAUUUGUAACCUUUACCACAAUAUAAGUAUAGGCCUUAUUGAAAUCAAUACUUCUUCUUUUUUGUAAGAAAUUUGAACUAUAUUUCAUCAAUUUCUAUAUCAUUAAUUUCAAAGUAUAGAAGUACUAUAUUUGUUUAAAUAGCAGAGUACAAAUUUCUAGUGUGUUGAUUUGUCAAAGUCUACAAACAUUGAUCUUGAGGGCAAUGAAAUAAUUGAUUAUCCAACUUCACAACUUAGCUAAUUGUCAAGGACAAGAACAUAAUAAAGACAAAUAAAAAAGUGAGACUUCUGUCAUAAAAAGAUGACAAAAUAGAAACAACUUGAUAUAUAUAUUAAAAAAGAAACUAGAAUGGCUAUUGCCAAAAGCCAAAAAAACUAAAGAUCCUUGAAACUAGACUGGAAAGAAAGAAAGGAGUUAACAAGAAUGAAGAAGGCUUCACUCUUGUCUCUAUAUAUACUAUCUAACUAGGAGCUACAUGGCGACGUUUUAUAGGACCUCCAAUAUGUGUUGACUUUGUAGGACACAUGCCUUGACUUACAAGGCAAGUUUUUCUACGUGUGGGCUACAUAGUUAGCUUGGUCUUCAAGUUAACAACAUGUGUGGUACAUGGCCAACUUGUUGACGACGUUUCUAACCCCAAAAAAUCAAUUAAAGACACCUAUAAAAUCAAAGCAGCAUCUAUGAAGCUUCUAGGAAGCUUUCAUAUCAAAUACUAUAGAAUUAACUUAUUUUUACCUACUUUUACUUACUUCUAUCUAUUUAUAUAUGUAAUUAUUAGCUUACAUGCAUAUGUCCGUGACAUUACCCUCUCUUCUAGGGACGAGUUCCACGAGGAGCGAUAAUCAUAUGUUAAAAAAAUCUAUAAUGCGACGAAUUAUAUUCAUCACAUACUCUGAUCUUUGUUCUCUUUGAAGAUGAUUGAUAGGGCCUCUCAACCAUCGGUAGUAUCCCAUAUUAGGGCGGAAAGACCACCCAAUUAUUUGAUCAUUGUUGAGGCCUUCAUAACUUCUUUCGAAUAAAACAUUUGGAAUACCAUCAGGAGUUGUUCCCACCUCUAGUAAAAUCACCAAACAUUGAGAGUCCCUUCCAAGGUCGUGAUAUCAAAUGCAUUGUAUCUUGCCAUCUAUUCAAGGAAGAACAUGUUAUUCUUAAAGAUCUUCAUCUCAAUUGCAUUAUCUUGAAGGUUAUGACAAUCGUAAUGUUUCAUCCGGUAGGUCAACAAACGAAGGCUCUUAAGUCAAAUCUGCUAGUUAUUGGUUCUCUAUUUCUUAAGUGUCACAACUACAAAGAAGCUACAAACAAAGAUUGAAAGUAGAAUGUUAUUUUGCCUAGAUCUUGUUUCAUUUAUAAGGAAGAUUUUCAUCUUGAUUUUGAUGGAUGUCAUCGAUGAAAAGCCUCCACCGUCUUUGUUGUAUUUGCAAGAUUCUUUACUGGCUUCCAUGUACGUUCACUAAUAUCAUAUCCAUGCCAAUAGACAAGUUAUUCCAAUUUAUUUUGGCGCUGCCUUAAAUCUAAGACUUCUUCUACUUCAAACUCUUCAUUAUUGUCCACUUCUAUAGGAGGAGUUGGAGCUUGUCUUCUUCUUGGUAUGUCCACUAUCUUAUAUGGUUCAAGAAGAGAUACGUGGAAUACUGGAUGGAUUUUUAUUGAAUCCGAUAGAUAUAAACGAUAUGCAACUGGAUUGAUUUGUGCGGAAAUAGAAAAUGGUCUAAGCCUUCGAUAGUCCAACUUGUCAUAAGGACGAGUGGUCUUGAUAUUGCAAUGAAGUAACCAUAUCUUAUCAUCCAUGUGGAAUGGUAGUUGUUCCUUUUGAUAGACAUCUGCAUUAACCUUUUAUUGUUCUUGAGCUUCUUUUAACUGCGCUUUCAUUGUUGCAUGUAGCUUUGACAAGUGAAUUACCAAAUCUUUCACAGUAGGAUUAUCAACUUUUGAAAAGUCAAAAGUAUCAAGUUAUGGAUGAUAACCAUAAUUAGCAAAGAAAGGUGUUUGUUUUAUAGAAGAAUGUACCAUAUUAUUGUAAGCAAACUCUGCCAAUGGCAAAAGAGUUGUCCAAUCAUCUUGUUGGUAGUUAAUGGUACAUCUUAAAUAUUGCUCCAAAACUUGAUUAACACACUCUGUUUGUCCAUCAGUUUGAGGAUGGAAUGCUGAAGAUAGUUUUAUAUCCACUUUUAAAAUCUUGAAAAGAGUCCACCAAAAUCUUGAUACAAAUUGAGUUCCCCUAUCUGAUAUAAUAUCCUUGGAUAAUCCAUGAUAGCUAUAGAUAUUCUCAAAAAAGAGCUUAGUUCUUUCUUCACUUAAGAUAGAUUUUGUACAUAGUACAAAAUAAGCCAUUUUGGUAAAAUAAUCUACUAUCACGAAUAUAGAGUUAUAAGAACUUGAGAUAGGAAGAUCCGUGAUGAAAUCCAUUGAAACAAAAGACCAUGGUUGUUUUGGAAUGGAUAAUGGCUAAAGAAGUCAAUAAGGUCAAUGACGAGGAGUUUUUGAUCUUGAGCAAAUAUCACAAGAUUGUACAAAAUCUUUCACUGCUUUCCACAUUUGGAGCCACCAAAAGUCCUUGGAUAUUAAUUCCAAAGUUUUAUUGUACCCAAAAUGUCCUAUUGCUGGAAAGUCAUGACGAGCUUGAAGAACACAUAAUCAAGCUUCACCUUCUAGAAUAUAUAAGUAUCCUUCAAAAUAUAUUAGAUUGUUCUUGAAUUCAAACUUGAAAGUAUCAUGAAACUUUGAAGGAUUUUUCUUAAUAUCAUGAAUAAGAGGAUCACAAGACAUACUUGAAUGAACUUGCUUAAUGAAAGUUGAAUCAACAGUUAGUGUUGAUUUCAUUGUUUGAAGAUGAAGAUACUCUAGCUUCAAGAGAAUUAUUUGUUGUUGAUAAAAAGUAGCAUCUCCUUCCUUUGGUGAAAGAUAAGAUUGUCUAGAGAGAGCAUCUGACAAACCUUGUUGUUUUCUUGGUCUAAAGUGAUUUUGAAUUCAAAUCUUGACAAAGACAUACUUCAACGGUGUCGUAUUGUAAUACGAGUAUACCAUAAAAAUAUAAAAAAAAGGGACUUUUAUUAAUGUUCAGUUACCUCGAAUAUUGGGAGCAACUACCAAUUCCAAUGCCAAUAUUCAUGGGCCAGUUCAGACACCCCGUCACAGUCGGUCAGGGCAGACUUACCAGUAACGAAAUGCUCCAUUCGAGUCCAAUAGUGGGAGUCAACAAAAUGAAAAGGAUUAAAUCGAUGACUGAGCGAGCCUGACGCGAAGGACCAAUUUGACCCAAUUACGGGAACAUCCAGGUCUUACUAUGGGCCUCUUAGCCAAUCUGACGCGAAGGACCAAUUUGACCCAAUUACGGGAACAUCUAGGUCUUACUACGGGCCUCUUAGCCAAUCUGAUGCGAAGGACCAAUUUGACCCAAUUACGGAAACAUCUAAGUCUUAUUACGGACCUCUUAGCCGAUAUGAGACUUGAAUUGGUUGGACGAUUCAAUGUGGUCCCAAUAAUGGGAGUUUGAUUCCGUUUCAGGCUGUCCCGUUCUUUGUACCAUUUUAGAGAAUAUUAUUUCUAAAAAAAGAACCUUUUAAAAGGCAAAAAAUGGAAGAGAAAGCUCUGAUGGCAGAGCCAAUUCCAGAUCCAAGACGAAAGAUUAAAGAAAUUCAGAGGCUAGGGUUUGAAAGAGGGGAGAAUUAGGGUUAAAGGAGAGGAUAGGUUAAGAAAUGAAGAGGGGAGAAUAAAGAUUUUAAGGAUCGGAGAGUUAGCUUCAUGCUUCGGGAGGGAAAAAAAAAGACAGAGAAUUGGGAUUUUUUUUCAUAGGGUUUUGGGAAGACUGAGGUUCAUGCGGAGUGAAUGAAAAUUUUUGGGUUAAUCUAACAAGACAGUCAAUGGAUACAAGGUUGUGAGUAUAAAGCAAUAUCGGAGAUUAGCAGAUUGGGCUGUUCGAGAUUCUCUGUAAUGUUUAGAGACCUAUCGGCUGGAGCAAAAAGAAUUUCAGCGAGCAGUUGAAAGACAUCCAUAUAGAUUUAUGGUAUAUUCUUACAGUCAUUUAUAUUCCAACAGUCAAAAAUCGAUAGACUGCUUGAAUAUUAGCGAAUCUCCAUACUACCUUCUACAGCCAAACACCCGGUGGGUUCUCGAGCAGGAAAGCACGUAAUACAACAACGGACUUGGCGACGAUUCAAAAUACGUGUUGACAUAAAAUAUUCAAGGUUCUUGUGAUUCGUGUACACUGUGACUGGGCUAGAAGCACCUUCUAGAUAAUGGUGCCAUUCUUGAAACAAAUCCAUGAUUGCAAGAAGUUCUUUGUCGUGGAUCUCAUAAUUGAUCUCCAUUGCUGAAAAUUUUUUGGAAUAAAAAGCUAUUAGAUGAAGUUUAUCAUCUGUUUCCAUUUGUGAUAAUAGGGCAUUCAAAGCAAAAUUUGAUGUGUCUAUUUCCAUAAAAAAAUAGCUUAGAAAAAUCGAUGCGAUACAAGAUUGGUGCAAAAACAAAGGCUAUCUUCAAAGCUUCAAAUGCUACUUCUAUUUCUUAAUUCCAUUGAAGAUUGUCUUUACAAGUCAAACGUGUAAGUAGAGCUGCAACUUAAGAGAAGUCUUUGAUAAAGAUCCAAUAGGAGUUGGCAAAUUCCAAAAAGCAUUGGACAUCUCUUAUCAUUUUUGGGAUCUUCCAAUCCAUAAUAGUUUGAAUUUUGUUAGGAUCCAUCAUAAUUCCAUCAUUUGAAAUGAUGUAUCCUAAAAAGUCGACUUGAGUAGUGUGAAAUAUACACUUUUCUAUCUUAGCAUAGAGUCCUACAUCUCUUAGUUUUUGUAAUACUUGGCGAACAUGAAGAUCAUGUUCUUCUGGGUUCUUAGAAUAGAAUAAGAUAUCAUCUAGGUAAAAGACAACAAAAUCAUCUAAAAACUCUCGAAAGACAUCAUUCAUUAGGUGUUGGAAUGCUGCUCGUGUAUUUGUAAGUCCAAAAGGCAUGACGUUGUUUUCGAAAUGUCCAUACCUUGUUUGGAAUGCAGUCUUCCAUUCAUCUCCUUCUUUGAUGCAUACCAAAUUAUAUGCUCCCCAUAGAUCUAUUUUUGUAUAGUUCUUAGCUUGAUUCAACUGAUCAAGAAGUCCACAUAUCAAAGGUAGCGGGUACCUGUUUUUGAUAGUAAUUUUGUUGAGUCCUCAAUAAUCAAUACACAUCCGCAAUGAUCCAUCUUUUUUCUUCACAAAUAAAAUUGGAGCUCCCAUUGGAGAUUUGGAAUGGCAUAUGAAGUUCUUGGCCAAAUUCUCUUCAAUAUACUCCUUGAGUUCAGCUAAUUAAUUUUGAAAUAAAUUAUAGAUUGAUCCAAAUAGCAGUUGUGCUCUUUUUUGAAGGUCAAUUGAGCAGUCAUAAGAAUGAUGUUUCGAAAGAGUAUCUAUAUUUUUUUUUUCAAAUACAUCUUGAAAAGCUUGAUAUUGGCUUGGAAUUUCACUUGAAGUCUUUCCACCAAUAGAAACAAGUGUGGCAUAAAUGACACAAUGUGAUCCUUCUUUUGCAACAUGCCAGAAAGUUCUUGCACCUACAAAUAUAGGUUUAAUUAUACUAGACUUAUGAUUUUCUACUUGAUUAACUACGCUCUUAGUUAUACUUUUAGAAAAGUCAAGACUACAAGAAGUCCAAUCUAUUUUAGGGUUAUAUUUUUUAGCCAUGAUAAACCUAAAAUGACUGGAUUAGAAGGAGAUCUAAUGAUAUUAAAUAUUAUAAAGCUACUAUAAUCAUUAGUUGCUAUUUCUAUAGGAAGGAUUUCAUGAAUAACAUCUCUUGAAGACAACAAACGACCAUGUAUGAUUUCUACAUGAAUAGGUUUAGUUUUUUUUAUAAAAAAUAUGCUAUAUCUUUUAGCAAAUUUUUCAUUUAAGAAACAUGUUGAGGCUCCUGAAUCUAGUAAGGCAGAGGCUUUCAGAUGUUUAGGUUGUAGAAUAAUAUUUAUCAUAAAAUAUGGAGAGGAUUCAGUGGAGAAGAUAGAACCUUAAUUAGGAGUUGUAUAAGGUUCCAGCCGCACGGUGUCGUAUUGUAACACGAGUAUACCGUGAAAAUAUAAAGAAAGGGGACUUUUAUUAAUGUUCAGUUACCUCGAAUAUUGGGAGCAACGACCAAUUCCAGUGCAAAUACUGAGAGGCCAGGUUCAGUCACCCCAUUACAGUCAACCAGGGCAUACUGAAAUGCUCCGUUCGAUUCCAAUAAUGGGAGUCAGCAGAAAGGAAAAGGACCAAUUCAAUGACGGGUGAGCCUCGUUCAAAGAGCCAAUUAGAUCUAAUUUCAAGACAUCCAAUCCAGGUCUUACUAUAGGCCUCUUAGCCAAUAUGAGACCUGAAUUGGUCGGGCGACUUAAUGUGGUCCCGAUUACGGGGCUCCAAAUUCGUUUCAGGCUGUCUUGUUCUCUCUGCCGUUUUAGGGAACGUUGUUUCCGAAAAAAGAACCUUUUAAAAGGCAAAAAACGGAGGAAAAAACUCUGACGGCGGGAGCCAAUUUCGGAACCGAGACGGAAGAUUCAAGAAAUUCAGAGGCUAGGAUUUGAAAGAAGGGAGAAUUAGGGUCAAAGGGGAGGAUAGGUUAAGAAAUGAAGGAGAGAAAAUAAAGAUUUUAGAAGGGUCGGAGAACUAGCUUCAUGCUUCGGGGACGGGAAAAAAAGACAGAGAAUUGGGGUUUUUUUUUCUUCAUAGGGUUUUGGGAAGACUGAGGCAAUCGUUGCUGAAGUCAGUGUUGUAAUGGUGAAUCGAGAUUUUUAAUGAAGUGGGUGUGAUUACUCUUGACUGUUUUGUGAAAUCAAAGUUACGUCUGUGAUUGAAGAAUUAAAAGGGUAUCUAUAGGAUUGAAUAUGCAGAGUGAAUGAAAAUUUUUGGGUUAAUCUAACAAGACAGUCAGUGGAUACAAGGUUGUGAGUAUAAAAUGGUAUCAGAGAUUAGCAGAUUGGGUUGUUCAGGGUUCUCUGUAACGUCUAGAGACCUACCGACUGGGACAAAAAGGAUUUUGGCGAGCAGUCGAAGGACAUCCGUAUAGAUUUACGGUAUUUUCUUGUAGUUGUUUAUAUUCCAACAGUCAAAAACCGAUAGACUGCUUGAAUAUUAGCGAAUCUCCAUACUACCUUCUACACCCAAACCCCGACGCAUUCUCGAGUAGGAAAGCACGUAAUAUGACAACAAGUGGUGAACCCGACGUGAAAGCUUGAGGUGGAAGGUAUUAGAUUUUGUUUGAUUUUAUUUUUAUUUUUAUGGAAAAUAAAAAUAAAAAUUUUGAAGGAUCUUUGGGAGGAGUUUCUGAUGGGGAUUCUUCUAAAGGACAAGGUAUGCACAUAGAUCCAUCUAUUGCUAAUAUGUUUCAAGCCUUCUCAUUAUCAAUGUAGCAACAGCAAAGCAAUGAUCGAAAAGAAGCUUUGGCAACCAAAGCAUUGCAAGCAGUGGUCAAUAAAAUUGAUCAAUUUGAUGGAAGGAAUAUUUCAAGGUAUUUAAGUUGUUAAGUUCAUGAAAUGGAAUUAAAUCGAGUUUCUGAGAAGAAAAUGAUUGAAUUAUUUGGACUUGCCACGAUAUCGGAGAUAAGAGAUCAUAUUACAUUGAUUACGGAUCGUUAUGAGAAUUCAUGGGAGGUUUUUUCACAUGCAUUGAAAGACGAAUAUUUCUUGGAAGAUGUUGAUCGCAUUACUAAGAGGUUGUUUCUGGAAUGGAUUGAACGGCCUAAUAAGAAUUUACAAGCAACAGAGCUACUAAGGAAAUUUGAGAGGCAGUACUCUCAAUUAUCGAAGGUAGAAAAAUUGACAUUGGAGCCGAACAAAGUUGAUCUAUUUCUUCAAGCUGCUGAUGGAGAAUUGCAAGGGAAAUUAGAACUCUUUCUUGAAAAAAAAGAAGAAGAUGAAGGAUUGACAACAAAGUGGAAGAACGUUGAAGAUGCGGUGGAGUUGCUUACAAAAAGAGAAAAGAGGAAGGAUAGGAGCAAUAUUUCGAAAACAGUACAAGCACCCAAAGCUCCAGUACGUACAACACCACCAACAAUGCUUACAAUUCAAUCUUCGAUAUCCUUAUCAAAGAAAGCAGAUAUGGCGAUGGAACAAAUUAUACGAGGAAUACAAGAUCUUCAAAUCGAAUUGGCAAGACUUGAAGAGAAUACUUCUACAAACAAUUCGAAGAAUGUUUCAAAAUAAAGAUAUGUACAAAGAUGCAUUUGGUGUGAUGAUGCUUCACACACUAGGAAAGAUUGCAAUGAAUUUAAUAAUAUGAUACGGCAAGGAAUUAUUCGCUGGAAAGAUGGGAAGAUAGCAUUAAAAGAUAGGGAGGAUCUUCUUCAAACCAAUUUUGGUAAGGAAGGAAUGAGAGCAUUAGUUCAAGAUUACUUAAAAGAGCAUGAAACAACAAAACGAGAAAGUGCAAGUUAUGGUGCUAGAGUAGAUGAUGACCUUGGUGGAAGAACGAAAACUAGUGAGUUUUGGGCUUCUGCCAUUUCUACAAUGCAAGAAGGGAAAUUACCUCGAGAAGCGUUAUUGAGAACUGCAGCUACAAUACGAGGUAGAACAGGUUGGGGGCAUCCUGUUGAGUCUCUUUCAGUUCAUGCAUAUAUUGCUAAGAGUCAACAUGAAGCUUUGAUGGAAGAAAAGAGACGAGGAAAUUUUGAUGAUACUAGAGAAGGAAAUUCUUCUAAAAGGCAAACUCGAGGUGACAAGGCUCGGGAGGCAGCUUCACAAGAAUUGCCUGUAAAGGAUACCUUAGCAUCAUUGGAAGAAAAAAUAAGGGAGACAAAAGAUAAGGACAAAUCAAUUGCUUAUAAGCUACUUUUUGACAUUGAAGCGGCAACAAAUUUGAAAGGGGUGUUGGAAGAACGUAUAUUAAAUGCUAAGGUGGAAUUCACAUUGAAAGAAGUUUUGGAAAUUGCAAAGAAAGAGUUUCAUGAUGUUAUCAUUGACAGCAUUAAGCAAAAGAGGCAAUUAAUGGGCGAAACUGGAAUGAGUCAUGCUAUUAAUGCAAAAAUAUAUAAAGAUGAAGAAGACGUUGAUAUUGGUUACAAGCAACCAACAAAUGAAAAGAAUGAGUAUAAUCAACGAAUACGUUUUGAAGAUUAUAGUGAUAAGGAAAUGGAAACUUUGAGCCAUUAUACUCGAAAGCAUUGGGCAAGGGCAACUAUUGAGGUAUUGGUGAAAGUAGGAGAUAUAGAAGAACUAAUUGUUUCUUUAGUCGACCAUGGUUCUGAAAUAAAUCUUAUGUCUAAAGAUCUUUAUAAGAAGCAAAAAUGGCCAAUUGAUAUGGAACAUGGAUGGGCAAUACGAGCAACUAAUAACACAUGGGGCGAAUUAUAUGGAGCUUGUUCAGAUGUCAAAAUUUGGAUUGGGGAUGUUGCGAUGGAGCAACAUUUCUUUGUUCAAGAUACAACGUCUUAUCCGUUCAUUUUAGGACAACCUUAUAUUACGGCAACACGGAUGGAAACAAAAGUACUUGACGAUGGUUUUACUUAUGCAAGGCUAUGUAGCGAAGAUGGGAAGAAAGCUGUACAAUUUCUAACAGUACCUCUUAACCAUGAACGGAAUCGAGAUAGGUUGAGGGAGAAACCAUUGCCAAAGAUUGUUGAAGGAUUUAAGGAUUUUGGAGAGGUACCACUAUAAAGCGAGAUCAUGGAGGUACAAAAGAGGAGGUACUCUCGCGAGAUGAAGGUGCCUUUGAUGCGAGUUUUAUUGGUAUUUUGGAGAAUGGAAAUAUUAUGUAUAAGAAAGUUAAUGAUUUUAAAAGAAAAGAAAGAAAAAGAUUAUAUAAUAUUGAAGGAGAAUUACGCAAGUUAGGUACAUUGCAAGAUGAUGAGAGGAUUUUAGGUGUUUAUGAAGAAAAUGGACUGGAAGAUUCAUUGGAAUUGAUUACAUCUAUUGGGUUAGGGGAUAAUGAUAAGAUUGUUGAGAUUCAUUUAAGAGAGGUUUAUACCAUACUUGAAUCUUUUCAAGCACCAGAAGUCACUGUAGAGACGAGAUAUAAAAUGGCAGAUAAGAAGGUAAAGCCUGUUGCUGGACCAUUACCAGAAGAUUCUAAGGAACAAAUGGGAGAAGCAUCAAAAGAAG
rnacentral:lncRNA from 1 species